rnacentral:lncRNA from 1 species
AUGGACUCUGAACCUCGAACUGGAUUCAGACUGAAACAACACAGCAUGAUUUACCAUCAACGAACGCAUCCUGUUUUAGUCCCCGUUAGGCAUCAAACUACGGUUUCAUGAAGAUUAGCACUGACAAAUCACAGGCAGUAACAACGAGAACCAGAUUGCGAGCGGCAAUCCAUCCCAACCAGAUCCACCACCCAACAUCGAUGACGCACCAAACCCAAACAUUCACAAGAAAACUAAUCUAAUCUAGAACUCCUGGGAAGCGGAGCCGAUGUCGCCCUUGCCCUUGCCGGCCUUCUUGGGGAGGAGCGUGCUGUGGAUGCUGGGCAGCACCCCGCCGGCGGCGAUGGUGACCGAGCCCAGCAGCUUGCUCAGCUCCUCGUCGUUGCGCACCGCCAGCUGGAUGUGGCGCGGCACGAUCCGGUUCUUCUUGUUGUCCCGCGCCGCGUUCCCGGCCAGCUCCAGGGUCUGAUUCAGAGAGGAAGGAAGAAAGAAACGCUGAGAUCUGAUCUAGCAAGCAAGCGCGCGGCGUGGGGAACAGAGUUACAGAGUGACAGGACAUGGGAAAGGAGAAGCCAGAGAGGGGACGCGUACCUCGGCGGCGAGGUACUCGAGGACGGCGGCGAGGUAGACGGGGGCGCCGGCGCCGACGCGCUGCGCGUACUUGCCGACCUUGAGGUACCGGGCGACGCGGCCGACGGGGAACUGGAGGCCGGCCUUGGAAGACCGGGACACGGACUUGGCGCUGGCCGCGGGCUUCGCCUUGCCCCUCCCGCUGCCGGCAAUCGCCAUCUUCUGGGUCUGGGCGGAGAGUGGACGCGCUGGUGCUGUGGUCGCCGGAGCGGAGAGAUUGGAGAGAUUGAGGGGAGCGCAGGGUGUUUGAGAUGGUGGAGAGGCUGGGGCGGUGGCGUGUUAUAAAGAGAAGGGGAGCCGGCGCGUGAUUGGUUGGGAGGGCGAGGCCGCGGAUCGGUGACGUGGAGGACGGGAGCGAAAACAUUUGUUUGGGUUUGGCGCGGGUUGGCCGUUUGGGAUGACGGAAGUUUUUGGAGAACUGGCUAAAGGAGGGAAAUCGUUCGUCCGAUCCUGGCCGUUCGACGGACAAGUCUCCUGCCGUCCGUUUUCAGAGCCGAUGCAUCCAGCGGCCAGGGACAUGGGUGUAGGCUGAUCCCAGAAUAAUCCACCGAUAAAUUUGGACAAGCAUCCCCUGCCCAUGCAAGAUGUGGCCAUCUACUAGUUCACUUGAUUUGGUUCCAAGUUAUUUAGUCUCGACAAGGUUUUCUCCAAACUCUAGAUCAGUUUCAAGUUCUUUUUUUUUGUAGGGGAGACCAGUUUCGAGUUUCAUUGAGUGAAAGGUGGUUCACCCAUGCCAGGUCUGCUACGAGGAGAAGAAGCGGUUCUUCGGUGCGGACUCCCUUUUUGUUUUCUCGCACUACCAACCAUGUAGCCAAGGCAACUCCAGUUGCUCUUGAUUCUACAUCCCCUUACGGAUGCUGAUGGUGAUGUACAACCAAACAUCACGGGGUAAUGAUGCAGCGUAGAUGCAACGCUGGACCAAAAAGUGUUAUAAGGUAAUCAUUUCCUAAUGCCUCCCAAAUCUAACUAACAUAUUUGUGUGAGUGUGCGCAGUGUGGCCCAAUAUAUGUUCUGUAUUUUCCUAAAACAUGACUUCUUAAUAAAAUAAAAAGGAGUGGAAUUGUCUUAGGUACUAUCCAUCAUGACCAGCUAACUCGAAGAUAACUUAUGUUGGUGCACCGGAUGGGUAUAUUUCUUUAUCCGCUUCUUGCUAUGCAAUCACUAUGAACCACGGUUGAAGGGAACCAUAUAUAUGCACGGACACUUGAUGGGUAGGUCAACAAAAAAUAAAUGCCAUUACAACUCAUCGAUGAGGUGGGUGGCGACUAGUCAUUGGUUUGUUGUACUUUUUGUUUAUGUUUGCUUGAGUUUGUACAACAACUUUUUCAACCAAGUGAACUUCUUGAACUUGGUUGAUAGUAACACUAGUACAAAUAUGAUCAUCAUACACGGUUAAACAAUCUAGCACACAUGCAAAUGUGAUUAAUCAUGCAUCGCCUUUGAUGUUGUGUGAAAGAUAUUGUCAGGAAGUUUUUUUCUUGUACAUCAGGCGCUCUCACGUUACAAAACAACACCUACUUGCAUGAAACUCAUAUGCAUGCAACAAUAUCCCACCCGCUUUCAUGAAGCCCAUAUGCAAUCAUUUGUAUCCGAGCCCACCUAUUGCACGAUUGAGCCAACACAUAACUAGAAUCGGCAGACUCUCUGCUCGAAGCAAACUUGUCCCACGUAGGUGAGCCAAGGGUGAGCGAACCAACAUAUAAGAGCAUCUACAGUCGGGCCCUUAUAUUACCCCUAUAUAUCCAGGCGGAGGCACGGUCAGUGGUCGGUCAAGAAAUAACGACCCAACCAGCCCCUCAAACCGUCCCUAUACGUCUGGACUAACUGGCGCCCCGCAUAUCCAGCCCUUACUUGGGGCGGAUAUGGGGAGUCCCGGGCGCGUCCACCAUGUCAGACCUGACAUACCGAGCAUGCCCAAAAUUCCAUCAAAUCUCCCCCGAUUUAGCCAGCAUGCCCUUUUCCUUUCCUCUCUUCUCCCUCGUCCGUGCUGGCCCUUCCCUAGUUCUGCAGCCACCCUAGCUCCGGCAUAGUCCCGACCCCAUGGCGCCGCCACCAGCACCACAAAACUCCUACCCGUCAUUCUCCCACCCCGGACAUGGUUGCUUCCUGAGGGAGUCCUGGACUAGGGGGUGUCCGGAUAGCCGGACUAUCAUCAUCGGCCGGACUCCAAGACUAUGAAGAUACAAGAUUGAAGACUUCGUCCCGUGUCCGGAUAGGACUUUCCUUGGCGUGGAAGGCAAGCUUGGCGAUACGGAUAUGUAGAUCUCCUACCAUUGUAACCGACUCUGUGUAACCCUAGCCCUCUCCGGUGUCUAUAUAAACCGGAGGGUUUAGUCCGUAGGACACACAACCAUUACAACAAUCAUACCAUAGGCUAGCUUCUAGGGUUUAGCCUCCUUGAUCUCAUGGUAGAUCCACUCUUGUACUACCCAUAUCAUCAAUAUCAAUCAAGCAGGAGUAGGGUUUUACCUCCAUUGAGAGGGCCCGGACCUGGGUAAAAACAUCGUGUCCCUUGUCUCCUGUUACCAUCUGCCUAGACGCACAGUUCGGGACCCCCUACCCGAGAUCCGCCGAUUUUGACACCGACACCACCCUAGACGUCGUCAUGGUACGUGCUGAUGAGGUCACCUGCUACAGGUAGGGUCAACGACCUGUCAUAUGGGGUCCACCUAUGGCCCCACACCAUCAUUGGUAGGUCUCGGGACCAUGGUCGCAUUCCGAUGCGUAUAGCAGGAGGUCCACUCGGACACCUUGACGUCACACGACAAUCAGUCUUCAUUCGGCACAACCACCGUCACUCAGACAAGGGAGGUGAAAGGACGACGUGGGAGCUGCAACGGUCGAGGAAUCUUAAGUCGUUCUUAAAGUAGAGUCAUAGCUACUGAGGGAGUCCUGGACUAGGGGGUGUCCGGAUAGCCGGACUAUCAUCAUCGGCCGGACUCCAAGACUAUGAAGAUACAAGAUUGAAGACUUCGUCCCAUGUCCGGAUGGGACUUUCCUUGGAGUGGAAGGCAAGCUUGGUGAUACGGAUAUGUAGAUCUCCUACCAUUGUAACCAACUCUGUGUAACCCUAGCCCUCUCCGGUGUCUAUAUAAACCGGACGGUUUAGUCCGUAGGACACACAACCAUUACAACAAUCAUACCAUAGGCUAGCUUCUAGGGUUUAGCCUCGAUCUCGUGGUAGAUCCACUCUUGUACUACCCAUAUCAUCAAUAUCAAUCAAGCAGGAGUAGGGUUUUACCUCCAUCGAGAGGGCCCGAACCUGGGUAAAAACAUCCUGUCCUUUGUCUCCUGUUACCAUCCGCCUAGACGCACAGUUCGGGACCCCCUACCCGAGAUCCACCGUUUUUGACACCGACAUUGGUGCUUUCAUUGAGAGUUCCUCUGUGUCGUCACCGAUAGGCUUGAUGGCUUCUUCAAUCAACAACAACGCCGUCCAGGGUGAGACUUUCCUCCCCGGACAUAUCUUCGUGUUCGGCAGCUUUGCACUGCAGGCCAAUUCACUUGGCCAUCUGGAGCAGAUCGAAAGCUACGCCCCUGGCCAUCAGGUCAGGUUUGGAAGCCUAAACUUCACGGCUAACAUCUGCGGAGACUUGAUCUUCGAUGGAGUCGAGCCACAGCCGAGCGUGCCACACUGUCACGAUGGGCAUGAUCUAGCUCUGCCGCCGGACAGUACCCUGGAGGCCGCACACGAGUCCGCUCUGACCCAUAGUUCGGAGCCGACCACGCAGAUCGAGGACAGGUGGCUGGACACCGCCUCGGGGGCUGCAACUUCUACGGCGAUAGAGCCGAAUACCGACCUUGUCCCUCGCAAAGCUUGUGACUCCGAGGUGCCGGACUCCUUGCCGGACUCCGAGCCUCCGGCGCCCCUGCCAAUCGAAUCCGAUUGGGCGCCGAUCAUGGAGUUCACCGCUACGGACAUCUUUCAGCACUCACCCUUGGGCGACAUCCUGAAUUCGCUAAAUUAUCUCUCGUUAUCAGGAGAGCCCUGGCCGGACUGCGGUCAGGAUGGUUGGGAUGCGGACGACGAAGAAAUUCGAAGCCCACCCACCACCCACUUUAUAGCCACUGUCGACAAUCUAACCGACAUGCUAGACUACGACUCCGAAGACAUCGACGGUAUGGACGACGACGCCGGAGACGAUCAAGAACCAGCGCCUACGGGGCAUUGGAAGGCCACCUCAACUCAUGAUGUAUGCAUGGUGGACACUCCGAAGGGGAGCGAUAACGAGGAACAACGGGACACGGCGAAGGAUAAUUCAUCCGAAAAACAACCAAAACGGCGACGCAAGCGCCGCCCCAAGUCCCGCCUCGAUGACAACAGUACCCAUAGUGACCCAGCCAUAGAGCAGGGCAAACCAAUAGGCGACGAGCACGCAACCAAGCAGCCAUCAGAACAGGAUGAACCGGAUGACCAGCUCAUCCUCGGCGAAAAUAACAGUCCAGACGAUCUCACGCCGGACACACCACCGGAGCGCAAGAACCUCCAUAAAAGGCUUGUCGCCACCGCAAGAAGCUUGAAGAAGGAAAAACGGAAGCUCAAAACAGUGGAAGACAUACUCAGGAUGAGGUGGAGCAAAGUACUCAAGACCGCGGACAAAUAUGGCAAUGGCCACCAAACAAAGAGUUACCCGAAGCACAAGCUGCUGCCAGAAUUCGACGAGGAGGCCAUAGAGCCCCCACAGGCAAAAAGCAAAGAGGACGCCUGGCCGGAUAGACGACCAGAUGACAGGCCAGGAGCGGCAAGCGGCGCCGCACAUAAGCCAGCACAUGACACAUAUAAAUAUCCUCGCAAAACGGAUGGUCCGGUCAGGUCCAUCUAUGGGCCAAAAAAGAGGGCCCCAGGAAGCAACACAACACGCCGUAUGUUCGAAGAUAAUGGCACGCCUAAAUACAGGGGUGCCGCACCCCCACUAUGUUUCACCGACGAGGUGCUGGAUCAUGAAUUUCCGGCGGGAUUCAAGCCCGUAAACAUAGAGGCAUACGACGGAACAACAGACCCCGGAGUCUGGAUUGAGGAUUACAUCCUGCACAUACACAUGGCUAGAGGAGAUGAUCUCCACGCCAUAAAAUAUCUACCCCUCAAGCUCAAAGGGCCAGCUCGGCAUUGGCUCAAAAGCCUCCCAGAAAAUACUAUUGGAAGUUGGGAAGAGCUCGAGGACGCGUUUAGAACAAAUUUUCAAGGGACUUAUGUCCGCCCUCCGGAUGCAGACGAUCUAAGUCAUAUAACUCAACAGCCCGGAGAGUCAGCGCGCAAAUUCUGGAACAGGUUCCUUACCAAAAAGAACCAAAUAGUCGACUAUCCGGACGCCAAAGCCUUAGAAGCUUUUAAACAUAAUGUCCGAGACGAAUGGCUCACCAGACACCUCGUCCAAGAGAAGCCGAGAACAAUGGCCUCUAGGGCAUAUUUCCUUCAGUCUCCCACUUGCACUAGAGUCAAUAAUCUAGUUCACAUCGCCAUGUGAUUUAACACCAAUAUUCACAUCUGUAUGUGAUUAAUACCCAUAGUUCACAUCAUCAUGUGAUCAAUACCCAAAGGGUUUGUUAGAGUCAAUAAUCUAGUUCACAUCGCUAUGCGAUUAACACCCAAAGAGUACUAAGGUGUGAUCAUGUUUUGCUCAUGAGAGAAGCUUAGUCAACGGGUCUGUCAUAUUCAGAGCCGUAUGUAUUUUGCAAAUAUUCUAUGUCUACAAUGCUCUGCACGGAGCUACUCUAGCUAAUUGCUCCCACUUUCAAUAUGUAUCCAGAUUGAGACUUAGAGUCAUCUGGAUCGGUGUAAAAGAUUGCAUCGAUGUAACUUUUACAAUGAACUCUUUUAUCACCUCCAUAAUCGAGAAACAUCUCCUUAGUCCUCACUAAAGAUAUUCUUGACCGCUGUCCAGUGAUCUACUAUUAGAUCAAAAUUGUAUUCCUUUGCCAAAAUCAGAGCAAGGUAUACAAUAGGUCUGGUACAUAGCAUAGCAUACUUUAUAGAACCUAUGACUGAGGCAUAGGGAAUGACUUUCAUUCUCUUUUCUAUUUUCUGCCGUGGUCGGGAUUUGAGUCUUACUCAAUUUCAUACCUUUGCAACACAGGCAAGAACUCUUUCUUUGACUGUUUCAUUUUGAACUAUUUCAAAAUCUUGACAAGGUAUGUGCUUAUGGAAAAACUUAUCAAGCGUCUUGAUCUAUCUCAAUAGAUCUUGAUGCUCAACAUGCAAGUAGCUUUACUGAGGUCUUUCUUUUAAAGAACUCCUUUCAAAUACUCCUUUAUGCUUUGCAGAAUAAUUCUACAUUAUUUCCGAUCAACAAUAUGUCAUUCACAUAUACUUAUCAGAAAUGUUGUAGUGCUCCCACUCACUUUCUUGUAAAUACAGGCUUCACCGCAAGUCUGUAUAAAACUAUAUGCUUUGAUCAACUUAUCAAAGCGUAUAUUCCAACUCCGAGAUGCUUGCACCAGUCCAUAGAUGGAUUGCUGGAGCUUGCAUAUUUUGUUAGCACCUUUAGGAUUGACAAAAACUUCUAGUUGCAUCAUAUACAACUCUUCUUUAAGAAAACCAUUAAGGAAUGCAGUUUUGACAUCCAUUUGCUAGAUUUCAUAAAUUGUGGCAAUUGCUAACAUGAUUCGGACAGACUUGAGCAUCGCUACAGUUGAGAAAAUUUCAUUGUAGUCAACACCUUGAACUUGUCAAAAACCUUUUUGCAACAAGUCGAGCUUUGUAGAUAGUAACACUACUAUCAGUGUCCGUCUUCCUCUUGAAGAUCCAUUUAUUUAACAUGGCUUGCUGAUCAUCGAGCAAGUCAACCAAAGUCUAUACUUUGUUCUCAUACAUGGAUCCUAUCUCAGAUUUCAUGGCCUCCAAGCCAUUUUGCAGAAUCUGGGCUCAUCAUCGCUUCCUCAUAGUUCGUAGGUUCAUCAUGGUCUAGUAACAUGACUUCCAGAAUAGGAUUACCGUACCACUCUGGUGCGGACCGUACUUUGGAAGACCUAUGAGUUUCUAUAGUAACUUGAUCUGAAGUUUCAUGAUCAUCAUCAUUGGCUUCCUCACUAAUUGGUGUAGGAAUCACUGGAACUGAUUUCAGUGAUGAACUAUUUUCCAAUUCAGGAGAAGGUACAGUUACCUCAUCAAGUUCUACUUUCCUCCCACUCACUUCUUUUGAGAGAAACUCCUUCUCUAGAAAGGAUCCAUUUUUAGCAACAAAUAUAUUGCGUUCGGAUCUGUGAUAGAAGGUGUACCCAACAGUUUCCUUUGGGUAUUCUAUGAAGACGCAUUUCUCUGAUUUGAGUUCGAGCUUAUCAGGUUGAAAACCUUUUUCAUAUAAGCAUCGCAACUCCAAAAUUUAAGAAACGACAGCUUAGGUUUACUACUAAACCAUAGUUCAUACGGUGUCGUCUCAAUGGAUUUAGAUGGUGCCCUAUUAAACGUGAAUGCAGCUGUCUCUAAUGCAUAACCCCAAAAUGAUAGUGGUAAACCGAUAAGAGACAUCAUAGAUCGCACUAUAUCUAGUAAAGUACGAUUAUGACGUUCGGACACACCAUUACAUUGUGGGGUUCCAGGUGGCGUGGGUUGCGAAACUAUUUCACAUUGUUUCAAAUGAAGACCAAACUCGUAACUCAAAUAUUCGUCUCCGCGAUCAGAUCGCAGAAACUUUAUUUUCUUGUUACGAUGAUUUUUCCACUUCACUCUGAAAUUCUUUGAACCUUUCAACUAUUUCAGACUUAUGUUUCAUCAAGUAGAUAUACCCAUAUCUGCUCAAAUCAUCUUGUGAAGGUCAGAAAAUAACGAUACUUGCCACGAGCAUCAACACUCAUUGGAUUGCAUACAUCGGUAUGUAUUAUUUCCAAUAAGUCAGUAGCUUGUUCCAUUGUUCUGGAGAAUGGAGUUUCAGUCAUCUUGCCCAAAAGGCACGGUUCGCAAGCAUCAAAUGAUUCAUAACCAAGUGAUUCCGAAAAUCCAUCUUUUAUGGAGUUUCUUCAUACGCUUUACACCGAUAUGACCCAAACAGCAGUGUCACAAAUAAGUUGCACUAUCAUUAUUAACUUUUCAUCUUUUUGCAUCAAUAUUAUGAAUAUGUGUAUUACUACGAUCGAGAUCCAACAAACUAUGUUCAUUGGGUGUAUGACCAUCGAAGGUCUUAUUCAUGUAAAUAGAAUAACAAUUUUAUUCUCUAACUUUAAAUGAAUAACCGUAUCACAACAAACAUGAUCAAAUCAUAUUCAUGCUCAACGCAAACGCCAAAUAACAUUUAUUUAGGUUUAACACUAAUCCCGAAAGUAUAGGGAGUGUGUGAUGAUGAUCAUAUCAAUCUUGGAACUACUUCCAACACUCAUCGUCACCUCACCCUCAACUAGUCUUUGUUUAUUCUGUAACUCCUGUUUCGAGUUACUAAUAUUAGCAACCGAACAAGUAUCAAAUACUCAGGGGCUACUAUAAACACUAGUAAGGCACACAUCAAUAACCUGUAUAUCAAAUAUACCCAUGUUCACUUUGCCAUCCUUCUUAUCCACCAAAUAUUCAGGGCAUUUCCGCUUCCAGUGACCAUUUCCUUUGUAGUGUAAGCACUCAGUUUCAGGCUUUGGUCCAGCUUUGGUCUUCUUCACGGGAGUGACAACUUGUUUGCCAUUCUACUUGAAGUUUCCCUUUCCUUCCCUUUGCCCUUUUCUUGAAACUAGUGGUCUUGUCAAUCAUCAACAGUUGAUGCUCUUUCUUGAUUUCUACCUUGUCGAUUUCAACAUCACGAAGAGCUCGGGAAUCGUUUUCGUCAUCCCUUGCAUACUAUAGUUCAUCACGAAGUUCUAGUAACCUAGUGAUGGUGACUAGAGAAUUCUGUCAAUCACUAUCUUAUCUGGAAGAUUAACUCCCACUUGAUUCAAGCGAUUGAAGUACCCAGACAAUCUGAGCACAUGCUCACUAGCUGAGCGAUUCUCCUCCAUCUUUUAGCUUUAGAACUUGUUGGAGACUUCAUAUCUCUCAACUCGGGUAUUUGCUGGAAAUAUUAACUUCAACUCCUGGAACAUCUCAUAUGGUCCAUGAUGUUCAAAACGUCUUUGAAGUCCCGAUUCUAAGCCGUUUAAGCAUGGUGCACUAAACUAUCAAGUAGUCAUCCUUUUGAGCUAGCCAAAUGUUCAUAACGUCUGCAUCUGCUCCUGCAAUAGGUUUGUCACCUAGCGGUGCAUUAAGGACAUAAUUCUUCUGUGCAGCAAUGAGGAUAAACCUCAGAUCACGGAUCCAAUCCGCAUCAUUGCUACUAACAUCUUUCAAUACAAUUUUCUCUAGGAACAUAUUAAAAUAGACAUAUGAAAGCAACAACGCAAGCUAUUGAUCUACAACAUAAUUUGCAAAAUACUACCAGGACUAAGUUCAUGAUAAAUUUAAGUUCAAUUAAUCAUAUUACUUAAGAACUCCCACUUAGAUAGACAUCCCUCUAAUCCUCUAAGUGAUUACGUGAUCCAUAUCAACUACACCAUGUCCGAUCAUCACGUGAGAUGGAGUAGUUUCAAUGGUGAACAUCACUAUGUUGAUCAUAUCUACUAUAUGAUUCACGUUCGACCUUUCGGUCUCCGUGUUCCGAGGCCAUAUCUGUAUAUGCUAUGCUCGUCAAGUUUAACCUGAGUAUUCCACGUGUGCAACUGUUUUGUACCCGUUGUAUUUGAACGUAGAGCCUAUCACACCCGAUCAUCACGUGGUGUCUCAGCACGAAGAACUUUCGCAACGGUGCAUACUCAGGGAGAACACUUCUUGAUAAUUAGUGAGAGAUCAUCUUAAAAUGCUACCGUCAAUCAAAGCAAGAUAAGAUGCAUAAAUGAUAAACAUCACAUACAAUCAAUAUAAGUGAUAUGAUAUGGCCAUCAUCAUCUUGUGCUUGUGAUCUCCAUCUCCGAAGCACCGUCGUGAUCACCAUCGUCACCGGCGCGACACCUUGAUCUCCAUCAUAGCAUCGUUGUCGUUACGCCAUCUAUUGCUUCUACGACUAUCACUACCGCUUAGUGAUAAAGUAAAGCAAUUACAAGGCGUUUGCAUUUCAUACAAUAAAGCGACAACCAUAUGGCUCCUGCCAGUUGCCGAUAACUUCGGUUACAAAACAUGAUCAUCUCAUACAAUAAAAUAUAGCAUCACGUCUUGACCAUAUCACAUCACAACAUGCCCUGCAAAAACAAGUUAGACAUCCUCUACUUUGUUGUUGCAAAUUUUACGUGGCUGCUACGGGCUGAGCAAGAGCCGUUCUUACCAACGCAUCAAAACCACAACAAUAGUUUGUCAAGUUAUUGGUGUUUUAACCUUCGCAAGGACCGGACGUAGCCACACUCGAUUCAGCUAAAGUGAGAGAGACAGACACCCGCCAGUCACCUUUAAGCACGAAUGCUCAUAACAGUGAAACCAGUCUCGCGUAAGCGUACGCGUAAUGUCGGUCCGGGCCGCUUCAUCUCACAAUACCGCUGAACCAAAGUAUGACAUGCUGGUAAGCAGUAUGACUUGUAUCGCCUACAACUCACUUGUGUUCUACUCGUGCAUAUGACAUCUACACAUAAAACCUGGCUCUGAUACUACUGUUGGGGAACGUUGUAAUUUCAAAAAAAUUCCUACGCACACUCAAGAUCAUGGUGAUGGCAUAGCAACGAGAGGGGAGAGUAUUGUCCAUGUACCCUCGUAGACCGUAAGCGGAAGCGUUAUGACAACGCAGUUGAUGUAGUCGUACGUCUUCAUGAUCCGACCGAUCCAAGUACCGAACGUACGGCACCUCCGAGUUCAGCACACGUUCAGCUCGAUGACGAUCCCCGGACUCCGAUCCAGCAAAGUGUCGGGGAUGAGUUCUGCCAGCACGACGACGUGGUGAUGAUGAUGAUGUUCUACUGGCCCAGGGCUUCGCCUAAACUCCGCGACGAUAUGACCGAGAUGGAAUAUGGUGGAGGGGGGCACCGCACACGGCUAAGGAACGAUCUUGAAGAUCAACUUGUGUGUUCUAGGGUGCCCCCUGCCCCCGUAUAUAAAGGAGCAAGGGAGGGGUGACUGGCCUAGGAGGAGCGCACCAAGGAGGAGUCCUACUCCCACCAGGAGUAGGAUUCCCCCCUUCCAAGUAGUAGGAGUAGGAGUCAAGGAAAGGGGGAAGAGAAGAGAAGGAAGGAGGGGGCGCAGCCCCUCCCCCUAGUCCAAUUCGGACUAGGCCUUGCGGGGGGGGGGGGGCGCCCAACCUCUCCUCUCUCUUUCCCCUAAAGCCCAAUAAGGCCCAUAUACUCCCCGGCGAAUUCCCGUAACUCUCCGGUACUCCGGAAAAUACCCGAAUCACUCGGAACCUUUCCGAACUCCGAAUAUAGUUGUCCAAUAUAUCGAUCUUACGUCUCUACCUUUUCGAGACUCCUCGUCAUGUCCCCGAUCUCAUCCGGGACUCCGAACUCCUUCGGUACAUCAAAACUCAUAAACUCAUAAUAUAACUGUCAUCGUAACGUUAAGCGUGUGGACCCUACAGGUUCGAGAACUAUGUAGACAUGACCUAGACCUAUUCUCGGUCAAUAACCAAUAGCGGAACCUGGAUGCUCAUAUUGGCUCCUACAUAUUCUACGAAGAUCUUUAUCGGUCAAACCGCAUAACAACACACGUUGUUCCCUUUGUCAUCGGUAUGUUACUUGCCCGAGAUUCGAUCGUCGGUAUCCAAUACCUAGUUCAAUCUCGUUACUGGAAAGUCUCUUUACUCGUUAUGUAAUGCAUCAUUCCGUAACUAACUCAUUAGCUAAAUUGCUUGCAAGGCUUAUAGUGAUGUGCAUUACCGAGAGGGCCCAGAGAUACCUCUCCGACAAUCGGAGUGACAAAACCUAAUCUCGAAAUACGCCAACCCAACAUGUACCUUUGGAGACACCUGUAGUACUCCUUUAUAAUCACCCAGUUACGUUGUGACAUUUGGUAGCACCCAAAGUGUUCCUCUGAUAAACGGGAGUUGCAUAAUCUCAUCGUUACAGGAACAUGCAUAAGUCAUGAAGAAAGCAAUAGCAAUAUACUACACGAUCAAGUGCUAGGCUAACGGAAUGGGUCAUGUCAAUCACAUCAUUCUCCUAAUGAUGUGAUCCCGUUAAUCAAAUGACAAUUUUCUUUUGUCCAUGGCUAGGAAACAUAACCAUCUUUGAUAAACGAGCUAGUCAAGUAGAGGCAUACUAGUGACACUAUGUUUGUCUAUGUAUUCACACAUGUAUUAUGUUUCCGGUUAAUACAAUUCUAGCAUGAAUAAUAAACAUUUAUCAUGAUAUAAGGAAAUAAAUAAUAACUUUAUUAUUGCCUCUAGGGCAUAUUUCCUUCACUUCUUCUUCCUCGUUCUUCGUUCAUUCUUCUUGUUGCAGGGCGGCGAACCUCGAGGCCCUAGGGGCGAUCAUGUCGACCUAGGGCAUCCCAUAGCCACCGCGCGCCCAGACGGGGUCCCUCCCGGGCGUGUGGGGUUUCGGGUCCUCAAAAGCACCCGCCGGAUUGCCUGUGUACCGCGCUUCCGGACGAGUCGCCUUCGACGUGAGCUGCGGUGCAUCACCCUCGGUGUUGGAGGUACACGGUGACGUGUUCGUGUGCGAACACACUUUUUGGCGACUCCGCUGGGGACGAAGCUUUGAACGGUCUCCAGCCCGUUCUUGCUACGAAGAGAUCGUCAUCUAGGGUUUGCAAUCUACAAAGGUAACAUGAAUACCCAAUUCACUUAUGUAGAUGCAAAUAAUACAUAUGUUGUUGCUAGAUCGUCUAAUGAUCAUAUUGUAUCGGCUAGCCCUAGUUUUAUCAAUCAUGCAUCUAAUUAUGUGCAACAGCCGAUUCAGAAUAAUCUUCAUGCUUCAACUUCAUAAAAUUUUAGCAACAUGCAACAUAUGUAUCCCAACUCCCAUGCAUCGGCAACCCCACAAAUCUAUAUGCCGAUGAACAACAUGAUGAGUUCGGUUAAUCAUGUUGAGACACCUCAUGUAGGAACUUCCAAUAGUAUGCAACAAAGUGUUUCAACUUUUUAUUCAUCGGCAAAUAACUUGCAGUAUGUUAAUCCAAAUAUGCUGGUGGAUAGGGGAAUUGACCAUGCCACUACUAGAUAUUCGGCCAAUUACCCUCAAACAUCGUAUGCUACACCUCAUGCUACGAAUUUUUCGGCACCAUACGCAAUUAUAGAUAUUCGUGAUUCGGCUCCGCACCUUCAUGCUCAUGGCCGAAUAAGUGAGAAUUCUACCAGAGCGCAUGUGUCUUUACCUAGUAACCUAGCAUAUCAUGUUGCCCCUGCACAAUUACAGAAUUUCGGCAACACACCAUUGUCGAAAGCGUCUCAAAGUAUUGGGGGGCAAUCCGAUGAAGAUUGGGCUGAAAUUGGUCGAAAAAAGCUUAAAGAUAGACUAGCUGCAAUGUUUGCUGAAUUUAGACAAGAACAAGCAACCUUGCAAAUCAAAGAAAGAAAGAGUGGUGAUUCGGAUAACAAAGUUAUUUCGGUUAUUAAAAAAGCCGAAUCAAAUAGUAUGUGUACCAAAUCUAUCAAAGAAAAAGAGGAUGCCAAGGCAUUGGAGAGUCAUUCAAAAGUGGAACAAAGUAUUAUUCAAGUGAUACAACCAUCAUGCUCUCCCAAUGUAAUUGAAGAGGUAUGUCUAGCGAGUGACUUGCCUAUCUUCCGAUUUGGUCGCAACUUUAUUGUCGAUGCUUCUAUAAGAAAAAUUCUCAUAAGUAAUUUUGAAAGACCAAUGAAGAAGGGUAAUUUACUUGUUAGCAACAAAAUUGUUAUAGACUAUAUCGGUCAACCCAUUGCACCAUUUAUAAAGACCGAUAAUGACUUAUUGUUGUGGCCAAAGCUUUCCCCGUUGCUUUAUCUAAAGUUCAUAUCUAGUUGGGUAGCUUUGCUUAUUUCUUACUUGGCUUGCACUUUGUCUCAAUUGAGACAUGUGUGUUCUAAAUAUUUUCAUAUCGGAAGUUUAAAGCCAAGGUUAAUUUCUUUUGAGAAAUCCGAUGGUAAUAUAAUAUCUUAUCCAAAGACACCGGAGAUAGAGUGGAAAACACAAUGUAUAGCCGAAUGGGAAGAUUCUAAAUCUGUACCAUUCGUUUGUUCAAAGCCGUUCACACAGCAAGAUCGGCUAGAAAGAAAGAAGUUUACCUUCAAUUAAAGCAUGUGUGACCAAAUUAUGAUUUAUUGCUGAAAAAUAAUUACAUAAGAAUUCUUGAUCACCAUGUCAAGCCAUCAAUUCAAGGACGAAUGUAUUGUAGGUUGCAUCAUUCGUUCAAACAUAAUUUUGAGGAUUGCAAUAUGUUUCGUCAAAUAGUUAAAUCGGCCAUUGAUAAAGGACGAUUGAAAUUUGUUGAGACACCAAGAGAUGACCAGUCUAUUCCGAUUGGUCUCGAUGGUAGAAAGUUUUUGCAUCGGCUGCUUCAAACCGAUCCAUUUAAAGAGGAGGUAAAAACUAUAGGUGAUGGGGUCAAGCUUUCAAGUAAAGAAGUUGUUGAAGAGCAUAAUGAACAUAAUUUUGAGGGCGAGAAUUCCAUUGAAGCUACAAUGGAGACGCCAAGGACUGGGGGGCAACAAGCAAAUCCAAUGAUUGGUGCAAGCACAACCAAAGGAAACAAAGGCCGAAAUAAGCGCAAGUGUAAGAGAUCAAAAAUCACCUUCGCUGAACUAUUGGAUAAAUAUCAAAAGAAGAGUGAAGAGAAGAAUGCUUAUCGGCCAAAUCAUGCAAAGAAACCAAGAUCACCCUCAAGGCGCAAAUAUGAGGAUUGGUAUUGGCAAAGUGAUAAUUUUAAUGCAACAUAUUCAUAUCCUUAUUUUGGGCCGCCAAUGCCAAUGCCGUGGAUGCCUCCAUAUGCUCAUAUAGAUACAUAUUCGUCAUGGGACAGGUAUGAUACAAGGCCACAUUCUCCAUCUUAUUCUAGACCAUCUCACCAAUACUAUGCAGCUCCAAGGAGAUCAACAUUUGAACAAUCACGCGUCAAAGACCGUUUCAAUCAUAAAGAAUCGGUCUGGUGCACAAGGAAGAAUAAGGAGGUGGUUGAGCAAAUCUACCGCGUCAAAAGAGAUGGUCGUAAGAGUGCCACUUCAGAUAUGAUCUCAAAUGAAAAAGAGCCAAUUAAAGUGUUGACAUUGGCUACAAAAGGCAAUGAGGCAAGUCAAUCAAGUGCCAAAUCUGAAGGGAAGAAGUUGAGAGUGCACAAGGUAAAACAAGAAUUGCCAUUACUUCAAACAAAAUCGCAGCUGGGAUGCCCACUCGGCUUAUCGUGUUGGCAAAAGAAGGAGUUGCAGAAGCUUAGUGCACACGAACUUGAAAAGAGAAAUAUUGCGUGGGUUCCCAAAGGAAAAAUAACAAUUAUGUGCGAGCUUCCUUUACAAGGAGUGCGACAAAGGUGAAGAAGGAAAAGAGUGAAAGCUACGAAGGACCAAGCCGAAGGUUUCAACAUCUUUGGUCCACACAUUAUCCAUUUUCUUCAACAAUGCCGUUGAUGCCUAUGCCAUGGAAUUCUUUAUCAGGUAUGAUUGGUUACCCUCAAUGGGCUUAUUUUAAUCCAUGGAUAAAAUAUAAUUUCUUACAUCAUGAAAGGGUAUUACCAAAUCAUUAUAUGUUCGAUUAGCUUCACUUUUCUUGCUAAUCUAAAUGGCCGAUAUAUACUUAUCAUCCAAAGCACGUACAAAAUGGCCGAUGGAGUGUUGACAUCACGGUUAGAACAAAGUUUGUGCAAGUUGUUUUUCGGCACACAAGUUUUGCCGAAAAACAGGGGGGCAUGUGUUGACACCAGAUUUUGGCACGGUCAAUAACUUAUUUAAGAUGGUCUCAAAUGGAGAAGUGAUCUUCAUGAAAGAGUUCCGUAUUGUCGAUAUGAACAUCUUUGAAGUUUGGGUCAUCACAGUCCGAUUUCAUCUCGAAGGCCGAAACAUGCUCAAAGUACUAAGAUCUUAUAUUCAGAGUACAGUUUGGCUGAUUAAGCCCGCAAGAAGACUUCAAAUGGAAAAAUUAUCUACACAGAUUGUCUUCGUCUCGUCGAAACGAUUGAUUUUGAUAUAAAAAUCGUUCCAAUCCGAGUUUGUAUGCAAAAGUUAGGGCCAUUGGAAUACAACCCUGUCACGAGGCAAAAACUGGCGCGCCCCACCAGACACCCUGUCUGAUGGGUAGCGUGAGGGAUAGCCUAUUUUGCGUGACCAAUUUGACCCUCGAGAUGACCUCUGAUCAAAAAACGUUCAACAUAAAAGUUGUUCUUCUCGUCGAAACAGUCAAGAUUGCUUUUAGGCUCGUUUCCAUCCGAGAUCGUUUACCACCACAAAAAAGACCCACAAGGUGCAGCCAGUUUAAACUGAACAGUUUUGGAAAGUUCGGACAAAACCAAUCCGAAUUUGACUAGGGUUUUGGACGUGAAUCCAAGCCUUUAUCUUGCACGGGAAGUCCAGCCGUCUCUUAUAUACCGAAGGGGUGACGACCGAUUUAACAACACACAAUCGAACAAAUCAUCUACCACUUUUUAUCUUUACCUUUAUCUCUCUCCCUCGUUCUUCUUCUUUCUCGUUCUUCGUUCGUUCUUCUUGUUGCAGGGCGGCGAACCUCGAGGCCCUAGGGGCGAUCAGGUCGACCUAGGGCAGCCCAUAGCCACCGCGCGCCCAGACGGGGUCCCUCCCGGGCGUGUGGGGUUUCGGGUCCUCAAAAGCACCCGCCGGAUUGCCUGCGUACCGUGCUUUCGGACGAGUCUCCUUCGACGUAAGCUCCGGUGCAUCACCCUCGGCGUUGGAGGUACACGGUGACGUGUUCGUGUGCGAACAGGAUCGUAACCCCGACACGUGCCACUCCUCCGGUCAUACACAUUGCCCUCUAUCUGUUUGACAAAAUGUUUGAGUAGUUUCUUUUUGUUCUUUUGUUAGCAAAACAAUGGAUACGUUGGGUUCAUUGGAUGAGAAGUUUUAGAUCAAGGAGCUUGAUGAAUUCAUUAAAAAUGUUCAUUGAUCCGCCUGAUUUGGACGGUGAAGAUGUUGAGUUCUUGAUGAUGAUUAACAUCCAGGAGGAAAUGAAGAGUGAAGUGGAGCACAUUUUUUCAACUUUAAGGGUUCGAUCAAAGGGAGGAUAGUUGGAAACAUGGAUAGAAUCACUAGUGCCCUACUCCACUAUAAGGACUACUUCUAACCCAGACCAACAUUCCAUGAAACAUUUUUUCAUCGACGCUUCUGUAUGCGCAAAGCAUUUUUCUUACGCAUAGUGGAGGGAGUGGAUGCACAUGAUUUGCACUUCAGUAUCAAGAUGGAUUGUUGCGGACAAAUCUCAUUCUCUUUGCGGAAAUGCACAACUUUGAGGAUGCUUGCGUUAUGUACCAUCACCGAUGUCAUUGGUGAGAUGGUCUAAAUGGGGGAGAACAAAUGCCUCGAUGCCACUGUGAGGUUCGCCCCACCAUGGUGAAGCUGUUUGAAGUAGAGUAUCUGAGAGAACCAAAUGUGCAAGAUACAAAAAGGUUGAUGGGAAUGGGAGCGGUAAGAGGUUUUCCUGAUAUGUUUGGUUUAGUUUAUUGCAUGCAUUGAUAAUGGAAGAACCGUCCCAAAGAUUUGUGCGGGAUGUACCAAGGUCACAUGAAAGAGGCAACGAACAAUGCCACUUUUCAACAAUGCAAGAAGCAGCUAGGAAUGAUGGGAAGAGGGCAUUCAGAGUGCUCUAAACUUGUUGGGGUGUUUUUCAUCGAGUUGCAAUGAUGUGGGAAGCGGAGAAUUUGUCAGUUGAUGACAUGUUGUGUCAUUUUGCAUAAUAUGAUUGUCAUGGAUGAGGAUGAAGGGGUUGCUCGAACGCAUGAUUUUUAGAAGUCCGUUGUACAACUCCGCCUGGAACAAGAUGCGCAUCAUAUUGUGAAUUUCCUAGAUAUGCAUCAAAAUCUUCAAAAUUAAGACAAUCAUGUGCAACAACUUAGUGGCCUUGUGGGGCAUAUAUGGACCCAAAACAAGGGACAGUUCUUUUGGCAGCUUAAAAAAUAAGCCGCCUCCACCCCAACUUUUCCCGUAAGCUGCAUCCCUUAUUCAUUGGGGCUUCUAAACGAUUUAUGAAAUAACUAAUUUAGGAGUCUCAACAAAUUUUAGGGGCGGCUUAUUUUUUAAGAUGGGGAGAGGCAGCUUAUUUUUUAAGCCGCCCAAAAGAACUGGCCCCAAGAACCAAGGAGUUCAACUUUGAAUCGUGCACUUCGAACAAAUUUUAUGUUUGAACUAUGCAUUUUUUGCUAUGAACAAAUAUUAUUUACAUAUGAUAUUCUUGUGUAUGAUCGAGAUGCAUGGAUUUGAUGUUUUAAUAUGAUGACUGUAGUUGUUCAUCAUGACAUUUGAGUCAUCUCUGGCGCUGUCUCGAAUCGUAUUUGGGCACGUACACGGACGUUAGGGGGGUGGUGGAUUUGCUCAAUACUGUUGUAAAUGCUCUCCAACAAUAUCCCUUAAAACAUACACACUAUCCCUGUGCAGACCACGUGCAGACAGGUCUGCGGACAAAAUACGAGAGGGAGCCAUCCAAUCUUUAUUUCCAAAUUCCUCAUUUGUCCCGUUGGAAGGAGAGAGAAAAGAGAGAGGUGAGAGGGGGACUGAGGGAGUUCUGGAUUAAGGGGUCCUCGGAUAGCCAGACUAUAUACUUUGGCCGGACUGUUGGACUAUGAAAAUACAAGAUUGAAGACUUUGUCUCGUGUCCGGAUGGGACUCUCCUUUGCAUGGAAGGCAAGCUUGGAUAUUCGGACACGUAGAUUUCCUUCUCUGUAACCGACUCUGUGUAACCCUAGCCCCCUCUGGUGUCUAUAUAAAUCAGAGGGUUUAGUCCGUAGGACAAGAACAAUCAUAAUCAUAGGCUAGCUUCUAGGGUUUAGCCUCUACGACCUCGUGGUAGAUCAACUCUUGUAAUACUCAUAUCAUCAAGAUCAAUCAAGCAGGAAGUAGGGUAUUACCUCCAUCGAGAGGGCCCGAACCUGGGUAAAACAUCGUGUCCCCUGCCUCCUGUUACCAUUAGCCUUAGACACACAGUUCGGGACCCCCCUACCCGAGAUCGGCCGGUUUUAACACCGAAAUUGGUGAUUUCAUUGAGGGUUCCACUAUGCAGUCGCUGUAAGGCUUGAUGGCCCCUUCGAUCAUCUUCAACGAUGCGGUCCAGGGGGAGGUUUUCCCUCCCGGACAGAUCUUCGUAUUCGGCUGCUUCGUACUGCGGGCCAACUCGCUUGGCCAUCUGGAGCAGAUCGAUAGCUACGCCCCUUUGGCCAUCAGGUCAAGUUUGGAAGCUUAAACUACACUGCCGACAUCCGCGGAGAAUUGAUCUUCGAUGGAUCCGAGCCCAUGACAGGUGCGCCGAACAGUCACGACGGACAUGACUUUGAUCUGCCGCCAGAUAGCAUUCGGGAAAUCGCACCCACGUUGGCGCCGGGAAUCAACCCGGAGCAGAUCGUGCCUUCCGAAGACGGGGGGAUGGACCCCACCACGGAGGCCGCACAUUCAUUGGCGUUGGAGCCGAUCACUGAUUCCACCUCCUGUGAAAGGGGUGUCAUCGGACCCCCGGACUCUUCCCCGGUUGCAGGAUCCGAACCGCGUGCGUCCGUGCCUAUCGAAUCAGAUUGGGCACCCGUCAUGGAGUUCAGCGCCGUGGAUAUUUUUCACCACUCACCCUUGGGUGAUGUGCUGAACUCAUUAAGGUCUCUGUCCUUGAGGAGACUCUUGGCCGAACUAUGUCCGGCUCGAGUGGGGAGUGGACGACGAAGAAAUUUGUCCCCCACCCACCACCCACUUUAUAGCCACUGUCAAUGACUUAACCGACGUGCUUUACUUUGACUCCGAAGACAUCGACGGUAUGGACGACGAUGCAGGAGAAGAACAGGAACCACCACCUAUAGGAUGCUGGAUCGCCACCUCCUCAUAUGAUAUUUAUAUGGUGGAUACACCUAAAGAAAACAAUGGCGAUGAGGCAACGGAAGAUAACCCCUUGGGGAAGCAAUCUAGACAACGGCAUCAUCGGCGCCGCUCCAAGCCCCGCCAUAGCAAAAAUAGUGAUACCGGCACAAGGGAUAACAAUACGGAUGGUGCCAAAGACGAAUACAAUCCUGCCCAGCCAGGCUUCGGGCAGGCCGAGCAAGAGGAGGGGCAAGCUAGCCCUAAAGAAUAGGCAACUGAUGGUGAAUCAGAGGACGAUAACUAUAUGCCUCUCUCCAAAGACGAGGUGAGCCUUGGCGACAAAGAAUUCAUCAUGCCUGAGGAUCCCGUCGAGCAGGAGCGCUUCAAACGCCGGCUUAUAGCCACUGCAAAAAGCUUGAAGAAAAUGCAGCAACAACUUGAAGCUGAUCAGGAUCUGCUAAUGGACAGAUGGACUGAAGUCCUGGCUGCCGAGGAAUAUGGACUCGAGCACCCUAGCAAAAGCUACCCAAAGCGCAGGCACCUCAACUCGAGGAGGAGGCCUUAAAGCCCACGCUACCAGCGCAUGAUGCAGCUGACCAGCCACCCCACGACCCCGACAAAGCGGCUUACCAGCCCGAUGUCCAGGCCGCACCCCGUCGCCAAUCAAAUGAUAAUACUAAGGCCCGGGGCUACACGAAGGACCUGCGAGAAGUAUUGGAAAACAAAGUAGGAUAGUCAAAAUCGAUCUACGGAUCACGGGGGCGUGCCACAAGACGUGAUGAUGACCGUCACGCCGGAUACAAUAAACAAAAGUCCGGUCGAGCCGAAUACAACAGACCGGACUCAUUCGAACUACGUCGGGAUGUAGCACGACGUAGAGGCGCCGCACACUCCCUAUGCUUCACUGAUGAAGUUAUGGAUCACCAAUUCCUAGAAGGGUUUAAACCCGUAAAUAUUGAAUCAUACGAUGGCACAACAGAACCCACGGUAUGGGUCGAAGACUUUCUUCUCCACAUCCACAUGGCCCGCGGCGAUGACUUACAUGCCAUAAAGUACCUACCACUUAAGCUCAAAGGACCGGCUAGGCAUUGGCUUAAUAGCCUGCCAGCAAACUCCAUUGGCAGUUGGGAGGAUCUGGAAGACGCAUUCCUCGAUAACUUCUUGGGCACUUACGUGCGACCACCAGAUGCUGAUGACUUAAGUCGCAUAACCCAGCAGCCCGGAGAGUCAGCCAGGAAAUUCUGGAUUCGGUUCCUAACCAAAAAGAACCAUAUUGUUGACUGUCCGGACCAAAGCCUUAGCGGCCUUCAAGCAUAACAUCUGAGACGAAUGGCUCGCCCGACAACUCGGCCAAGAGAAGCCAAAGUCCAUGGCAGCACUCACGACACUCAUGACCCGCUUCUACGCGGGCGAGGACAACUGGCUGGCUUGCAGCAACGUCACACCCAAAAACUCAGGCGAUUCAGACGCCAGGGAUAGUAACAGCAAGCCGCGACAGAAUAGACACAAACGUCGCAAUAAUGGCGACAACGCCGAAGACACGACAGUCAAUGCCGGAUUCAGAGGCUUUAAAUCCGGACAGCGGAAAAAGCCAUUCAAGAGAAACGGUCCGGGCUCAUCCAGUUUGUACCGCAUACUCGAUCUCUCAUGUCAAAUUCACGGCACCCCUAAUAAACCAGCCAACCACACUAACAGGGAAUGACGGGUGUUUAAACAGGCCGGUAAGUUGAAUGCCGAAAACAAGGAAAAGGGGCUGCAUAGCGACGACGAUGAAGAGCCCCGACUGCCGAACAGGGAGGACAGAAGAAAUUCCCUCCCCAGGUGAAAACAGUGAAUAUGAUAUACACAACCCAUAUCCCCAAGCGGGAACGGAAGCGUGCACUAAGGAACGUCUACGCGAUGGAGCCAGUCGCCCCAAAAAGUAACCCAUGGUCCUCUUAUCCGAUCACUUUCGAUCGCAGGGACCAUCCUACCAGUAUCCAUCAUGGCGGUUCGGCCGCAUUGGUCCUUGACCCCAUCAUCGACGGAUUCCAUCUCACACGAGUCCUCAUGGAUGGCGGCAGCAGCCUGAAUCUGCUCUAUCAGGACACAGUGCGCAAAAUGGGCAUUGACCCCUCGAGGAUCAAGCCCACAAAAACCACCUUCAAGGGUGUCAUACCCAGUGUAGAGGCCUGUUGCACGGGCUCAAUCACACUAGAAGUGGUCUUCGGAUCUCCAGACAAUUUGCGGAGCGAGGAGCUAAUCUUCGACAUCGUCCCCUUCCGUAGCGGCUAUCAUGCACUGCUCGGACGAACCGCAUUUGGCAAAUUCAAUGCGGUACCGCAUUAUGCAUAUCUCAAGCUCAAAAUGCCGGGACCUCGCGGGGUUAUUACAGUUAAUGGAAACACAGAGCGCUCGCUUCGUACGGAGGAGCACACUGCAGCCCUCGCGGCGGAAGUACAAAACAGCCUUCUUAGGCAAACAGCCAACUCGGUGAUAAAGAACCCGGAUACCGCCAAGCGAGUCCGAAGUACUCCGCUACAGGAUCGUCCGGCACGACCAGAGCUCGACUAGCAAUUCGGCCUCCACCCUAGUCCCAGCCAAGCGGUGACAUUCGUGCCACGCGUACAUAACUACGCACUUAAAAUACCAUGGGCAUAGGCGGAGGCACGACCAUGACACGGUCCAUAAUGCGGCUCGACCGCCCCAGGACAUGCGCACUUUUGCACCCCUUUUUCUUUCAGGUCCCUACCUUCAGGAGGCUCUUCCGAAAGACCGGCUAUCGGACACAUAGCGGGACAGACACACCAUGAGGACAAGAAGCUCUGGCAUGCGAGGGAAUCCUCAGGUGGUCUCCGAUAACAAUCGGUAUACCUGUUUUACAUAACCGCAUACCGCCCGCUCCUAGUUAGGAUGUGUCAUGCAGUCCUAUUCUGCUUAUCGUGUUACUUGUAUAUGUACGCUUUGAUGUAUCAUUUUAAAGGGAAAAUAGUAUACAACGUCAGCUUGCUAUUAAGUUUAUUUGCCCCUUUUUCUUUACUGCUUAUUUAUUAUACCCGUGCAUUUUGGCAUGACCAGUUUGCCAUGGGCUUCAGUACCCCAUAACCUGGCAAGACAAGUCCGAACACUUUUGACAGUGCAGCACCCCGAACUUAUAGCACUAUAUGCAUCAACUCUGAAUCAUGUCUUGGGUCAAUAGUUGGGUUUGCCCGGCUCCUAUGUUUUGGUACCUUACGUUCCGCUAUAUCGACUAAGGUAGCGCAGGGAGAACUACUGUGAUUGUGUCCCGGUUCUUCCGGACGAGCACCUAAGUAGAGAAAGCCGAAAACUGACUGUCAUGAUAAGGCGAGAACUGGUCGUUGUUCAAGAGGUCUCAAAUCCUUAAAGAUUUUUUUUGCGUCAGGCGAGGAAUCGGCCUCGUCCGAUUUAGGCGUGCAUAGCGCCCCAAGUCCAGCUUUCCGGAUACUAGGGGCUUCACCAAAAUUUAAAAUUGUAGACUUCUAUGGCUAAGUGAGGGCGAUAAAGCCGUAUAGUCCGAUUGCCUCGUUCGUGGCGCUAAACACCUCCUUAAAAGGACCAAAAACUUGGAUAAAGAGUGUUUAUACUUAUCCCGAACACCCCAGUACUAGUUACAUGGGGGCGGAAGCCGACGACUGGCCAACUCUCAAGAAUUUUUAAAACGACCGCAUAGAAGGUAAUAUUUUAAAUUAACAAGCGCUACAUAGCGCACAUGAACUGGUUUUCAUAAUACAGGAUGACAUGAUUACAUUCAUUCAAAUAUCACAUCCUUCGUACAUUCAUCCGCCACAAGGCGGGCACCCUUAAUGACAUUGUCAUAGUACUGUUCGGGGUGGCGAUGUUCCUUGCCCUUCGGCGGCCCCUCCGUCACCAGCUUCUUGGCGUCCAUCUUCCCCUAGUGCACCUUCGCACGGGCCAAAGCCCUGCGUGCACCCUUAAUACAGACGGACCGCUUAACGACUUCAAGCCACAGACAUGCAUUCACCAUCCGCUUGAUAAAGCCGAAGUAGCUGCUUGGUAGGGGCUCGCCAGGCCACAGACGAACUAUGAAGUCCUUCAUGGCCAGUUCAGCCGCCUUGUGGAGUUCGACCAAUUGCUUUAGCUGGUCGCUCAAGGACAUCGGGUGUUCGGCCCCAAUAUACUGGGACCAAAAUAGCUUCUCCAUUGAGCUUCUCUCCUCAGCCCGGUAGAACUUUGCGACAUCAGAGAUGCUGCGCGGCAGAUCUGCGAAUGCUCCUGGAGAGCUCCGAAUUCGGGUAAGUAAAAGGAAAGUCUCCUCCACAUGCUUGCUUUGCAUAAUGAAAGCCUUAUCCGCAGCUAUCUUCUUGGCCGCCUCAAUUUCUUGGAGGGCCUUCUGGGCUUUAGCCUUAGCAUCUAGUGCGCUCUGACGGGCCUUCGCAAGCUCCAACUCUUGCGUCUUGGAGUCACACUCCAAGGACUCAAUUUUUUGAUGAAGUCCUGAAGCUCUUGCUGGACCUCACCAACUCGCGCCGCUUGUUUUUUCGCGCUCGGUGCGCUCCUUGGCCGCUUUGUUUUCGGCCUCGGACGGUGCCUUCUUGAGGGAUGCCACUUCAGUCGUGGCCCCUAGUAAAAUCCAUCGUGCUUCUAUUAGCAUCAACGAUGUUUUUCUUUGAAUAUAACACUCAGACGGGGUAUUACUUACCUUUGUUCUCCUCGAGCUGCCUCCUCACAAGGCCGAGCUCUUCUUCGGCCUGCCCAAGGCUCUGCCUCAGUCCGGCGACCUCCGCAGUGGCAGCAGCGGCGGCCAGCAGCGACGCCUGCUUAUUCACAAAGACAUAAUAUGAUUAGACUCCUGGGAAAACAUAUUUGAUCCUCUGUUCGGCUUUUCUUCCCGAACACCAAACAGAGCAUCAGGGGCUGCUGUCUGUACUGUGAUACUUUCUUAUAACUUAAAAUACUUACCUCAAAGCCUGUCAGGAGGCUGGCGCAGGCUUCGGUCAAUCCACUUUUCGCGGACUGGACCUUCGCAAUCACCGUACUCAUAAGAGUAUGGUGUCCUUCAUCAAGGGAAGCGCUCUGAAGCGCUUCCACCAAGUUAUCCGACGCCUCUGGAUGGGCAGAGGUCAUCGGCACAGACGGCUCGCCCCCCUUGACAGGCGGCUACCUGCCUGAAUUCGGAACCACUAGAGGUUCCGGCGCAGUAUCCGGCUGGGGGCCAAGCCUAUUGUGGCUCCCCUCGUCCGAAUGCAAGGGGAACUUCCCCAUGAGCCCAACAUCGGGAGUCUCACCUUGAGGCGUCUCCAGGACUACCUCCUCCUGUCCCGGCAUCCUUUGAGAUAACACCUCGGUGUCAUCUGCAGGCCGGGGGGUAGAAGCCGUCGGGAGCGAAUAGCUAUUCAUCUCCGACGAACUCAAGGACCCAUCCGAGGAGGGCAAGUCGAUGUGGGCUUUGGGCGGACUGCACAAGCAAGUCUCGGCAUAGUAAGUAAAGCUAAAAACAUGCAAAGGGUGUUAUGGCAUCCAGAUACUGACGACUUCGCUAGGGGCUUGGCCCUGGGUAGCCACUCCUCCUCACUAUAGGCGGCGGUUGUAGAGUGGUCUGGAGGGAGAGUCCUUCCCCUCUUGGACCCUUCGACCUCCCUGGAAGGGGCGACCUUCCUUUUCUUCUCCCCCUCGUUUUGGGGGAGAGAUUUUUCCCCUUUCUCCUCCUUGUUGUCGUUGGAGGAGUGCGCCUUGGUGUCUUCGUACGAUGAGUCCGGCACCACAUUGCGCCGGAGACUUUUUCUGGUCCCCACAGCCUUCUUCUUGGCCUUCUUCUCCGGCACCUCAUAAGGCGCCGGAACCAGCAUCUCCGUCAGGAGAGCGGUUGCUGGAUCUUCAGGCAACGAAGCCGGACAAUCGAUCCGCUCCGCUGUCUCCACGUAUUCCUGUUAGAUCGGUACGGUAGCUUAAGUUCCUCCCACAAAUAUGCUAAGGAAAGGCACAUCUUGCAAAAUGUAGAAUGCCUACCACAUUUGCGUGGCGCUUGGCGCUGAGUCCGCGGUCCUCGGAAGUGGGAGGAGGGACUUCGCUGGACUUGAACAACACCUUCCAGACGUCUUUGUGCAUCGUGUCAAAGAGCUCUUGCAGUGUCUGGUGUUGGGCCGUGUCGAACUCCCACAGGUUGAAUGCCCGUCUUUGACACGGGAGAAUCCGGCGAAAUAGCAUGACCUGGACCACGUUAACAAGCUUGAUAUUCUUGGUUAUCAUAUUUUUGACGCUGUUCUGGAGUCCGGUCAGCUCCGCGGAUAUGCCCUAGGCUAGGCCCUUCCUCUUCCAGGAAGUGAGCCGCACUGGGAUGCCGGAUCGGAAUUCGGGGGCCGCCACCCAGUUGGCGUCGCGCGGCUCAGUGAUGUAGAACCACCUCGAUGGCCACCCCUUCACGGUCUCCGCAAAGGAGCCUUCGAGCCAGGUGACACUGGGCAUCUUGCCCACCAUGGCGCCACCACACUCCGCCUGCUGGCCGACCACUAUCUUCGGCUUCACGUUGAAGAUCUUUAGCCAUAGGCCGAAGUGGGGCCUGAUGUGGAGAAAAGCCUCGCACACGACGAUAAACGCCGAAAUGUUGAGGAUGAAGUUAGGGGCCAGAUCAUGAAAAUCCAGCCCUUAAUAGAACAAGAGCCCGCGGACAAACGGGUGGAGGGGGAAUCCCAGUCCGCGGACGAAGUGGGCGAGGAACACGACCCUCUCAUGAGGUCCUGGAGUCGGAAUGAUCUGACCUACGUCUAGGAGCCGGUGUGCAAUAUCUGUGGUCAAAUAUCCGGCCGCCCGGAGCUUCUUAAUGUCCUCCUCCUUGACGGAGGAGGCCACCCACUUGCCUCCCGCUCCGGACAUGUUUGGCUGUGCGGAGAAGGUGAGAUCUGGGGCGCUGGAGCUCGAGUGUGCGAGAAUGGAUGAGCGAAGAAGGAAGGGGGCGUGGGUGAAAGAUGAGAAUUCUUAUCUCUUUAUAAAGGCGGUGGAAACUGUGCGCCUCCCUGAUACGUCUCCAAUGUAUCUAUAAUUUAUGAAGUAUUCAUGCUAUUAUUAUCCAUCUAUGAUGUUUUAUAUGCAUUUAUAUGCCAUUUUUAUAUGAUUUUUGGGACUAACCUAUUAACCUAGAGCCUAGUGCCAGUUUCUGUUUUCUCCUUGUUUUUGAGUUUUACAGAAAAGGAAUACCAAACGGAGUCCAAUUGACGUGCCAAUUUUUGAUGAUUUUUGAUGGACCAAAAGAAGACCAAGGAGCAUCGGAGUUGGGCCAGAAGAGUCUCGGGCUGCCCACAAGGGUGGGGGGCGCGCCCACACCCCUAGGGCACGCCCCCUAUCUCGUGGACAGCCCAGAGACCCCCCUGACGUGAAACCUAUGCCAAAAAUUCCUAUAAAUAUAGAAAACUUCGGUAAAUAACCUAGAUCGGAAGUUACGCCGCCGCAAGCCUCUGUAGCCAUGAGAAAUCAAUCUAGGCCCUCUCCGACACCCUGCCGGAGGGGGCCAUCAUCACCGGAGGCCAUGGAGGAGGAUCUCGGAGGGGCCAUCAUCACCAUGAAGGCCAAGGACCAGAGGGGGAAAGCCAUGGAGGAGGAAGCACAAUGGGGAGAACCUCUCCUUCUCUCUCUUGGUGGCACCGGAGUGCCAUCGGGAGGGGAAUCAUCGCCGCGGUGAUCGUCUUCAUCAACAUCACCAUCAUCAUCACCAUCCUCAUCUCUUUUACGCGGUCCACUCUCCCGCACCCCGCUGUAAUCCCUACUUGAACAUGGUGCUUUAUGCCGCAUAUUAUGAUUCAAUGAUGUGUUGCCAUCCUAUGCUGUUUUGAGUAGAUAUCUUUUGUCCUUGGGUUGAUUGAUGGUCUAGAUUGGUACGAGUUGUAUGUUUUAUUUUGGUGCUGUCCUAUGGUGCCCUCCGUGUCGCGCAAGCGUGAGGGAUUCCCGCUGUAGGGUGUUGCAAUACGUUCAUGAUUCGCUUAUAGUGGGUUGGUGAGUGACUGAAACACAAACCCGAGUAAGGGGGUUGUUGCGUAUGGGAAUAAAGAGGACUUGAUGCUUUAAUGCUAUGGUUGGGUUUUACCUUAAUGAUCUUUAGUAGUUGCGUACGCUUGCUAGAGUUCCAAUCAUAAGUGCAUAUGAUCCAAGUAGAGAAAGUAUGUUAGCUUAUGCCUCUCCCUCAUAUGAAAUUGCAAUGACGACUACCGGUCUUGUUAAUAAUUGGACAAUUCCGCACACCGAUCCACCAUUAUUCCACACUCGCUAUUUAUAAUAUUUAGUAAUAUAUUCUAAAUUUAUGAUAACAGCACCUACUUUCAUAUUUUAGCUCUCCGAUAUCAUGCAAAGUUAUCCUCUUUAUACCCACAACACAGUUUUAUUUCUUGUUUCUAGUUGGAAGCAAACGUUCGAUGCACGUAGAGUCGUAUCAGUGGCAGAUAGGGCUUGAGAGAAUAUUGAUCUUACCUUUAGCUCCUUGUAGGUUCGACACUCCAUACUUAUCACUUCCACCUUUGGGAAUUUCUACGAUGAUUCCCUGCACUUGGGGAUUAUCAAGUUCUUUUCUGGCGCCGUUGCCGGGGAGCAAUAGCGUGGGGUUGAUAUUCUCGUGUGUGCUUAUUUGCUUUCUUCACUAUGUAGAUUUUGUUUUUCCUUUUUGUUUUUGUUUAGUUGUGGGUUAAACAUACAAAAAUAUUUAAAAAGAAUGAAAAUACCAAAAAAUAUUUACUUGCCUCUCAUGCCUAAAAAAGUUUUUCAAAAAGAGAAGUGAUUGGAAAGUUAUGCAUUGAAGAAGUGAGGGUCGACCUUGAGCACUUGUGUUCAUGCUCACGGAAACAAUGUAGAAUUUUUCAUGGAAGUUUCUCUGUAAAUAAUUAUCCCCUUGUAUAUAUCCAUUGUAUUAUAAAAAUAAUGUGCCAAGCUUUGGUUUUAGUAUGAUAAGAUUGCUUGCUUACUAUGUGCAGAACAAAAACAGAAACUUUGGCUGUAGUGCAUGAAUUUACAUUUUUUACUGGAAAGUCAAAUGUGUCUGAAACAUUUUGCACAUUACUUAUGUACAAAUUUUUCAAAUUGUCAAAUUUAUUUCAUAAUCUUUGGAGUUACAGAAGUUUACUAAACUUCCAGAUUACUACAGACUGUCCUGUUCUUGACAAAUUCUGUUUCUCGUGUGUUGUUUGCUUAUUUUGAUGCAUCUAUGGCUAGUAUGUAAGGGUAUGAACCAUAGAGAAGUUGGAAUACAGUAGGUUUAACACCUAUAUAGAUAAAGAAUAAGUUAAUUACAGUACCUUAAAAUGGUAGUUUGCUUUAUUAGACUAACGGAUCUCACAAAGUUUUUGUUUAAGAUUUUGUGAAUGAAGUGUUUGAAGAACGAGGAGUUACCGAUGUGAGAAGAAUAAAGAGAGACAAGAGUUCAAGCUUGGGGAUGCCCAAGGCACCCCAAGUAAAUAUUUUAAAGUAUACUCAAGCAUCUAAGCUUGGGGAUGCCCCGGUUGGCAUCCCAUCUCUCUUCUUCGACAGAUAUCGGUAUACCUCGGUUUUUGUUUUGUUCACAUGAUUUGUGUCCUUUGUGUUUUUAUUUUUCUUUAAGAAUCAUGCUAGUAUGAGAUAGCUCUUCAUUGAUUUAUAGAAUACUUUAUGUGCUUCAUUUAUAUCUUUUAAGUAUGAUCUUAUAGAAUUGCUCUUUGUGCUUCACUUAAAUCGUUUGAGUGUGGUUUUAUAGAAUGCUUCGUGUGCAUCACUUAUAUAUUUUGAGCUUGGACAUUGGUUAGUCUAUAUUAAUUGUAGAAUGCUCCAUGAACUUCACUUAUAUAUUUUGGAGUAUGAAUCAUACUAUAAAUUAAAGUGGGUUUGGAAGAGUGUCAACUUUAGGAAUUAGUGAUCCCACUAUCUCGGAGGGUGUUGAACCUUAGUGUGAUAUUUAUGAAAGUGGAUUUGGAAGAGUGUCAACUUUAGUUAGUACUCCACUAUUUUGGAAGAGGUUCCAAUUGAGUAUGAGAACAAAGUUGUUAUCCAUGAUGCUACUGAAAACUAUUAUGAGGGAGGAAUAUAUGCUUGUAGGAGUUGCCAUAAUAUCAAGUUUCCUCUCUAUGUGCUUAAAGUUUUGAAGUUAAACUUGUUUUGCCUUCCAAUGCUAGUUGAUUAUUGUUCCUACAAAUUGUGUGCUCACAAAAUACCUAGGCAUAGAAAGUGGGUUAGAUUUAAAUGUGCUAGUCAUAUUCUUCAUGAUGCUCUUUUUAUGUUUCAACUCUUAUCUUUUAUGUGAGCAUCAUUGAAAUCAUCAUGCCUAGCUAAAAGGCAUUAAAGAAAAGCGCUUGUUGGGAGACAACCCAAUAUUUACCCUUACUAUUUUUGUGUGUCUACAUGAUUAAGAUAAUGUAGUAAUCAUGUUUAUAGCUUUUGUUUAAAUAAAGUGCCAAGUAAGACCUUUGGGAAGACUUGGGUGAGAGUUAAUGUGAUCUUGCUGUAAAAAACAGAAACUUUGCGCUCACGAGAUUAGCUGUCAUUUUUUACAGAAGAGUGCUUUUGAGUUGAUUAUUUUUGCAGAAGAUUAAUAGAAAAAUUCCUCAUGUCCACAAAUUUAUUUGAUAAUUUUUGGAGUAGCAGAAGUAUGGUUAUUUUUCAGGUCAUUACAGACUGUUCUGUUUCUGACAGAUUCUGUUUUCAUCGCAUAGUUUGCUUGUUUUCUAGUUUCUAUGGCUUAUAUUUCGCAAUAUAAAUUGUAGAAAUGAUAUGGUACAGUAGUGAUUGCGUGAAAACAAUUAUGAACCUUGUCUUUUACAGGACCAAAGUGAAUGGUUUACUCUUUAUCAUACUAACCUAUCUCACGAAGUUCCAUUAAGUUUUGUGUGGUUGAAGUUUUCAAGUUUUGGGUGAGAUAUCGAUAGGAGGAGAAUAAGGAGUGGUAAGAGCAUCUCCAACAGCCGCACAAAAAAUCUGCGCCCAAUAAAUGUUAUAGCGCGCCAUCAUAGAAAUUUUAAAGCGCCGGGACCAACUUUGCUUUAGCAGGUGCCCAAAAACGCGCGCCCAAAAAGCAGACAGUGCAAAUGGUGAAGAGCGCGAAAUCCGGCGCCCUAAAUAUGCUGCACGCCAUUGCGUUUUUCAGCACGCGCCCAAAAACUUUUAGCGCUACAGCUUCUGCUGGAGCUGACCGGCGCCCAAAAAAACAAACUUUUAGCGCGCGCAGCUCUUUUUGGGCGCCUGUUGGAGAUGCUCUAAGACCCUAAGCUUGGGGAUGCCCAAGGCACCCCAAGGUAAUAUUCAAGGAAGACUCAAGUGCCUAAGGUUGGGGAUGCCCCGGAAGGCAUCCCCUCUUUCGUCUUCAAAGCUAUCGGUAUACCUUACUCGGAGCUAUAUUUUUAUUCGUCACAUGAUAUGUGUUUUGCUUGGAGCGUAUUUUCAAUUUUACUUGCUGUUUGAAUAAAAUCAUUGGAUCUGAAAUAUUGAAUAAAAAAGGAACCCUCCCAUGGCUAGUUAAUUGUUUGACUACUCAGUGUCCUUCACUCAUAUCUUUUGGAGUAGUUUGUCAUUUACUCAUGUGCUUCAUGUUUAUCCUAUGAGUAAAAGGGGGAAUGAAUUGAAUGUCAUAAAUCUGAAUUUAUAUAUGUUUCAUAUGCUUAUAACAUGGAUAGUAAUGACUUCACAUAUAAAGAGUAUGAGGCAUAAAAGUUGUUGAGAGUUGACAAACAUAGUUUUGGUCAUUGUUGCAAUUAAUAGGAAGUAAUAAGGAAAGAGAGGUUCACAUACAAAUAUAUUAUCUUGGACAUCUUUUAUGAUUGUGAAGCACUCAUUAAGUAUGAAAUGCUAAAAGAGUUGAUGUUGGACAAGGAAGACAACGUAAUGGUUUAUGUUUUCUCACAUCUCAGUUAAAGUAUAUUGUCAUUGACCUUCCAAACAUGUUAAGCUUGCCUUUCCCCCUCAUGCUAGCCAAAUUCCUUACACCAAGUAGAGAUACUACUUGUGCUUCCAAAUAUCCUUAAACCCAGUUUUGCCAUGAGAGUGCACCAUACCUACCUAUGGAUUGAGUAAGAUCCUUCAAGUAAGUUGUCAUGUUGCAGGCAAUAAAAAUUGCUAUCUAAAUAUGUAUGACUUAUUGGUGCAAAGAAAAUAAGCUUUAUAUGAUCUUGUUGUGGAAGUAAUAAAAGCGACGGACUGCAUAAUAAAGGUCCACAUACAAGGGGCAAUAUAAAGUGACGUUGAGGGAGUCCUGGACUAGGGGGUGUCCGGACAGCCGGACUAUCAUCGUCCGCCGAACUCCAAGACUACGAAGGAUACAAGAUUGAAGACUCCGUCCCGUGUCCGGAUGGGACUUUCCUUGGCGUGGAAGGCAAGCUUGGCGAUACGGAUAUGUAGAUCUCCUACCAUUGUAACCGACUCUGUGUAACCCUAGCCCUCUCCGGUGUCUAUAUAAACCGGAGGGUUUUAGUCCAUAGGACACAACAACCAUUACAACAAUCAUACCAUAGGCUAGCUUCUAGGGUUUAGCCUCCUUGAUCUCGUGGUAGAUCCACUCUUGUAAUACACAUCAUCAAUAUUAAUCAAGCAGGACAUAGGGUUUUACCUCUAUCAAGAGGGCCCGAACCUGGGUAAAAACAUCGUGUCCCUUGUCUCCUGUUACCAUCCGCCUAGACGCACGGUUCGGGACCCCCUACCCGAGAUCCGCCGGUUUUGACACCGACAUUGGUGCUUUCAUUGAGAGUUCCUCUGUGUCAUCACCGAUAGGCUUGAUGGCUUCUUCAAUCAACAACAACGCCGUCCAGGGUGAGACUUUUCUCCCCAGACAGAUCUUCGUAUUUAGCGGCUUCGCACUGCGGGCCAAUUCACUUGGCCAUCUGGAGCAGAUCGAAAGCUACGCCCCUGGCCGUCAGGUCAGAUUUGGAAGCCUAAACUUCACGGUGGACAUCCGCGGAGACUUGAUCUUCGAUGGAUCCGAUCCACAGCCGUGCGUGCCGCACUGUCAUGAUGGGCAUGAUCUAACUCUGCAGCCGGACAACGCCUUGGAGGCCGCACACGAAUCCGCUGCGACCCAUAGUCCGGAGCCGAUCGCGCAGCUCGAGGACGGGUGGCUGGACACCUCCUCGGGAGCUGCAAUUUCCACGGCGAUGGAGCCGAACACUGACCUUGUCCCCUAUAAAACUCGUGACUCCGAGGAGCCGGACUCCUUGCCGGACUCCGAACCUCCUGCGCCCCUGCCAAUCGAAUCCGAUUGGACGCCGAUCAUGGAGUUCAUCGCUGCUGACAUCUUUCAGCACUCGCCCUUUGGCGACAUUCUAAAUUCACUAAAGCAUCUCUCGCUAUCCGGAGAGCCCUGACCGGAUUACGGCCAGGAUGGUUGGGAUGCGGACGACGAAGAAAUUCAAAGCCCACCCACCUCCCACUUUGUAGCCACUGUCGACGAUCUAACCGACAUGCUAGACUAUGACUCCGAAGACAUCGACGGUAUGGACGACGAUGCCGGAGACGAACAAGAACCAGCGCCUACAGGGCACUAGAAGACCACCUCGUCAUAUGACAUAUACAUGGUGGACACCCCAAAAGAUGGGGAUGGCGAAGAAGCAGCUGAGGCUGAUUCCUUAAAGAAACAGCCUAAGCGCCAACGUCAGCGGCGCCGCUCUAAAUCCCGCCACAGCAAGAAUGGAGAUUCCGGCACAGGAGAUAAUAACACCCCAGAAAGUGCCGAAGACAAUCCCCUCCAGCAAGAUUCAGUGCAGGAGGAUGCAGAAGCAAGCCCUCACGAGAGAGCGGCAGACGAAGAGGUCGAGGAUGAUAAUUACAUACCUCCCUCCGGAGACGAGGCAAGCCUCGACGACGACGAAUUCAUCAUGCCCGAGGAUCCCGUCGAACAAGAGCGUUUCAAACGCAGGCUAAUGGCCACAGCAAAUAGCCUAAAGAAAAAGCAGCAGCAGCUUGAAGCUGAUCAAGACCUGCUGGCCAACAGAUGGACCGAGGUCCUCGGGGCCGAAGAGUAUGAAUUCGAACGCCCCUCCAAAAGCUACCCAAAACGCAAGUUGCUCCCCCAAUUAGAGGAGGAAGCAUAUAUACCUUCAUCACCAGCGCACAAUACGGCCGACCGACCACCCCGUGGUCGCGACAGAGAGGCAUCCAGGCCUUCCAUCAAGACCGUACCCCGGCAUCUCUCGAAAAGUACGAAGCCACGAGGGAACGCGCCGGACUUGCAGGACAUAUUGGAGGAUAAGGCAAGACAACCCAUAUCUAUCUAUGGAUCACGUGGGCGCCCCACGACCCACGACGAAUACCGUCGAGCCGGAUACAACAACUCCGGCCGGGCCGAACACAGCAGACAACGCUCCCUUGAGCUACGUCGUGAUAUUGCUCAAUACAGAGGCGCCGCACACCCGCUAUGCUUCACUGACGAAGUAAUGGAUCAUCAAAUCCCUGAAGGGUUUAAACCGUAAACAUUGAAUCCUACGAUGACACGACAGACCCCGCGGUUUGGAUCGAAGAUUAUCUCCUUCACAUCCAUAUGGCCCACGGCGACGAUCUCCACGCCAUCAAAUACCUCCCGCUCAAGCUUAAAGGACCAGCUCGACACUGGCUUAAUAGCCUGCCCGCAGAGUCAAUUGGGUGUUGGGAGGACCUGGAAGCCGCAUUCCUCGACAACUUCCAGGGCACAUAUGUGCGGCCACCAGACGCCGAUGACCUAAGCCACAUAAUCCAGCAGCCAGACGAAUCGGCCAGACAAUUCUGGACAUGGUUCUUAACAAAGAAAAAUCAAAUUGUCGACUGUCCGGAUGCAGAGGCCCUCGCAGCCUUCAAACAUAACAUCCACGACGAGUGGCUAGCCCGGGACCUAGGACAGGAAAAGCCGAAAUCCAUGGCAGCCCUCACAUCAUUAAUGACCCGCUUCUGUGCGGGAGAGGAUAGCUGGCUAGCUCGCAGCAACAACCUCAGCAAAAAUGCUGGUAGUCCGGACACUAAGGACCACAAUGGCAGGUCGCGUCGAAGCAAAAAUAAACGCCGCGUUAAUGGCGAUGACAAGGAGGAUACGUCAGUCAACGCCGGAUUCCGAGGCUCUAAACCCGGUCAGCGGAAGAAGCCAUUCAAAAGAACCACUCCGGGUCCGUCCAAUCUGGACCGAAUACUCGACCGCUCAUGCCAGAUACAUGGCACCUCCGAAAAGCCAGCUAACCACACCAACAGAGAUUGUUGGGUAUUUAAGCAGGCAGGCAAGUUGAUUACCGAAAACAACGACAAGGGGCUGCACAGCGACGACGAGGAAGAGACCCGACCGCCGAAUAGUAGAGGACAGAAGGGUUUCCCCCCACAAGUGCGGACGGUGAACAUGAUAUACGCAACCCAUAUACCCAAGAGGGAGCGGAAGCGUGCACUAAGGGACGUAUAUGCGAUGGAGCCAGUCGCCCCUAAGUUCAAUCCAUGGUCCUCUUGCCCAAUCACUUUCGAUCGAAGAGACCAUCCGACCAGUAUCCGCCAUGGCGGAUUCGCCGCAUUGGUUUUAGACCCAAUCGUCGAUGGAUUUCACCUCACGAGAGUCCUGAUGGACGGCGGCAGUAGCCUGAACCUGCUUUAUCAGGAUACAGUGCGCAAGAUGGGCAUAGACCCCUCAAGGAUUAAACCUACAAAGACGACCUUCAAAGGCGUCAUACCAGGUGUUGAGGCCAAUUGUACAGGCUCAGACACACUGGAAGUGGUCUUCGGAUCCCCGGACAAUUUCCGGAGCGAGGAGUUAAUCUUCGACAUAGUCCCGUUCCGCAGCGGCUAUCAUGCUCUGCUCGGGCGAACCGCGUUCGCAAAGUUCAACGCGGUGCCGCACUACGCAUACCUCAAGCUCAAGAUGCCAGGCCCUCGUGGAGUCAUCACGGUCAACGGAAAUACGGAAUGCUCCCUCCGAACGGAGGAACAUACAGCGGCUCUCGCGGCAGAAGUACAGAGCAGCCUUCUAAGGCAACUUUCGAGUCCGGCCGUUAAACGGCCGGACACGGCCAAACGCGCCCGGAGCAACAUCAACCAAGACCACCUGGCACGUUUCAAGCACGCGUAGCAAUGCGGCCCCAACCCCAGCCCUUGCCUAACUGCAAGACCAACCCUCCGCGUACAUCAUUACGCUCUGGAGAUACCAUGGGCCUAGGGGGAGGGGCACGACCACAACAGACCCAGAGUGCGGCUCGACCACACCAGGGGCUCACAAGUGUGUCGCUCUUUUUUAUUAUUUUCCUUCUUUGUAUAUACAGGACUCCGUUCACCAGAGGCCCUGUCCGGCGGCGAACCCGCCGCACUCCGAUGCAACAGCCAGGGAGGGAAAAAGGCUGCGACGAACACUCAGGUGGUCUCCAUUACGAGCAUUAAAUUAUAUACACCAGUCCGCAGCCCACCCCUGGAGGGGGACAUGUUUAAUUAGUCCAAUCCCUUGCUUACCGCACUAUUUGUAUCAUUCCGCACUCAUAGCAGAAUUCCUUGAAUAAAUAAUGCAGCACUUUUUGCCUGUUAUUGCAUUACUUUACAUAUAUGUUCACUAAUGACAUCUUGCACCCGUAUAUUUUGGUACGGCCGAAUACACCAGGGGCUUAUGUUCCCCGCAUUAUGGUGUGAUAAGUCCGAACACUUUCACAAGUGUGGCACCCCAAACUUAUAGCAUUAUAUGAAUCGGCUCCGAAUCAUGUCUUGGGUCAAUAGUUGGGUUUGCCCGGCUCCCACGUUUUGGUACCUUACGUUCCGUUCUGUCGGCUAAGGUGGCACUGGGAGAACCACUGCGAUUGCGCCCCGGUUGAGCUGGGCGAGCGCCUCAGUGGAGAAAGCUAAAACUGACUGUCAUGAUAAGGCAAGAGACUGGUCGCUGUUCGAGAGGUUUUUUCGAGUCCUUAAAGACUUAUGCCGCUUCAAGCGAAGAACCAGAUAAUGUCUGGCCAAGGCGUGGAUAGCGCCCCGAACUCAGUCUUCCGAAUACUAGGGGCUUCGCCGAAAUUUAAAAUUAUAGAAUUCUAUGGCUAAGUGAGAGUGUUCAAGCAUUAUAAGUCCGGUUGCCUUGUUCGUUGUGUUGAGCGCCUCCCUAGAUGGACCCAAGAAUGGGAACAAGAGUGCUCAAAUUUAUCCCGAACACCCCAGCACUCGUGGCUUGGGGGCUGAAGCCGACGACUUGCCAUCUCUCAGAUUUUAUAACCGGCCGCACAUAAGGUAAUAUUUUAAAUCAAACAAGCGUUGCUUAGCGCAUAUGAACAAAGUUUUCAGCGCACAGGAUAAUACAUAGCGAGUCUACUCAAUAAUUACAUCUCUAGGGCACUCAUCCGCAAUCUUGCGGGCACCCUUCAGGACAGUCUUAUAGUACAUUUCGGGCGUACGAUACUCCUUGCCCGCUGGUGGCGCGUCAGUGAUAAGCUUCACCACAUCCAGCCUGCCCCAGUGCACCUUUGCGCGGGCAAGGGCCCGACGAGCGCCUUCAAUACAGGCGGAGCGCUUGAUGACCUCCACCCAGGGGCACGCAUCCACCAGCCGCCGCACGAGGCCGAAGUAGCUCCCAGGCAUGGCCUCUCCAGGCCAUAGCCGGACUAUGAGGCCCUUCAUGGCCUGCUCGGCUACCUUGUGGAGCUCGACCAGCUGCUUGAGCUGGUCGCUAGGGGGCACCGGAAGGCCGGCCUCAGUGUACUGAGACCAUAAGACCUUCUCCAUUGAGCUCCCCUCCUCGCCACGGUAGAAUGCGGCGGCAUCGGAUACACUGCGAGGCAGAUCUGCAAACGCCACUGGAGAGCUCCGGAUUCGGGUAAGUGUCAGGUAGUUUACAUUAACAUGCUUGCUUUGCAUGAAAAAUGCCUUACCCGCCGCUAUUUUCUUCACAUCCUCAACCUCCUGAAGGGCCUUAUGGGCCUCGGUCUUGGUGGCUUUGGCACUUUCGAGAGCCGAGGCAAGCUCGGACCCUCGAGUCUUUGAGUCGCGCUCCAAACUCUCAUGCUUUUCCAUGAGAGCUUGGAGCUCUUGCCGCACUUCCGCCACCCGCGCCUCCUGCUUCUCUUGCUCUGCCCGCUCCGCAGCCACAUUGCGUUCGGCUGCGGACAUAUCCUCCUUCAGGGUCGCCACCUCGUUCGUGGCCCCUGCAGUACCCACGUUAUCCUUGUCAUUUUUAUUGCAACCUAAAUCCUUUUCUGUAAGGUAACUAUUCAAAGUGGUGUUACUCACCUUCUUUGUCCUCGAGCUGCUUCUUGGCACGGCCGAGCUCUUGCUCGGACCGCUCGAGGUCCUGCUUCAAAGCACUGACCUCCGCAGUCAGUGCGGCAGAGGUCAGCAGCGCAACCUGCAAACCCAUAUUGACAUAAUUUUUAGCAACCCUGCGUACAUCUUUUUAGAUCCUCAGUCCGGCUUUUCUUUCCGAACACCGAACCGAGCAUCAGGGGCUACUGUCUAUGCGGUAUUACAUUACACAAUUUUAACUUCUUACCUCAAAGCCUGUUAGAAGGCUGCUGCAGGCUUCGGUCAGCCCGCUCUUGGCGAGCUGAACCUUCUGAAUCACCGCACUCAUGAUAGUGCGGUGUUCUUCCUCGAUGGAAGCGCCUUUGAGCGCCUCCACCAAGUUGUCCGACGCCUCCGGUUGGACGGGGGCCGCCGGUGUCACGGUCUUGCCCUUCUUGCGAAGGGGCAGCCUGCCGGACUCCGGAACCACUACGGGUUUCGGUGUGGAGUCCGGCACAAAGUCCGGGAGGCUGCCUUGCGGCGCCUCCGGAGCCUCCUCCUGAUGGGUCCCUUCCUGGGAUCCCACCUCGGCGUCCUCAGCAGCGCGAGGGGUGGAGGUAGUCUGAAUGGAAUCCACAUCCGACGGAGCCAAUGACCCGCUCGACGAAGCGGGAAGAUCAUCGUCGGCCGGACUGCAGGCAGUAUGCGGCAUUAGAGGGACACUAUUUGACACAAAAGAAAUUGCAAAUCAUUCAGGAAUCCGGAUACUUACGAUCUUGCCGGAGGCCUGGCCCUUGAGGGCCACUCUUCAUCGCCAACGUUGGUGUUGGCGGAGCUGUCCAGGGGAAUAGUUCUUCCCCUCUUGGACCCUUCGGCCUCCCCUGUCGGGGAGGCCUUCCUCUUUCUCUCUCCCUCCUCUGGGAGAGAGUCUUCUUCCUCCUCCUCAUCUUCGGGGGAGGAAUCCGCCUCGAAGUCGUCGGACACCUGAAAACGGGAACUCUUUCGAGUACCCGUGGCCACCUUCUUGGCCUUCUUCUCCGGCACCACAUGUGGUGCCGGAACCAGUAGCCCCGCUAGACGGGCGUCCACUGGGUUUUCUGGCAUGGGAGCCGGGCAGAUGAGCUGCUCGGCCUUCUUCGUCCAUUCCUGUCAAAGGAAAAGGGAGAUUGAAACCCGCUUAGGGUCGAACUAUUAACAACAAGUGUCCCGUAAAGGGGUAGAAUCACUUACCUCAUCAGCUGGACGCUGCAAGUGAAAUCCGCGAUCUUCCGUCGCGGAUGCGGGGGCUUCGGCGCCCUUAAAAAGCACCCUCUAGGCGCCUUCGUAUGUCGUGUCGAAGAGCCCGCUCAACACCUGGUGCUGUGCCGGAUCAAACUCCCACAGGUUGAAUGCCCGUUCUUGGCAUGGGAGAAUCCGGCGGACGAGCAUGACUUGGACCACAUUAACAAGCCUGAGCUUCUUGUUCACCAGCUUCUGGAUACAGGCUUGGAGUCCCGUCACCUCCUUCGAACUACCCCAUAGCAAGCCCUUCUCUUUCCAGGAGGUGAGCUGCACAGGGAUACCAGAUCUAAACUCGGGGCCGCCGCCCACGUAGGGCCGCGCGGCUCGGUGAUGUAGAACCACCCCGACUGCCACCCCUUGACGGACUCCACGGAGGCCCCCUCGAACCAGAGGACGUUGGGCAUCUUGCCCAACAUGGCGCAUCCGCACUCCGCCUGCGUGCCCUUCACUACCUUCGGCUUGACAUUGAAGGUCUUGAGCCACAAGCCGAAGUGGGGCUGGAUGUAGAGGAAGGCCUCGCACACGACGAUGAACGCCGAGAUGUUGAGGAUGAAGUUCGGCGCCAGAUCAUUGAAAUCCAGGCCGUAGUAGAACAUGAGCCCCCAGACAAAGGGGUGAAGUGGAAAGCCCAGUCCGCGGAGGAAGUGGGGGAGAAAUACGACCCUCUCAUGGGGCCUGGGGGUAGGAAUGAGCUGCCCCUUGUCGGGCAACUGGUGCGCGAUGUCGCCGGAAAGGUAUCCGGCGCUGCGCAGUUUGGCGAUGUGCUCCUCCUUAAUGGUGGAGGCCAAAAAUUUACCUCCCGCUCCGGACAUGGUCGGAGAAGGUCGAGACGAGAUGCGCGAACUUGGGAGCUGGAGCUCAAGUACGCGGAGACGGAUAAGCAAAGGAGGAAGAAGGCGUAGGUAAAAAGGCGGAUCCUUAUCCCCUUAUAUAUAGGCGGACGAAGACUAUACGUCCCCACCAGCCUGGUAAAACUCGCUUAUCUCCCAAGCGCCACCAUCAAUGGCGCGGUUGGGUUACCCACUGUUGAAAUAUGCCCUAGAGGCAAUAAUAAAAGUAUUAUUAUAUUUCAUUGUUCAUGAUAAUUGUCUUUUAUUCAUGAUAAUUGUCUUUUAUUCAAUGGCGCGGUCCUUGCGAAGGUUAAAACGGAGUCUAUUUGACAAACUAUCAUUGUGGUUUUGAUGCGUAGGUGAGAUUGGUUCUUACUUAAGCCCGUAGCAGCCACGUAAAACUUGCAACAACAAAGUAGAGGACGUCUAACUUGUUUUUGCAGGGCAUGUUGUGAUGUGAUAUGGUCAAGGCAUGAUGCUGAAUUUUAUUGUAUGAGAUGAUCAUGUUUUGUAACCGAGUUAUCAGCAACUGGCAGGAGCCAUAUGGUUGUCGCUUUAUUGUAUGCAAUGCAAUCGCGAUGUAAUGCUUUACUUUAUUACUAAACGGUAGUGAUAGUCGUGGAAGCAUAAGAUUGGCGAGACGACAAUGAUGCUACGAUGGAGAUCAAGGUGUCGCGCCGGUGACGAUGGUGAUCAUGAAGGUGCUACGGAGAUGGAGAUCACAAGCACAAGAUGAUGAUGGCCAUAUCAUAUCACUUAUAUUGAUUGCAUGUGAUGUUCAUCUUUUUAUGCAUCUUAUCUUGCUUUGAUUGACGGUAGCAUUAUAAGAUGAUCUCUCACUAAAUUAUCAAGAAGUGUUCUCCCUGAGUAUGCACCGUUGCCAAAGUUCGUCGUGCCUAGACACCACGUGAUGAUCGGGUGUGAUAAGCUCUACGUCCAUCUACAACGGGUGCAAACCAGUUUUGCACAAGCAGAAUACUCAGGUUAAACUUGACGAGCCUAGCAUAUGCAGAUAUGGCCUCGGAACACGGAGACCGAAAGGUCGAGCGUGAAUCAUAUAGUAGAUAUGAUCAACAUAACGAUGUUCACCAUUGAAAACUACUCCAUCUCACGUGAUGAUCGGUUAUGGUUUAGUUGAUUUGGAUCACGUAAUCACUUAGAAGAUUAGAGGGAUGUCUGUCUAAGUGGGAGUUCUUUAGUAAUAUGAUUAAUUGAACUUAAAUUUAUCAUGAACUUAGUCCCUGAUAGUAUCUUGCUUGUUUAUGUUGAUUGUAGAUAGAUGGCUCGUGCUGUUGUUCCGUUGAAUUUUAAUGCGUUCCUUGAGAAAGCAAAGUUGAAAGAUGAUGGUAGCAAUUACACGGACUGGGUCCGUAACUUGAGGAUUAUCCUCAUUGCUGCUCAGAAGAAUUACGUCCUGGAAGCACCGCUGGGUGCUAGGCCUGCUGCUGGAGCAACACCAGAUGUUAUGAACAUCUGGCAGAGCAAAGCUGAUGACUACUCGAUAGUUCAGUGUGCCAUGCUUUACGGCUUAGAAUCGGGACUUCAACGACGUUUUGAACGUCAUGGAGCAUAUGAGAUGUUCCAGGAGUUGAAGUUAAUAUUUCAAGCAAAUGCCCGAAUUGAGAGAUAUGAAGUCUCCAAUAAGUUCUAUAGCUGCAAGAUGGAGGAGAACAGUUCUGUUAGUGAGCAUAUACUCAAAAUGUCUGGGUAUAAUAAUCACUUGAUUCAAUUGGGAGUUAAUCUUCCAGAUGAUUGCGUCAUUGACAGAAUUCUCCAAUCACUGCCACCAAGCUACAAGAGCUUCGUGACGAACUAUAAUAUGCAAGGGAUGAACAAGACUAUUCUCGAGCUCUUCGCAAUGCUGAAAGCUGCGGAGGUAGAAAUCAAGAAGGAGCAUCAAGUGUUGAUGGUUAACAAGACCACUAGUUUCAAGAAAAAGGGCAAAGGAAAGAAGAAGGGGAACUUCAAGAAGAACGGCAAGCAAGUUGCUGCUCAAGAGAAGAAACCCAAGUCUGGACCUAAGCCUGAAACUGAGUGCUUCUACUGCAAGCAGACUGGUCACUGGAAGCGGAACUGCCUCAAGUAUUUGGCGGAUAAGAAGGAUGGCAAGGUGAACAAAGGUAUAUGUGAUAUACAUGUUAUUGAUGUGUACCUUACUAGAGCUCGCAGUAGCACCUGGGUAUUUGAUACUGGUUCUGUUGCUAAUAUUUGCAACUCGAAACAGGGACAACGGCAUAAGCGGGCACUGGCAAAGGACGAGGUGACGAUGCGCGUGGGAAACGGUUCCAAAGUCGAUGUGAUCACGGUCGGCACGUUAUCUCUACAUCUACCUUCGGGAUUUAUAUUAGACCUAAAUAAUUGUUAUUUGGUGCCAGCGUUGAGCAUGAACAUUAUAUCUGGAUCUUGUUUAAUGCAAGACGGUUAUUCAUUUAAAUCAGAGAAUAAUGGUUGUUCUAUUUAUAUGAGUAAUGUCUUUUAUGGUCAUGCACCCUUGAAGAGUGGUCUAUUCUUAUUGAAUCUCGAUAGUAGUAAUACACAUAUUCAUAAUGUUGAAGCCAAAAGAUGCAGAGUUGAUAAUGAAAGUGCAACUUAUUUAUGGCACUGUCGUUUAGGUCAUAUCGGUAUAAAGCGCAUGAAGAAACUCCAUACUGAUGGACUUUUGGAACCACUUGAUUAUGAAUCACUUGGUACUUGCGAACCGUGCCUCAUGGGCAAGAUGACUAAAACACCGUUCUCCGGUACUAUGGAGAGAGCAACAGAUUUGUUGGAAAUCAUACAUACCGAUGUAUGUGGUCCGAUGAAUAUUGAGGCUCGUGGCGGAUAUCGUUAUUUUCUCACCUUCACAGAUGAUUUAAGCAGAUAUGGGUAUAUCUACUUAAUGAAACAUAAAUCUGAAACAUUUGAAAAGUUCAAAGAAUUUCAGAGUGAAGUUGAAAAUCAUCGUAACAAGAAAAUAAAGUUUCUACGAUCUGAUCGUGGAGGAGAAUAUUUGAGUUACGAGUUUGGUGUACAUUUGAAAAACUGUGGAAUAGUUUCGCAACUCACGCCACCCGGAACACCACAGCGUAAUGGUGUGUCCGAACGUCGUAAUCGUACUUUACUAGAUAUGGUACGAUCUAUGAUGUCUCUUACAGAUUUACCGCUAUCAUUUUGGGGUUAUGCUUUAGAGACGGCCGCAUUCACGUUAUAUAGGGCACCAUCAAAAUCCGUUGAGAUGACGCCUUAUGAACUGUGGUUUGGCAAGAAACCAAAGUUGUCGUUUCUUAAAGUUUGGGGCUGCGAUGCUUAUGAGAAAAAACUUCAACCUGAUAAGCUCGAACCCAAAUCGGAGAAAUGUGUCUUCAUAGGAUACCCAAAGGAAACUGUUGGGUACACCUUCUAUCACAGAUCCGAAGGCAAGACAUUCGUUGCUAAGAAUGGAUCCUUUCUAGAGAAGGAGUUUCUCUCGAAAGAAGUGAGUGGGAGGAAAGUAGAACUUGACGAGGUAACUAUACCUACUCCCUUGUUGGAAAGUAGUAUAUCACAGAAAAUUGUUUCUGCGACACCUACACCAAUAAGUGAGGAAGUUAAUGAUAAUGAUCAUGAAACUUCAGAUCAAGAUACUACUGAACCUCGUAGAUCAACCAGAGUAAGAUCCGCGCCAGAGUGGUACGGUAAUCCUGUUCUGGAAGUCAUGCUACUAGAUCAUGAUGAACCUACGAACUAUGAAGAAGCGAUGGUGAGCCCAGAUUCCGCAAAGUGGCUUGAAGCCAUGAAAUCUGAGAUGGGAUCCAUGUAUGAGAACAAAGUAUGGACUUUGGUUGACUUGCCCGAUGAUCGGCAAGCAAUUGAGAAUAAAUGGAUCUUCAAGAAGAAGACUGACGCUGAUGGUAAUGUUACUGUCUACAAAGCUCGACUUGUCGCAAAAGGUUUUCGGCAAGUUCAAGGGAUUGACUACGAUGAGACCUUCUCACCCGUAGCGAUGCUUAAGUCCGUCCGAAUCAUGUUAGCGAUUGCCGCAUUUUAUGAUUAUGAAAUUUGGCAGAUGGAUGUCAAAACUGCAUUCCUGAAUGGAUUUCUGGAAGAAGAGUUGUAUAUGAUGCAACCGGAAGGUUUUGUCGAUUCAAAGGGAGCUAACAAAGUGUCCAAGCUCCAGCGAUCCAUUUAUGGACUAGUGCAAGCAUCUCGGAGUUGGAAUAAACGCUUUGAUAGUGUGAUCAAAGCAUUUGGUUUUAUACAGACAUUCGGAGAAGCCUGUAUUUACAAGAAAGUGAGUGGGAGCUCUGUAGCAUUUCUGAUAUUAUAUGUGGAUGACAUAUUGCUGAUUGGAAAUGAUAUAGAAUUUCUGGAUAGCAUAAAGGGAUACUUGAAUAAAAGUUUUUCAAUGAAAGACCUCGGUGAAGCUGCUUACAUAUUAGGCAUUAAGAUCUAUAGAGAUAGAUCAAGACGCUUAAUUGGACUUUCACAAAGCACAUACCUUGACAAAAUUUUGAAAAAGUUCAAAAUGGAUCAAGCAAAGAAAGGGUUCUUGCUUGUGUUACAAGGUGUGAAGUUGAGUAAGACUCAAUGCCCGACCACUGCAGAAGGUAGAGAGAAUAUGAAAGAUGUUCCCUAUGCAUCAGCCAUAGGAUCUAUCAUGUAUGCAAUGCUGUGUACCAGACCUGAUGUGUGCCUUGCUAUAAGUUUAGCAGGGAGGUACCAAAGUAAUCCAGGAGUGGAUCACUGGACAGCGGUCAAGAACAUCCUGAAAUACCUGAAAAGGACUAAGGAUAUGUUUCUCGUAUAUGGAGGUGACAAAGAGCUCACCGUAAAAGGUUACGUUGAUGCAAGCUUUGACACUGAUCUGGACGAUUCUAAAUCGCAAACCGGAUACGUGUUUACAUUAAACGGUGGAGCUGUCAAUUGGUGCAGUUCUAAACAAAGCGUCGUAGCAAGAUCUACAUGUGAAGCGGAGUACAUAGCUGCUUCGGAAGCAGCGAACGAAGGAGUCUGGAUGAAGGAGUUCAUAUCCGAUCUAGGUGUCAUACCUAGUGCAUCGGGUCCAAUGAAAAUCUUUUGUGACAACACUGGUGCAAUUGCCUUGGCAAAGGAAUCCAGAUUUCACAAAAGAACCAAACACAUCAAGAGACGCUUCAAUUCCAUCCGGGAUCUAGUCCAGGUGGGAGACAUAGAGAUUUGCAAGAUACAUACGGAUCUGAAUGUUGUAGACCCGUUGACUAAGCCUCUUCCACGAGCAAAACAUGAUCAGCACCAAAGCUCCAUGGGUCUUAGAAUCAUUACAGUGUAAUCUAGAUUAUUGACUCUAGUGCAAGUGGGAGACUGAAGGAAAUAUGCCCUAGAGGCAAUAAUAAAGUUAUUAUUUAUUUCCUUAUAAUCAUGAUAAAUGUUUAUUAUUCAUGCUAGAAUUGUAUUAACCGGAAACAUAAUACAUGUGUGAAUACAUAGACAAACAAAAUGUCACUAGUAUGCCUCUACUUGACUAGCUCGUUAAUCAAAGAUGGUUAUGUUUCCUGACCAUGAACAAUGAGUUGUUAUUUGAUUAACGAGGUCACAUCAUUGGUUGAAUGAUCUGAUUGACAUGACCCAUUCCAUUAGCUUAGCACCCGAUCGUUUAGUCUGUUGCUAUUGCUUUUCUUCAUGACUUAUACAUGUUCCUAUGACUAUGAGAUUAUGCAACUCCCGUUUGCCGGAGGAACACUUUGGGUGCUACCAAACGUCACAACGUAACUGGGUGAUUAUAAAGGAGCAUUACAGGUGUCUCCAAAGGUAGAUGUUGAGUUGGCGUAUUUCAAGAUUAGGAUUUGUCACUCCGAUUGACGGAGAGGUAUCUCUGGGCCCUCUCGGUAAUACACAUCACAUAAGACUUGCAAGCAUUACAACUAAUAUGUCAGUUGUGAGAUGAUGUAUUACGGAACGAGUAAAGAGACUUGCCGGUAACGAGAUUGAACUAGGUAUUGGAUACCGACGAUCGAAUCUCGGGCAAGUAACAUACCGAUGACAAAGGGAACAACGUAUGUUGUUAUGCGGUCUGACCGAUAAAGAUCUUCGUAGAAUAUGUAGGAGCCAAUAUGGGCAUCCAGGUCCUGCUAUUGGUUAUUGACCGUAGACGUGUCUCGGUCAUGUCUACAUUGUUCUCGAACCCGUAGGGUCCGCACGCUUAAGGUUACGAUGACAGUUACAUUAUGAGUUUAUGCAUUUUGAUGUACCGAAGUUUGUUCGGAGUCCCGGAUGUGAUCACGGACAUGAAGAGGAGUCUCGAAAUGGUCGAGACGUAAAGAUUGAUAUAUUGGAAGCCUAUGUUUGGACAUCGGAAGUGUUCUGGGUGAAAUCGGGAUUUUACCGGGUUACCGGGAGGUUACCGGAACCCCCCGGGAGCCAUAUGGGCCUUCAUGGGCCUUAGUGGAAAGGUGAAAGGGCUGCCCACAAGGGCUGCGCGUCUCCCCCCUUCCCCUAGUCCUAUUAGGACUAGGAGAGGUGGCCGACCACCCUUCUCCCUCUUUCCCCCUCUGAGGAAUCCUAGUUGGACUAGGAUUGGGGGGAGGAAUCCUACUCCCAGAGGGAGUAGGACUCUCCUACGCCUCCCCUCCUUGGCCGGCCAGCCCUCCCCCUUGGAUCCUUUAUAUACGGAGGCAGGGGCACCCCAUAGACACAAGUUGAUCCACGUGAUCUAUUCCUUAGCCGUGUGCGGUGCCCCCUGCCACCAUAUUCCUCGAUAAUACUGUAGCGGAGUUUAGGCGAAGCCCUGCUGCUGUAGUUCAUCAAGAUCGUCACCACGCCGUCGUGCUGACGGAACUCUUCCCCGACACUUUGCUGGAUCGGAGUCCGGGGAUCGUCAUCGAGCUGAACGUGUGCUCGAACUUGGAGGUGCCGUAGUUUCGGUGCUUGAUCGGUUGGAUCGUGAAGACGUACGACUACUUCCUCUACGUCGUGUCAUCGCUUCCGCAGUCGGUCUACGUUGGGUACGUAGACAACACUCUCCCCCUCGUUGCUAUGCAUCACAUGAUCUUGCGUGUGCGUAGGAAUUUUUUUGAAAUUACUACGAAACCCAACAGUGGCAUCCGAGCCUAGGUUAUUUAUGUUGAUGUUAUAUGCACGAGUAGAACACAAGUGAGUUGUGGACGAUACAAGUCAUACUGCCUACCAGCAUGUCAUACUUUGGUUCGGCGGUAUUGUUGGACGAGACGACCCGGACCAACCUUACGCGAGACCGAUUCCCUCGACGUGCGUUGCACAGAGAUGGCUUGCGGGCGAAUGUCUCUCCAACUUUAGUUGAACCAAAUAUGGCUACGCCCGGUCCUUGCGAAGGUUAAAACGGAGUCUAUUUGACAAACUAUCGUUGUGGUUUUGAUGCGUAGGUGAGAUUGGUUCUUACUUAAGCCCGUAGCAGCCACGUAAAACUUGCAACAACAAAGUAGAGGACGUCUAACUUGUUUUUGCAGGGCAUGUUGUGAUGUGAUAUGGUCAAGGCAUGAUGCUGAAUUUUAUUGUAUGAGAUGAUCAUGUUUUGUAACCGAGUUAUCGGCAACUGGCAGGAGCCAUAUGGUUAUCGCUUUAUUGUAUGCAAUGCAAUCACGAUGUAAUGCUUUACUUUAUUACUAAACGGUAGUGAUAGUCGUGGAAGCAUAAGAUUGGCGAGACGACAACGAUGCUACGAUGGAGAUCAAGGUGUCGCGCCGGUGACGAUGGUGAUCAUGAAGGUGCUACGGAGAUGGAGAUCACAAGCACAAGAUGAUGAUGGCCAUAUCAUAUCACUUAUAUUGAUUGCAUGUGAUGUUCAUCUUUUUAUGCAUCUUAUCUUGCUUUGAUUGACGGUAGCAUUAUAAGAUGAUCUCUCACUAAAUUAUCAAGAAGUGUUCCCUGAGUAUGCACCAUUGCCAAAGUUCGUCGUGCCGAGACACCACGUGAUGAUCGGGUGUGAUAAGCUCUACGUCCAUCUACAACGGGUGCAAGCCAGUUUUGCACAAGCAGAAUACUCAGGUUAAACUUGACGAGCCUAGCAUAUGCAGAUAUGGCCUCGGAACACGGAGACCGAAAGGUCGAGCGUGAAUCAUAUAGUAGAUAUGAUCAACAUAACGAUGUUCACCAUUGAAAACUACUCCAUCUCACGUGAUGAUCGGUUAUGGUUUAGUUGAUUUGGAUCACGUAAUCACUUAGAAGAUUAGAGGGAUGUCUGUCUAAGUGGGAGUUCUUUAGUAAUAUGAUUAAUUGAACUUAAAUUUAUCAUGAACUUAGUCCCUGAUAGUAUCUUGCUUGUUUAUGUUGAUUGUAGAUAGAUGGCUCGUGCUGUUGUUCCGUUGAAUUUUAAUGCGUUCCUUGAGAAAGCAAAGUUGAAAGAUGAUGGUAGCAAUUACACGGACUGGGUCCGUAACUUGAGGAUUAUCCUCAUUGCUGCUCAGAAGAAUUACGUCCUGGAAGCACCGCUGGGUGCCAGGCCUGCUGCUGGAGCAACACCAGAUGUUAUGAACGUCUGGCAGAGCAAAGCUGAUGACUACUCGAUAGUUCAGUGUGCCAUGCUUUACGGCUUAGAAUCGGGACUUCAACGACGUUUUGAACGUCAUGGAGCAUAUGAGAUGUUCCAGGAGUUGAAGUUAAUAUUUCAAGCAAAUGCCCGAAUUGAGAGAUAUGAAGUCUCCAAUAAGUUCUAUAGCUGCAAGAUGGAGGAGAACAGUUCUGUUAGUGAGCAUAUACUCAAAAUGUCUGGGUAUAAUAAUCACUUGAUUCAAUUGGGAGUUAAUCUUCCAGAUGAUUGCGUCAUUGACAGAAUUCUCCAAUCACUGCCACCAAGCUACAAGAGCUUCAUGAUGAACUAUAAUAUGCAAGGGAUGAACAAGACUAUUCCCGAGAUCAUCGCAAUGCUGAAAGCUGCGGAGGUAGAAAUCAAGAAGGAGCAUCAAGUGUUGAUGGUUAACAAGACCACUAGUUUCAAGAAAAAGGGCAAAGGAAAGAAGAAGGGGAACUUCAAGAAGAACGGCAAGCAAGUUGCUGCUCAAGAGAAGAAACCCAAGUCUGGACCUAAGCCUGAAACUGAGUGCUUCUACUGCAAGCAGACUGGUCACUGGAAGCGGAACUGCCCCAAGUAUUUGGCGGAUAAGAAGGAUGGCAAGGUGAACAAAGGUAUAUGUGAUAUACAUGUUAUUGAUGUGUACCUUACUAGAGCUCGCAGUAGCACCUGGGUAUUUGAUACUGGUUCUGUUGCUAAUAUUUGCAACUCGAAACAGGGACUACGGAAUAAGCGGGCUCUCGCAAAGGACGAGGUGACGAUGCGCGUGGGAAACGGUUCCAAAGUCGAUGUGAUCACGGUCGGCACGUUAUCUCUACAUCUACCUUCGGGAUUAAUAUUAGACCUAAAUAAUUGUUAUUUGGUGCCAGCGUUGAGCAUGAACAUUAUAUCUGGAUCUUGUUUAAUGCAAGACGGUUAUUCAUUUAAAUCAGAGAAUAAUGGUUGUUCUAUUUAUAUGAGUAAUGUCUUUUAUGGUCAUGCACCCUUGAAGAGUGGUCUAUUCUUAUUGAAUCUCGAUAGUAGUAAUACCCAUAUUCAUAAUGUUGAAGCCAAAAGAUGCAUAGUUGAUAAUGAAAGUGCAACUUAUUUAUGGCACUGUCGUUUAGGUCAUAUCGGUAUAAAGCGCAUGAAGAAACUCCAUACUGAUGGACUUUUGGAACCACUUGAUUAUGAAUCACUUGGUACUUGCGAACCGUGCCUCAUGGGCAAGAUGACUAAAACACCGUUCUCCGGUACUAUGGAGAGAGCAACAGAUUUGUUGGAAAUCAUACAUACCGAUGUAUGUGGCCCGAUGAAUAUUGAGGCUCGUGGCGGAUAUCGUUAUUUUCUCACCUUCACAGAUGAUUUACGCAGAUAUGGGUAUAUCUACUUAAUGAAACAUAAAUCUGAAACAUUUGAAAAGUUCAAAGAAUUUCAGAGUGAAGUUGAAAAUCAUCAUAACAAGAAAAUAAAGUUUCUACGAUCUGAUCGUGGAGGAGAAUAUUUGAGUUACGAGUUUGGUGUACAUUUGAAAAACUGUGGAAUAGUUUCGCAACUCACGCCACCCGGAACACCACAGCGUAAUGGUGUGUCCGAACGUCGUAAUCAUACUUUACUAGAUAUGGUACGAUCUAUGAUGUCUCUUACAGAUUUAACGCUAUCAUUUUGGGGUUAUGCUUUAGAGACGGCCGCAUUCACGUUAUAUAGGGCACCAUCAAAAUCCGUUGAGACGACGCCUUAUGAACUGUGGUUUGGCAAGAAACCAAAGUUGUCGUUUCUUAAAGUUUGGGGCUGCGAUGCUUAUGUGAAAAAACUUCAACCUGAUAAGCUCGAACCCAAAUCGGAGAAAUGUGUCUUCAUAGGAUACCCAAAGGAAACUGUUGGGUACACCUUCUAUCACAGAUCCGAAGGCAAGACAUUCGUUGCUAAGAAUGGAUCUUUUCUAGAGAAGGAGUUUCUCUCGAAAGAAGUGAGUGGGAGGAAAGUAAAACUUGACGAGGUAACUGUACCUGCUCCCUUGUUGGAAAGUAGUAUAUCACAGAAAAUUGUUUCUGCGACACCUACACCAAUAAGUGAGGAAGUUAACGAUAAUGAUCAUGAAACUUCAGAUCAAGAUACUACUGAACCUCGUAGAUCAACCAGAGUAAGAUCCGCGCCAGAGUGGUACGGUAAUCCUGUUCUGGAAGUCAUGCUACUAGAUCAUGAUGAACCUACGAACUAUGAAGAAGCGAUGGUGAGCCCAGAUUCCGCAAAGUGGCUUGAAGCCAUGAAAUCUGAGAUGGGAUCCAUGUAUGAGAACAAAGUAUGGACUUUGGUUGACUUGCCCGAUGAUCGGCAAGCAAUUGAGAAUAAAUGGAUCUUCAAGAAGAAGACUGACGCUGAUGGUAAUGUUACUGUCUACAAAGCUCGACUUGUCGCAAAAGGUUUUCAGCAAGUUCAAGGGAUUGACUAGGAUGAGACCUUCUCACCCGUAGCGAUGCUUAAGUCCGUCCGAAUCAUGUUAGCGAUUGCCGCAUUUUAUGAUUAUGAAAUUUGGCAGAUGGAUGUCAAAACUGCAUUCCUGAAUGGAUUUCUGGAAGAAGAGUUGUAUAUGAUGCAACCGGAAGGUUUUGUCGAUUCAAAGGGAGCUAACAAAGUGUGCAAGCUCCAGCGAUCCAUUUAUGGACUAGUGCAAGCAUCUCGGAGUUGGAAUAAACGCUUUGAUAGUGUGAUCAAAGCAUUUGGUUUUAUACAGACAUUCGGAGAAGCCUGUAUUUACAAGAAAGUGAGUGGGAGCUCUGUAGCAUUUCUGAUAUUAUAUGUGGAUGACAUAUUGCUGAUUGGAAAUGAUAUAGAAUUUCUGGAUAGCAUAAAGGGAUACUUGAAUAAAAGUUUUUCAAUGAAAGACCUCGGUGAAGCUGCUUACAUAUUAGGCAUUAAGAUCUAUAGAGAUAGAUCAAGACGCUUAAUUGGACUUUCACAAAGCACAUACCUUGACAAAAUUUUGAAAAAGUUCAAAAUGGAUCAAGCAAAGAAAGGGUUCUUGCUUGUGUUACAAGGUGUGAAGUUGAGUAAGACUCAAUGCCCGACCACUGCAGAAGGUAGAGAGAAUAUGAAAGAUGUUCCCUAUGCAUCAGCCAUCGGAUCUAUCAUGUAUGCAAUGCUGUGUACCAGACCUGAUGUGUGCCUUGCUAUAAGUUUAGCAGGGAGGUACCAAAGUAAUCCAGGAGUGGAUCACUGGACAGCGGUCAAGAACAUCCUGAAAUACCUGAAAAGGACUAAGGAUAUGUUUCUCGUAUAUGGAGGUGACAAAGAGCUCACCGUAAAAGGUUACGUUGAUGCAAGCUUUGACACUGAUCCGGACAAUUCUAAAUCGCAAACCGGAUACGUGUUUACAUUAAACGGUGGAGCUGUCAGUUGGUGCAGUUCUAAACAAAGCGUCGUAGCGGGAUCUACAUGUGAAGCGGAGCACAUAGCUGCUUCCGAAGCAGCGAACGAAGGAGUCUGGAUGAUGGAGUUCAUAUCCAAUCUAGGUGUCAUACCUAGUGCAUCGGGUCCAAUGAAAAUCUUUUGUGACAACACUGGUGCAAUUGCCUUGGCAAAGGAAUCCAGAUUUCACAAAAGAACCAAACACAUCAAGAGACGCUUCAAUUCCAUCCGGGAUCUAGUCCAGGUGGGAGACAUAGAGAUUUGCAAGAUACAUACGGAUCUGAAUGUUGCAGACCCGUUGACUAAGCCUCUUCCACGAGCAAAACAUGAUCAGCACCAAAGCUCCAUGGGUCUUAGAAUCAUUACAGUGUAAUCUAGAUUAUUGACUCUAGUGCAAGUGGGAGACUGAAGGAAAUAUGCCCUAGAGGCAAUAAUAAAGUUAUUAUUUAUUUCCUUAUAAUCAUGAUAAAUGUUUAUUAUUCAUGCUAGAAUUGUAUUAACCGGAAACAUAAUACAUGUGUGAAUACAUAGACAAACAAAAUGUCACUAGUAUGCCUCUACUUGACUAGCUCGUUAAUCAAAGAUGGUUAUGUUUCCUGACCAUGAACAAUGAGUUGUUAUUUGAUUAACGAGGUCACAUCAUUGGUUGAAUGAUCUGAUUGACAUGACCCAUUCCAUUAGCUUAGCACCCGAUCGUUUAGUCUGUUGCUAUUGCUUUUCUUCAUGACUUAUACAUGUUCCUAUGACUAUGAGAUUAUGCAACUCCCGUUUGCCGGAGGAACACUUUGGGUGCUACCAAACGUCACAACGUAACUGGGUGAUUAUAAAGGAGCAUUACAGGUGUCUCCAAAGGUAGAUGUUGGGUUGGCGUAUUUUGAGAUUAGGAUUUGUCACUCCGAUUGACGGAGAGGUAUCUCUGGGCCCUCUCGGUAAUACACAUCACAUAAGCCUUGCAAGCAUUACAACUAAUAUGUCAGUUGUGAGAUGAUGUAUUACGGAACGAGUAAAGAGACUUGCCGGUAACGAGAUUGAACUAGGUAUUGGAUACCGACGAUCGAAUCUCGGGCAAGUAACAUACCGAUGACAAAGGGAACAACGUAUGUUGUUAUGCGGUCUGACCGAUAAAGAUCUUCGUAGAAUAUGUAGGAGCCAAUAUGGGCAUCCAGGUCCCGCUAUUGGUUAUUGACCGUAGACGUGUCUCGGUCAUGUCUACAUUGUUCUCGAACUCGUAGGGUCCGCAUGCUUAAGGUUACGAUGACAGUUACAUUAUGAGUUUAUGCAUUUUGAUGUACCGAAGUUUGUUCGGAGUCCCGGAUGUGAUCACGGACAUGAAGAGGAGUCUCGAAAUGGUCGAGACGUAAAGAUUGAUAUAUUGGAAGCCUAUGUUUGGACAUCGGAAGUGUUCCGGGUGAAAUCGGGAUUUUACCGGGUUACCGGGAGGUUAUCGGAACCCCCCGGGAGCCAUAUGGGCCUUCAUGGGCCUUAGUGGAAAGGUGAAAGGGCUGCCCACAAGGGUUGCGCGCCUCCCCCCUUCCCCUAGUCCUAUUAGGACUAGGAGAGGUGGCCGGCCACCCUUCUCCCUCUUUCCCCCUCCGAGGAAUCCUAGUUGGACUAGGAUUGGGGGGAGGAAUCCUACUCCCAGAGGGAGUAGGACUCUCCUGCGCCUCCCCUCCUUGGCCGGCCAGCCCUCCCCCUUGGAUCCUUUAUAUACGGAGGCAGGGGGCACCCCAUAGACACAAGUUGAUCCACGUGAUCUAUUCCUUAGCCGUGUGCGGUGCCCCCUGCCACCAUAUUCCUCGAUAAUACUGUAGCGGAGUUUAGGCGAAGCCCUGCUGCUGUAGUUCAUCAAGAUCGUCACCACGCCGUCGUGCUGACGGAACUCUUCCCCGACACUUUGCUGGAUCGGAGUCCGGGGAUCGUCGUCGAGCUGAACGUGUGCUCGAACUCGGAGGUGUCGUAGUUUCGGUGCUUGAUCGGUUGGAUCGUGAAGACGUACGACUACUUCCUCUACGUCGUGUCAUCGCUUCCGCAGUCGGUCUGCGUUGGGUACAUAGACAACACUCUCCCCCUCGUUCCUAUGCAUCACAUGAUCUUGCGUGUGCAUAGGAAAUUUUUUGAAAUUACUACGAAACCCAACACAAACGUCACAACAUAACUGGGUGACUAUAAAGGUGCACUACAGGUAUCUCCGAAAGUGUCUGUUGGGUUGACACAGAUCGAGACUGGGAUUUGUCACUCCGUAUGACGGAGAGGUAUCUCUGGGCCCACUCGGUAAUGCAUCAUCAUAAUGAGCUCAAAGUGACCAAGUGGUUGAUCACGGGAUCAUGCAUUGCGGUACGAGUAAAGUGACUUGCCGGUAACGAGACUGAACAAGGUAUUGGGAUACCGACGAUCGAGUCUCGGGCAAGUAACGUACUGAUUGACAAAGGGAAUUGUAUACGGGGUUCGAUCGAAUCCUCGACAUCGUGGUUCAACCGAUGAAAUCAUCGAGGAGCAUGUGGGAGCCAACAUGGGUAUCCAGAUCCCGCUGUUGGUUAUUGCCCUAGAGUCGUCUCGGUCAUGUCUGCGUGUCUCCCGAACCCGUAGGGUCUACACACUUAAGGUUCGGUGACGCUAGGGUUGUAUGAAUAUGAGUAUGCAGCAUACCGAAUGUUGUUCGGAGUCCCGGAUGAGAUCCCGGACGUCACGAGGAGUUUUGGAAUGGUCCGGAGGUAAAGAAUAAUAUAUAGGAAGUGGUAUUUCGACCAUCGGGAAAGUUUUGGGGUCUCCCGGUAAUGUACCGGGACCACCGGAAGGGUCCCGGGGGUCCACCGGGUGGGGCCACCCAUCCCGGAGGGCCCCACAGGCUUAAGUGGAAGGGGAGCCAUCCCAUAGUGGGCUGGUGCGCCCCCCUAGGCCCACCCCCUGCGCCUAGGGUUGAAACCCUAGGGUGGGGGGGGGGGGCGCACCACAUGCCUUGGGGGGCACUCCUCCCCCCUUGGCCGCCGCCCCCUUGGGAGAUUCAAUCUCCCAGGGCCGGCGCCCCCCCUGGGGGCCUAUAUAAAGGAGGGCAGGGGGAGGGCAGCCGUACCCUUGUGCUUGGCGCCUCCCUCCCCCUGCUACACCUCGUCCUCCUCCCGUAGUCGCUUGGCGAAGCCCUGCUGGAGUUCUGCUGCAUCCACCACCACGCCGUCGUGCUGCUGGAUCAUCAUCAACCUCUCCUUCCCCCUUGCUGGAUCAAGAAGGAGGAGGCGUCUCCCGUCCCGUACGUGUGUUGAACGCGGAGGUGCUGUCCGUUCAGCACUUGGACAUCGGUGAUCUGAAUCACGUCGAGUACGACUCCAUCAUCACCAUCCCCUUGAAAGCUUCCGCACGCAAUCUACAAGUGGUAUGUAGAUGCAAACUCACUCCCUUGACUCGUUGCUUAGAUGAACUCAUAGAUGGAUCUUGGUGAAACCGUAGGAAAUUUUUUAAUUUUCUGCAACGUUCCCCAAUAGUGGCAUCAUGAGCUAGGUCUAUGCGUAGUUCUCUAAUGCACGAGUAGAACACAAUUUUGUUGUGGGCGUGGAUCUUGUCAACUUGCUUGCCACUACUAGUCUUUUCUUGCUUCAGCGGUAUUGUGGGAUGAAGCGGCCCGGACCAACCUUACACGUACGCUUACGUGAGACCGGUUCCACCGACUGACAUGCACUAGUUGCAUAAGGUGGCCGGCGGGUGUCUGUCUCUCCCACUUUAGUUGAAGCGGAUUCGAUGAAAAGGGUCCUUAUGAAGGGUAAAUAGAAGUUGACAAAAUCACGUUGUGGUUAUUCGUAGGUAAGAAAACGUUCUUGCUAGAACCCAAUUGCAGCCACGUAAAAGAUGCAACAACAAUUAGAGGACGUCUAACUUGUUUUUGCAGCGAUUGUUCAUGUGAUGUGAUAUGGCCAGAAGUUGUGAUGAAUGAUGAAUUGUGAUGUAUGAGAUCAUGUUCUUGUAAUAGGAUUCACGACUUGCAUGUCGAUGAGUAUGACAACCGGCAGGAGCCAUAGGAGUUGUCUUUUUUUUUGUAUGACCUGCGUGUCAUUGAAGAACGCCAUGUAAACUACUUUACUUUAUUGCUAAACAUGUUAGCCAUAGAAGUAGAAGUAGUCGUUGGCGUGACAACUUCAUGAAGACACGAUGAUGGAGAUCAUGAUGAUGGAGAUCAUGGUGUCAUGCCGGUGACAAGAUGAUCAUGGAGCCCCGAAGAUGGAGAUCAAUGGAGCUAUAUGAUAUUGGCCAUAUCAUGUCACUACUGUAUAAUUGCAUGUGAUGUUUAUUAUGUUUAUGCAUCUUGUUUACUUAGAACGACGGUAGUAAAUAAGAUGAUCCCUUACAACAAUUUCAAGAAGUGUUCUCCCCUAACUGUGCACCGUUGCUACAAUUCGUCGUUUCGAAGCACCACGUGAUGAUCGGGUGUGAUAGAUCCUUACGUUCACAUACAACGGGUGUAAGACAGUUUUACACAGCAAAACACUUAGGGUUAACUUGACGAGCCUAGCAUGUACAGACAUGGCCUCGGAACACGGAGACCGAAAGGUCGAACACGAGUCGUAUGGAAGAUACGAUCAACAUGAAGAUGUUCAUUGACGAUGACUAGUCCGUCUCACGUGAUGAUCGGACACGGCCUAGUCGACUCGGAUCGUGUAACACUUAGAUGACUAGAGGGAUGUCUAAUCUGAGUGGGAGUUCAUAAUUUGAUUAGAUGCACUUAAUUAUCAUGAACUUAGUCUAAAACCUUUGCAAACAUGUCUUGUAGAUCAAAUGGCCAACGCUCAUGUCAGCAUGAACUUCAACGCGUUCCUAGAGAAAACCAAGCUGAAAGAUGAUGGCAGCAACUAUAUGGACUGGGUCCGGAACCUGAGGAUCAUCCUCAUAGCUGCCAGGAAGCAAUAUGUCCUAGAAGGACCGCUAGGUGACGCUCCUGAAGGAAAUAUGCCCUAGAGGCAAUAAUAAAGUUAUUAUUUAUUUCCUCAUAUCAUGAUAAAUGUUUAUUAUUCAUGCUAGAAUUGUAUUAACCGGAAACAUGAUACAUGUGUGAAUACAUAGACAAACAUAUAGUCACUAGUAUGCCUCUACUUGACUAGCUCAUUAAUCAAAGAUGGUUAUGUUUCCUAACCAUUGACAUGUGUUGUCAUUUGAUUAAUGGGAUCACAUCAUUAGGAGAAUGAGGUGAUUGACAUGACCCAUCCCGUUAGCUUAGCACUUGAUCGUUUAGUAUUCUGCUAUUGCUUCCUUCAUGACUUAUACAUGUUCCUGUAACUAUGAGAAUUGUGUAACUCCCGUUUACCGGAGGAACACUUUGGGUACUACCAAACGUCACAACGUAACUGGGUGAUUAUAAAGGAGUACUACAGGUGUUUCCGAAGGUACAUGUUGAGUUAGCAUAAUUCGAGAUUAGGUUUUGUCACUCCGAUUGUCGGAGAGGUAUCUCUGGGCCCUCUCGGCAAUGCUCAUCACCUAAGCGUUGCAAGCAUGUAACUAAUGAGUUAGUUAUAAGAUGAAGUAUUACAGAACGAGUAAAGAGACUUGUCGAUAACGAGAUUGAACUAGGUAUUGGAUACCGACGAUCGAAUCUCGGACAAGUAACAUACCGAUGACAAAGGGAACAACGUAUGUUGUUAUGCGGUUUGACCGAUAAAGAUCUUCGUAGAAUAUGUAGGAACCAAUAUGGGCAUCCAGGUCCCGCUAUUGGUUAUUGACCAGAGAUAUGUCUCAGUCAUGUCUACAUCGUUCUCGAACCGUAGGGUCCGCACGCUUAAGGUUUCGAUGACAGUUAUAUUAUGAGUUUAUGUAUUUUGAUGUACCGAAGGUUGUUCGGAGUCCCGGAUAUGAUUACGGACAUGACGAUGAGUCUCGAAAUGGUCGAGACAUAAAGAUUGAUAUAUUGGACGGAUAUAUUUGGACACCGGAAAGGUUCUGGAGAAGUUUGGAGCCCCGGGAAGUUACCGGAACCCCUCGGGAGGUAUAUGGGCCUUAUUGGGCCCAUGUAGGAGGAAGAGAGAAGGAGCAAGGGAGGGGGGCGCGCCCCCCCAAGCCCAAUCCGAAUUGGGGAGGGGGGCCGGCCCCCCCUUUCCUUUCUCCUUCCCCCUCUUCCUAUUACUACUACUAGUACUACUUCCUAAUACUAGUACUCUUUCCUUCCCCCUCCAAAUAAGAUAAGGAAAAGAGAGGGAAACCUACUUGGAGUAGGUUUCCCCCUCCUCAUGGCGCGCCCCCCCUAGGGCCGGCCACCUCCUCCCUCCCUCCUUUAUAUACGGGGGUAGGGGGGCACCCUAGAACACACAAGUUGAUCAUUGAUCGUUCCUUAGCCGUGUGCGGUGUCCCCCUCCACGAUAUUACACCUCGGUCAUAUUGUAGUGGUGCUUAGGCGAAGCCCUGCAACAGGAGAACAUCAAGAUCGUCACCACGCCGUCGUGCUGACGGAACUCCCCCUCGGCGCCUCUGCUGGAUCGGAGAUCGAGGGUGCGUCAUCGAGCUGUACGCGUGUCAAGAACUCGGAGGUGCCGGAGUAACGGUACUUGGAUCGGUUGAACCGGAGGACGUACGACUACUUCCUCUACGUUGCGUCAAUGCUUCUGCUUCGGUCUACGAGGGUACGUAGACAACACUCUCCCCUCGUUGCUAUAUCAUCACCAUGAUCUUGCAUGUGCGUACGAUUUUUUUUGAAAUUACUACGUUUCCCAACAGUGGCAUCCGAGCCUAGGUUUUAUGCGUUGAUGUUAUAUGCACGAGUAGAACACAAGUGAGUUGUGGACGAUAUAAGUCAUACUACCUACCAGCAUGUCAUACUUUGGUUCAGCGGUAUUGUGAGAUGAAGCGGCCCGGACCGACAUUACGCGUACGCUUACGCGAGACUGGUUUCACCGUUACGAGCACUCGUGCUUAAAGGUGGCUGGCGGGUGUCUGUCUCUCUCACUUUAGUUGAACCGAGUGUGGCUACGCUCGGUCCUUGUGAAGGUUAAAACGGAGUCUAUUUGACAAACUAUCGUUGUGGUUUUGAUGCGUAGGUGAGAUUGGUUCUUGCUUAAGCCCGUAGCAGCCACGUAAAAUUUGCAACAACAAAGUAGAGGACGUCUAACUUGUUUUUGCAGGGCAUGUUGUGAUGUGAUAUGGCCAAGACAUGAUGCUAUAUUUUAUUGUAUGAGAUGAUCAUGUUUUGUAACCGAAGUUAUCGGCAACUGGCAGGAGCCAUAUGGUUGUCGCUUUAUUGUAUGAAAUGCAAACGCCCUGUAAUUGCUUUACUUUAUCACUAAGCGGUAGCGAUAGUCGUAGAAGCAAUAGAUGGCGUAACGACAACGAUGCUACGAUGGAGAUCAAGGUGUCGCGCCGGUGACGAUGGUGAUCACGACGGUGCUUCGAAGAUGGAGAUCACAAGCACAAGAUGAUGAUGUCCAUAUCAUAUCACUUAUAUUGAUUGCAUGUGAUGUUUAUCCUUUAUGCAUCUUAUCUUGCUUUGAUUGACGGUAGCAUUUUAAGAUGAUCUCUCACUAAUUAUCAAGAAGUGUUCUCCCUGAGUAUGCACCGUUGCGAAAGUUCUUCGUGCUGAGACACCACGUGAUGAUCGGGUGUGAUAGGCUCUAUGUUCAAAUACAACGGGUGCAAAACAGUUGCACACGCGGAAUACUCAGGUUAUACUUGACGAGCCUAGCAUAUACAGAUAUGGCCUCGGAACACGGGGACCGAAAGGUCGAGCGUGAAUCAUAUAGUAGAUAUGAUCAACAUAGAGAUGUUCACCAUUGAAACUACUCCAUCUCACGUGAUGAUCGGACAUGGUUUAGUUGAUUUGGAUCACGUAAUCACUUAGAUGACUAGAGAGAUGUCUGUCUAAGUGGGAGUUCUUUAGUAAUAUGAUUAAUUGAACUUAAAUUUAUCAUGAACUUAGUACCUGAUAGUAUUUUGCUUGUCUAUGUUUGUUUGUAGAUAGAUGGCUCGUGCUGUUGUUCCGUUGAAUUUUAAUGCGUUCCUUGAGAAAGCAAAGUUGAAAGAUGAUGGUAGCAAUUACACGGACUGGGUCCGUAACCUGAGGAUUAUCCUCAUUGCUGCACAGAAGAGUUACGUCCUGGAAGCACCGCUAGGUGCCAGGCCUGCUUUUGAUGCAACUGACGACGUUAAGAACGUCUGGCAGAGCAAAGCUGAUGACUACUCUAUAGUUCAGUGUGCCAUGCUUUACGGCUUAGAACCGGGUCUUCAACGACGUUUUGAACGUCAUGGGGCAUAUGAGAUGUUCCAGGAGUUGAAGUUAAUAUUUCAAGCAAAUGCCCGGAUUGAGAGAUAUGAAGUCUCCAAUAAGUUCUACAGCUGCAAGAUGGAGGAGAACAGUUCUGUCAAUGAGCAUAUACUCAAAAUGUCUGGGUAUAAUAAUCACUUGAUUCAACUGGGAGUUAAUCUUCCGGAUGAUAGCGUCAUUGACAAAAUUCUCCAAUCACUGCCACCAAGCUACAAGAGCUUUGUGAUGAACUAUAAUAUGCAAGGGAUGAACAAGACUAUUCCCGAGCUCUUCGCGAUGCUGAAAGCCGCGGAGGUAGAAAUCAAAAAGGAGCAUCAAGUGUUGAUGGUCAACAAGACCACUGGUUUCAAGAAAAGGGGCAAAGGGAAGAAGAAGGGGAACUUCAAAAGGAACGGCAAACAAGUUGCUGCUCAAGUGAAGAAACCCAAGUCUGGACCUAAGCCUGAAACUGAGUGCUUCUACUGCAAGCAGACUGGACACUGGAAGCGGAACUGCCCCAAGUAUUUGGCGGAUAAGAAGGAUGGCAAAGUGAACAAAGGUAUAUGUGAUAUACAUGUUAUUGAUGUGUACCUUACUAAUGCUCGCAGUAGCACCUGGGUAUUUGAUACUGGUUCUGUUGCUAACAUUUGCAACUCGGAACAGGGACUACGGAUUAAGCGAAGAUUAGCUAAGGACGAGGUGACGAUGCGCGUGGGAAAUGGUUCCAAAGUCGAUGUGAUCGCGGUCGGCACGCUACCUCUACAUCUACCAUCGGGAUUAGUUUUAGACCUGAAUAAUUGUUAUUUGGUGCCUGCGUUGAGCAUGAACAUUAUAUCUGGAUCUUGUUUGAUGCGAGACGGUUAUUCAUUUAAAUCAGAGAAUAAUGGUUGUUCUAUUUAUAUGAGUAAUAUCUUUUAUGGUCAUGCACCCUUGAAGAGUGGUCUAUUUUUAUUAAAUCUCGAUAGUAGUGAUACACAUAUUCAUAAUGUUGAAGCCAAAAGAUGCAGAGUUGAUAAUGAUAGUGCAACAUAUUUGUGGCACUGCCGUUUAGGUCAUAUCGGUGUAAAACGCAUGAAGAAACUCCAUACUGAUGGACUUCUGGAAUCACUUGAUUAUAAAUCACUUGGUACUUGCGAACCGUGCCUCAUGGGCAAGAUGACCAAAACACCGUUCUCCGGAUCUAUGGAGAGAGCAACAGAUUUGUUGGAAAUCAUACAUACAGAUGUAUGUGGUCCGAUGAAUGUUGAGGCUCGUGGCGGAUAUCGUUAUUUCCUCACCUUCACAGAUGAUUUGAGCAGAUAUGGGUAUAUCUACUUGAUGAAGGACAAGUCUGAAACAUUUGAAAAGUUCAAAGAAUUUCAGAGUGAAGUAGAAAAUCAUCGUAACAAGAAAAUAAAGUUUCUACGAUCUGAUCGUGGAGGAGAAUAUUUGAGUUACGAGUUUGGUUUACAUUUGAAACAAUGUGGAAUAGUUUUGCAACUCACGCCACCUGGAACACCACAGCGAAAUGGUGUGUCUGAACGUCGUAAUCGUACUUUACUUGAUAUGGUGCGAUCUAUGAUGUCUCUUACCGAUUUACCGCUAUCGUUUUGGGGUUAUGCUUUAGAGACGGCCGCAUUCACGUUAAAUAGGGCACCAUCAAAAUCCGUUGAGACGACGCCUUAUGAACUGUGGUUUGGCAAGAAACCAAAGUUGUCGUUUCUCAAAGUUUGGGGCUGCGAUGCUUAUGUGAAGAAACUUCAACCAGAUAAGCUCGAACCCAAAUCGGAGAAAUGUGUCUUCAUAGGAUACCCAAAGGAGACAAUUGGGUACACCUUCUAUCACAGAUCUGAAGGCAAGAUUUUCGUUGCUAAAAUCGGAUCCUUUCUAGAGUAGGAGUUUCUCUCGAAAGAAGUGAGUGGGAGGAAAGUAUAACUUGAUGAGAUAACUGUAUCUACUCCCUUAUUGGAAAGUAGUUCAUCACAAGAACCGGUUCCUGUGACAACUACACCAAUUAGUGAGGAAGCUAAUGAUAUUGAUCAUGAAACUUCAGAUCAAGUUUCUACUGAACCUCGUAGGUCUACCAGAGUAAGAUCCGCACCAGAGUGGUACAGAAAUCCUAUUCUGGAAGUCAUGUUACUAGACCAUGAUGAACCUACGAACUAUGAGGAAGCGAUGAUGAGCCCAGAUUCCGCAAAAUGGCUAGAGGCCAUGAAAUCUAAGAUAGGAUCCAUGUAUGAAAACAAAGUAUGGACUUUGGUUGACUUGCCCGAUGAUCGGCAAGCCAUUGAGAAUAAAUGGAUCUUUAAGAAGAAGACUGACGCUGAUGGUAAUGUUACUGUCUACAAAGCUCGACUUGUUGCAAAAGGUUUUCGACAAGUUCAAGGGGUUGACUACGAUGAGACUUUCUCACCUGUAGCGAUGCUUAAGUCUGUCCGAAUCAUGUUGGCUAUUGCUGCAUUUCAUGAUUAUGAAAUUUGGCAAAUGGAUGUCAAGACUGCAUUCUUGAAUGGAUUUCUAGAAGAAGAGUUGUAUAUGAUGCAACCUGAAGGUUUUGUUGAUCCAAAAGGUGCUGACAAAGUGUGCAAGCUCCAACGUUCCAUUUAUGGACUGGUGCAAGCAUCUCGGAGUUGGAAUAAAUGUUUUGAUAGUGUGAUCAAAGCAUAUGGUUUUAUACAGACUUUUGGAGAAGCAUGUAUUUACAAGAAAGUGAGUGGGAGCUCUGUAGCAUUUCUAGUUUUAUAUGUUGAUGACAUAUUAUUAAUUGGAAAUGAUAUAGAAUUUCUGGAUAGCAUAAAGGGAUACUUGAAUAAAAGUUUUUCUAUGAAAGACCUCGGUGAAGCUGCUUACAUAUUGGGCAUCAAGAUCUAUAGAGAUAGAUCAAGACGCUUUCACAAAGUACAUACCUUGACAAAAUUUUGAAAAACUUCAAAAUGGAUCAGGCAAAGAAAGGAUUCUUGCCUGUGCUACAAGGUGUGAAGUUGAGUCAAACUCAAUGCCCGACCACAGCAGAAGAUAGAGAGAAAAUGAAAGAUGUUCCCUAUGCUUCAGCCAUAGGCUCUAUCAUGUAUGCAAUGCUGUGUACCAGACCUGACGUAUGCUUAGCAAUAAGCUUGGCAGGUAGGUACCAAAGUAAUCCAGGAGUGGAUCACUGGACAGCGGUCAAGAACAUCCUGAAAUACCUGAAAAGGACUAAGGAUAUGUUUCUCGUAUAUGGAGGUGACAAAGAGCUAGUCGUAAAUGGUUACGUCGAUGCAAGCUUUGACACUGAUCCGGACGAUUCUAAAUCGCAGACCGGAUACGUGUUUUUAUUAAACGGUGGAGCUGUAAGUUGGUGCAGUUCUAAACAAAGCGUCGUGGCGGGAUCUACAUGUGAAGCGGAGUACAUAGCUGCUUCUGAAGCAGCAAAUGAAGGAGUCUGGAUGAAGGAGUUCAUUUCCGAUCUAGGUGUCAUACCUAGUGCAUCGGGACCAAUGAAGAUCUUCUGUGACAAUACUGGAGCAAUUGCCUUGGCAAAGGAAUCCAGAUUUCACAAGAGGACCAAGCACAUCAAGAGACGCUUCAAUUCCAUUCAGGACCAAGUCCAAGUGGGAGACAUAGAGAUUUGCAAGAUACAUACGGAUCUGAAUGUUGCAGACCCGUUGACUAAGCCUCUCUCACGAGCAAAACAUGAUCAGCACCAAGACUCCAUGGGUGUUAGAAUCAUUACUAUGUAAUCUAGAUUAUUGACUCUAGUGCAAGUGGGAGACUGAAGGAAAUAUGCCCUAGAGGCAAUAAUAAAGUUAUUAUUUAUUUCCUCAUAUCAUGAUAAAUGUUUAUUAUUCAUGCUAGAAUUGUAUUAACCGGAAACAUGAUACAUGUGUGAAUACAUAGACAAACAUAUAGUCACUAGUAUGCCUCUACUUGACUAGCUCAUUAAUCAAAGAUGGUUAUGUUUCCUAACCAUUGACAUGUGUUGUCAUUUGAUUAAUGGGAUCACAUCAUUAGGAGAAUUAGGUGAUUGACAUGACCCAUCCCGUUAGCUUAGCACUUGAUCGUUUAGUAUUCUGCUAUUGCUUCCUUCAUGACUUAUACAUGUUCCUGUAACUAUGAGAAUUGUGUAACUCCCGUUUACCGGAGGAACACUUUGGGUACUACCAAACGUCACAACGUAACUGGGUGAUUAUAAAGGAGUACUACAGGUGUCUCCGAAGGUACAUGUUGAGUUAGCAUAAUUCGAGAUUAGGUUUUGUCACUCCGAUUGUCGGAGAGGUAUCUCUGGGCCCUCUCGGCAAUGCUCAUCACCUAAGCCUUGCAAGCAUGUAACUAAUGAGUUAGUUAUAAGAUGAAGUAUUACAGAACGAGUAAAGAGACUUGUCGAUAACGAGAUUGAACUAGGUAUUGGAUACCGACGAUCGAAUCUCGGACAAGUAACAUACCGAUGACAAAGGGAACAACGUAUGUUGUUAUGCGGUUUGACCGAUAAAGAUCUUCGUAGAAUAUGUAGGAACCAAUAUGGGCAUCCAGGUCCCGCUAUUGGUUAUUGACCAGAGAUAUGUCUCAGUCAUGUCUACAUCGUUCUCGAACCGUAGGGUCCGCACGCUUAAGGUUUCGAUGACAGUUAUAUUAUGAGUUUAUGUAUUUUGAUGUACCGAAGGUUGUUCGGAGUCCCGGAUAUGAUUACGGACAUGACGAGGAGUCUCAAAAUGGUCGAGACAUAAAGAUUGAUAUAUUGGACGGAUAUAUUUGGACACCGGAAAGGUUCCGGAGAAGUUUGGAGCCCCGGGAAGUUACCGGAACCCCCCGGGAGGUAUAUGGGCCUUAUUGGGCCCAUGUAGGAGGAAGAGAGAAGGAGCAAGGGAGGGGGGCGCGCCCCCCCAAGCCCAAUCCGAAUUGGGGAGGGGGGCCGGGCCCCCUUUCCUUUCUCUUUCCCCCUCUUCCUAUUACUACUACUAGUACUACUUCCUAAUACUAGUACUCUUUCCUUCCCCCUCCAAAUAAGAUAAGGAAAAGAGAGGGAAACCUACUUGGAGUAGGUUUCCCCCUCCUCAUGGCGCGCCCCCCCUAGGGCUGGCCACCUCCUCCCUCCCUCCUUUAUAUACGGGGGUAGGGGGGCACCCUAGAACACACAAGUUGAUCAUUGAUCGUUCCUUAGCCGUGUGCGGUGCCCCCCUCCACAAUAUUACACCUCGGUCAUAUUGUAGUGGUGCUUAGGCGAAGCCCUGCAACAGGAGAACAUCAAGAUCGUCACCACGCCGUCGUGCUGACGGAACCCCCCCUCGGCGCCUCUGCUGGAUCGGAGAUCGAGGGUGCGUCAUCGAGCUGUACGCGUGUCAAGAACUCGGAGGUGCCGGAGUAACGGUACUUGGAUCGGUUGAACCGGAGGACGUACGACUACUUCCUCUACGUUGCGUCAACGCUUCUGCUUCGGUCUACGAGGGUACGUAGACAACACUCUCCCCUCGUUGCUAUAUCAUCACCAUGAUCUUGCAUGUGCGUACGAAAUUUUUUGAAAUUACUACGUUUCCCAACAGUGGCAUCCGAGCCUAGGUUUUAUGCGUUGAUGUUAUAUGCACGAGUAGAACACAAGUGAGUUGUGGACGAUAUAAGUCAUACUGCCUACCAGCAUGUCAUACUUUGGUUCAGCGGUAUUGUGAGAUGAAGCGGCCCGGACCGACAUUACGCGUACGCUUACGCGAGACUGGUUUCACCGUUACGAGCACUCGUGCUUAAAGGUGGCUGGCGGGUGUCUGUCUCUCUCACUUUAGUUGAACCGAGUGUGGCUAUGCCCGGUCCUUGUGAAGGUUAAAACGGAGUCUAUUGGACAAACUAUCGUUGUGGUUUUGAUGCGUAGGUGAGAUUGGUUCUUGCUUAAGCCCGUAGCAGCCACGUAAAAUUUGCAACAACAAAGUAGAGGACGUCUAACUUGUUUUUGCAGGGCAUGUUGUGAUGUGAUAUGGCCAAGACAUGAUGCUAUAUUUUAUUGUAUGAGAUGAUCAUGUUUUGUAACCGAAGUUAUCGGCAACUGGCAGGAGCCAUAUGGUUGUCGCUUUAUUGUAUGAAAUGCAAACGCCCUGUAAUUGCUUUACUUUAUCACUAAGCGGUAGCGAUAGUCGUAGAAGCAAUAGAUGGCGUAACGACAACGAUGCUACGAUGGAGAUCAAGGUGUCGCGCCGGUGACGAUGGUGAUCACGACGGUGCUUCGAAGAUGGAGAUCACAAGCACAAGAUGAUGAUGGCCAUAUCAUAUCACUUAUAUUGAUUGCAUGUGAUGUUUAUCCUUUAUGCAUCUUAUCUUGCUUUGAUUGAUGGUAGCAUUUUAAGAUGAUCUCUCACUAAUUAUCAAGAAGUGUUCUCCCUGAGUAUGCACCGUUGCGAAAGUUCUUCGUGCUGAGACACCACGUGAUGAUCGGGUGUGAUAGGCUCUACGUUCAAAUACAACGGGUGCAAAACAGUUGCACACGCGGAAUACUCAGGUUAUACUUGACGAGCCUAGCAUCUACAGAUAUGGCCUCAGAACACGGGGACCGAAAGGUCGAGCGUGAAUCAUAUAGUAGAUAUGAUCAACAUAGAGAUGUUCACCAUUGAAACUACUCCAUCUCACGUGAUGAUCGGACAUGGUUUAGUUGAUUUGGAUCACGUAAUCACUUAGAUGACUAGAGAGAUGUCUGUCUAAGUGGGAGUUCUUUAGUAAUAUGAUUAAUUGAACUUAAAUUUAUCAUGAACUUAGUAACUGAUAGUAUUUUGCUUGUCUAUGUUUGUUUGUAGAUAGAUGGCUCGUGCUAUUGUUCCGUUGAAUUUUAAUGCGUUCCUUGAGAAAGCAAAGUUGAAAGAUGAUGGUAGCAAUUACACGGAAUGGGUCCGUAACCUGAGGAUUAUCCUCAUUGCUGCACAGAAGAGUUACGUCCUGGAAGCACCGCUGGGUGCCAGGCCUGCUGCUGAUGCAACUGACGACGUUAAGAACGUCUGGCAGAGCAAAGCUAAUGACUACUCUAUAGUUCAGUGUGCCAUGCUUUACGGCUUAGAACCGGGUCUUCAACGACAUUUUGAACGUCAUGGGGCAUAUGAGAUGUUCCAGGAGUUGAAGUUAAUAUUUCAAGCAAAUGCCCGGAUUGAGAGAUAUGAAGUCUCCAAUAAGUUCUACAGCUGCAAGAUGGAGGAGAACAGUUCUGUCAGUGAGCAUAUACUCAAAAUGUCUGGGUAUAAUAAUCACUUGAUUCAACUGGGAGUUAAUCUUCCGGAUGAUAGCGUCAUUGACAGAAUUCUCCAAUCACUGCCACCAAGCUACAAGAGCUUUGUGAUGAACUAUAAUAUGCAAGGGAUGAACAAGACUAUUCCCGAGCUCUUCGCGAUGCUGAAAGCCGCGGAGGUAGAAAUCAAAAAGGAGCAUCAAGUGUUGAUGGUCAACAAGACCACUGGUUUCAAGAAAAGGGGCAAAGGGAAGAAGAAGGGGAACUUCAAAAGGAACGGCAAACAAGUUGCUGCUCAAGUGAAGAAACCCAAGUCUGGACCUAAGCCUGAAACUGAGUGCUUCUACUGCAAGCAGACUGGACACUGGAAGUGGAACUGCCCCAAGUAUUUGGCGGAUAAGAAGGAUGGCAAAGUGAACAAAGGUAUAUGUGAUAUACAUGUUAUUGAUGUGUACCUUACUAAUGCUCGCAGUAGCACCUGGGUAUUUCAUACUGGUUCUGUUGCUAAACAUUUGCAACUCGAAACAGGGACUACGGAUUAAGCGAAGAUUAGCUAAGGACGAGGUGACGAUGCACGUGGGAAAUGGUUCCAAAGUCGAUGUGAUCGCGGUCGGCACGCUACCUCUACAUCUACCAUCGGGAUUAGUUUUAGACCUGAAUAAUUGUUAUUUGGUGCCUGCGUUGAGCAUGAACAUUAUAUCUGGAUCUUGUUUGAUGCGAGACGGUUAUUCAUUUAAAUCAGAGAAUAAUGGUUGUUCUAUUUAUAUGAGUAAUAUCUUUUAUGGUCAUGCACCCUUGAAGAGUGGUCUAUUUUUAUUAAAUCUCGAUAGUAGUGAUACACAUAUUCAUAAUGUUGAAGCCAAAAGAUGCAGAGUUGAUAAUGAUAGUGCAACAUAUUUGUGGCACUGCCGUUUAGGUCAUAUCGGUGUAAAACGCAUGAAGAAACUCCAUACUGAUGGACUUCUGGAAUCACUUGAUUAUAAAUCACUUGGUACUUGCGAACCGUGCCUCAUGGGCAAGAUGACCAAAACACCGUUCUCCGGAUCUAUGGAGAGAGCAACAGAUUUGUUGGAAAUCAUACAUACAGAUGUAUGUGGUCCGAUGAAUGUUGAGGCUCGUGGCGGAUAUCGUUAUUUCCUCACCUUCACAGAUGAUUUGAGCAGAUAUGGGUAUAUCUACUUGAUGAAGCACAAGUCUGAAACAUUUGAAAAGUUCAAAGAAUUUCAGAGUGAAGUAGAAAAUCAUCGUAACAAGAAAAUAAAGUUUCUACGAUCUGAUCGUGGAGGACAAUAUUUGAGUUACGAGUUUGGUUUACAUUUGAAACAAUGUGGAAUAGUUUCGCAACUCACGCCACCUGGAACACCACAGUGAAAUGGUGUGUCCGAACGUCGUAAUCAUACUUUACUUGAUAUGGUGCGAUCUAUGAUGUCUCUUACCGAUUUACCGCUAUCGUUUUGGGGUUAUGCUUUAGAGACGGCCCCAUUCACGUUAAAUAGGGCACCAUCAAAAUCCAUUGAGACGACGCCUUAUGAACUGUGGUUUGGCAAGAAACCAAAGUUGUCGUUUCUCAAAGUUUGGGGCUGCGAUGCUUAUGUGAAGAAACUUCAACCAGAUAAGCUCGAACCCAAAUCGGAGAAAUGUGUCUUCAUAGGAUACCCAAAGGAGACAAUUGGGUACACCUUCUAUCACAGAUCUGAAGGCAAGAUUUUCGUUGCUAAAAUCGGAUCCUUUCUAGAGAAGGAGUUUCUCUCGAAAGAAGUGAGUGGGAGGAAAGUAGAACUUGAUGAGAUAACUGUAUCUACUCCCUUAUUGGAAAGUAGUUCAUCACAAGAACCGGUUCCUGUGACAACUACACCAAUUAGUGAGGAAGCUAAUGAUAUUGAUCAUGAAACUUCAGGUCAAGUUUCUACUGAACCUCGUAGGUCUACCAGAGUAAGAUCCGCACCAGAGUGGUACGGAAAUCCUAUUCUGGAAGUCAUGUUACUAGACCAUGAUGAACCUACGAACUAUGAGGAAGCGAUGAUGAGCCCAGAUUCCGCAAAAUGGCUAGAGGCCAUGAAAUCUGAGAUAGGAUCCAUGUAUGAAAACAAAGUAUGGACUUUGGUUGACUUGCCCGAUGAUCGGCAAGCCAUUGAGAAUAAAUGGAUCUUUAAGAAGAAGACUGACGCUGAUGGUAAUGUUACUGUCUACAAAGCUCGACUUGUUGCAAAAGGUUUUCGACAAGUUCAAGGGGUUGACUACGAUGAGACUUUCUCACCCGUAGUGACGCUUAAGUCUGUCCGAAUCAUGUUGGCUAUUGCUGCAUUUCAUGAUUAUGAAAUUUGGCAAAUGGAUGUCAAGACUGCAUUCUUGAAUGGAUUUCUAGAAGAAGAGUUGUAUAUGAUGCAACCUGAAGGUUUUGUUGAUCCAAAAGGUGCUGACAAAGUGUGCAAGCUCCAACGUUCCAUUUAUGGACUGGUGCAAGCAUCUCGGAGUUGGAAUAAACGUUUUUAUAGUGUGAUCAAAGCAUAUGGUUUUAUACAGACUUUUGGAGAAGCCUGUAUUUACAAGAAAGUGAGUGGGAGCUCUGUAGCAUUUCUAGUUUUAUAUGUUGAUGACAUAUUAUUAAUUGGAAAUGAUAUAGAAUUUCUGGAUAGCAUAAAGGGAUACUUGAAUAAAAGUUUUUCUAUGAAAGACCUCGGUGAAGCUACUUACAUAUUGGGCAUCAAGAUCUAUAGAGAUAGAUCAAGACGCUUAAUAGGACUUUCACAAAGUACAUACCUUGACAAAAUUUUGAAAAAGUUCAAAAUGGAUCAGGCAAAGAAAGGAUUCUUGCCUGUGCUACAAGGUGUGAAGUUGAGUCAAACUCAAUGCCCGACCACAGCAGAAGAUAGAGAGAAAAUGAAAGAUGUUCCCUAUGCUUCAGCCAUAGGCUCUAUCAUGUAUGCAAUGCUGUGUACCAGACCUGACGUAUGCUUAGCAAUAAGCUUGGCAGGUAGGUACCAAAGUAAUCCAGGAGUGGAUCACUGGACAGCGGUCAAGAACAUCCUGAAAUACCUGAAAAGGACUAAGGAUAUGUUUCUCGUAUAUGGAGGUGACAAAGAGCUAGUCGUAAAUGGUUACAUCGAUGCAAGCUUUGACACUGAUCCGGACGAUUCUAAAUCGCGGACCGGAUACGUGUUUUUAUUAAACGGUGGAGCUGUAAGUUGUGCAGUUCUAAACAAAGCGUCGUGGCGGGAUCUACAUGUGAAGCGGAGUACAUAGCUGCUUCUGAAGCAGCAAAUGAAGGAGUCUGGAUGAAGGAGUUCAUUUCCGAUCUAGGUGUCAUACCUAGUGCAUCGGGACCAAUGAAGAUCUUCUGUGACAAUACUGGAGCAAUUGCCUUGGCAAAGGAAUCCAGAUUUCACAAGAGGACCAAGCACAUCAAGAGACGCUUCAAUUCCAUUCGGGACCAAAACCAAGUGGGAGACAUAGAGAUUUGCAAGAUACAUACGGAUAUGAAUGUUGCAGACCCGUUGACUAAGCCUCUCUCACGAGCAAAACAUGAUCAGCACCAAGACUCCAUGGGUGUUAGAAUCAUUACUAUGAAAUCUAGAUUAUUGACUCUAGUGCAAGUGGGAGACUGAAGGAAAUAUGCCCUAGAGGCAAUAAUAAAGUUAUUAUUUAUUUCCUCAUAUCAUGAUAAAUGUUUAUUAUUCAUGCUAGAAUUGUAUUAACCGGAAACAUGAUACAUGUGUGAAUACAUAGACAAACAUAUAGUCACUAGUAUGCCUCUACUUGACUAGCUCAUUAAUCAAAGAUGGUUAUGUUUCCUAACCAUUGACAUGUGUUGUCAUUUGAUUAAUGGGAUCACAUCAUUAGGAGAAUGAGGUGAUUGACAUGACCCAUCCCGUUAGCUUAGCACUUGAUCGUUUAGUAUUCUGCUAUUGCUUCCUUCAUGACUUAUACAUGUUCCUGUAACUAUGAGAAUUGUGUAACUCCCGUUUACCGGAGGAACACUUUGGGUACUACCAAACGUCACAACGUAACUGGGUGAUUAUAAAGGAGUACUACAUGUGUCUCCGAAGGUACAUGUUGAGUUAGCAUAAUUCGAGAUUAGGUUUUGUCACUCCGAUUGUCGGAGAGGUAUCUCUGGGCCCUCUCGGCAAUGCUCAUCACCUAAGCCUUGCAAGCAUGUAACUAAUGAGUUAGUUAUAAGAUGAAGUAUUACAGAACGAGUAAAGAGACUUGUCGAUAACGAGAUUGAACUAGGUAUUGGAUACCGACGAUCGAAUCUCGGACAAGUAACAUACCGAUGACAAAGGGAACAACGUAUGUUGUUAUGCGGUUUGACCGAUAAAGAUCUUCGUAGAAUAUGUAGGAACCAAUAUGGGAAUCCAGGUCCCGCUAUUGGUUAUUGACCAGAGAUAUGUCUCAGUCAUGUCUACAUCGUUCUCGAACCGUAGGGUCCGCACGCUUAAGGUUUCGAUGACAAUUAUAUUAUGAGUUUAUGUAUUUUGAUGUAUCGAAGGUUGUUCAGAGUCCCGGAUAUGAUUAUGGACAUGACGAGGAGUCUCGAAAUGGUCGAGACAUAAAGAUUGAUAUAUUGGACGGAUAUAUUUGGACACCGGAAAGGUUCCGGAGAAGUUUGGAGCCACGGGAAGUUACCGGAACCCCCCGGGAGGUAUAUGGGCCUUAUUGGGCCCAUGUAGGAGGAAGAGAGAAGGAGCAAGGGAGGGGGGCGCGCCCCCCCAAGCCCAAUCCGAAUUGGGGAGGGGGGCCGGCCCCCCCUUUCCUUUCUCCUUCCCCCUCUUCCUAUUACUACUACUAGUACUACUUCCUAAUACUAGUACUCUUUCCUUCCCCCUCCAAAUAAGAUAAGGAAAAGAGAGGGAAACCUACUUGGAGUAGGUUUCCCCCUCCUCAUGGCGCGCCCCCCCUAGGGCCGGCCACCUCCUCCCUCCCUCCUUUAUAUACGGGGGUAGGGGGGCACCCUAGAACACACAAGUUGAUCAUUGAUUGUUCCUUAGCCGUGUGCGGUGCCCCCCUCCACGAUAUUACACCUCGGUCAUAUUGUAGUGGUGCUUAGGCGAAGCCCUGCAACAGGAGAACAUCAAGAUCGUCACCACGCCGUCGUGCUGACGGAACUCCCCCUCGGCGCCUCUGCUGGAUCGGAGAUCGAGGGUGCGUCAUCGAGCUGUACGCGUGUCAAGAACUCGGAGGUGCCGGAGUAACGGUACUUGGAUCGGUUGAACCGGAGGACGUACGACUACUUCCUCUACGUUGCGUCAACGCUUCUGCUUCGGUCUACGAGGGUACGUAGACAACACUCUCCCCUCGUUGCUAUAUCAUCACCAUGAUCUUGCAUGUGCGUACGAAUUUUUUUGAAAUUACUACGUUUCCCAACAGUGGCAUCCGAGCCUAGGUUUUAUGCGUUGAUGUUAUAUGCACGAGUAGAACACAAGUGAGUUGUGGACGAUAUAAGUCAUACUGCCUACCAGCAUGUCAUACUUUGGUUCAGCGGUAUUGUGAGAUGAAGCGGCCCGGACCGACAUUACGCGUACGCUUACGCGAGACUGGUUUCACCGUUACGAGCACUCGUGCUUAAAGGUGGCUGGCGGGUGUCUGUCUCUCUCACUUUAGUUGAACCGAGUGUGGCUACGCUCGGUCCUUGUGAAGGUUAAAACGGAGUCUAUUUGACAAACUAUCGUUGUGGUUUUGAUGCGUAGGUGAGAUUGGUUCUUGCUUAAGCCCGUAGCAGCCACGUAAAAUUUGCAACAACAAAGUAGAGGACGUCUAACUUGUUUUUGCAGGGCAUGUUGUGAUGUGAUAUGGCCAAGACAUGAUGCUAUAUUUUAUUGUAUGAGAUGAUCAUGUUUUGUAACCGAAGUUAUCGGCAACUGGCAGGAGCCAUAUGGUUGUCGCUUUAUUGUAUGAAAUGCAAACGCCCUGUAAUUGCUUUACUUUAUCACUAAGCGGUAGCGAUAGUCGUAGAAGCAAUAGAUGGCGUAACGACAACGAUGCUACGAUGGAGAUCAAGGUGUCGCGCCGGUGACGAUGGUGAUCACGACGGUGCUUCGAAGAUGGAGAUCACAAGCACAAGAUGAUGAUGUCCAUAUCAUAUCACUUAUAUUGAUUGCAUGUGAUGUUUAUCCUUUAUGCAUCUUAUCUUGCUUUGAUUGACGGUAGCAUUUUAAGAUGAUCUCUCACUAAUUAUCAAGAAGUGUUCUCCCUGAGUAUGCACCGUUGCGAAAGUUCUUCGUGCUGAGACACCACGUGAUGAUCGGGUGUGAUAGGCUCUAUGUUCAAAUACAACGGGUGCAAAACAGUUGCACACGCGGAAUACUCAGGUUAUACUUGACGAGCCUAGCAUAUACAGAUAUGGCCUCGGAACACGGGGACCGAAAGGUCGAGCGUGAAUCAUAUAGUAGAUAUGAUCAACAUAGAGAUGUUCACCAUUGAAACUACUCCAUCUCACGUGAUGAUCGGACAUGGUUUAGUUGAUUUGGAUCACGUAAUCACUUAGAUGACUAGAGAGAUGUCUGUCUAAGUGGGAGUUCUUUAGUAAUAUGAUUAAUUGAACUUAAAUUUAUCAUGAACUUAGUACCUGAUAGUAUUUUGCUUGUCUAUGUUUGUUUGUAGAUAGAUGGCUCGUGCUGUUGUUCCGUUGAAUUUUAAUGCGUUCCUUGAGAAAGCAAAGUUGAAAGAUGAUGGUAGCAAUUACACGGACUGGGUCCGUAACCUGAGGAUUAUCCUCAUUGCUGCACAGAAGAGUUACGUCCUGGAAGCACCGCUAGGUGCCAGGCCUGCUUUUGAUGCAACUGACGACGUUAAGAACGUCUGGCAGAGCAAAGCUGAUGACUACUCUAUAGUUCAGUGUGCCAUGCUUUACAGCUUAGAACCGGGUCUUCAACGACGUUUUGAACGUCAUGGGGCAUAUGAGAUGUUCCAGGAGUUGAAGUUAAUAUUUCAAGCAAAUGCCCGGAUUGAGAGAUAUGAAGUCUCCAAUAAGUUCUGCAGCUGCAAGAUGGAGGAGAACAGUUCUGUCAAUGAGCAUAUACUCAAAAUGUCUGGGUAUAAUAAUCACUUGAUUCAACUGGGAGUUAAUCUUCCGGAUGAUAGCGUCAUUGACAAAAUUCUCCAAUCACUGCCACCAAGCUACAAGAGCUUUGUGAUGAACUAUAAUAUGCAAGGGAUGAACAAGACUAUUCCCGAGCUCUUCGCGAUGCUGAAAGCCGCGGAGGUAGAAAUCAAAAAGGAGCAUCAAGUGUUGAUGGUCAACAAGACGACUGGUUUCAAGAAAAGGGGCAAAGGGAAGAAGAAGGGGAACUUCAAAAGGAACGGCAAACAAGUUGCUGCUCAAGUGAAGAAACCCAAGUCUGGACCUAAGCCUGAAACUGAGUGCUUCUACUGCAAGCAGACUGGACACUGGAAGCGGAACUGCCCCAAGUAUUUGGCGGAUAAGAAGGAUGGCAAAGUGAACAAAGGUAUAUGUGAUAUACAUGUUAUUGAUGUGUACCUUACUAAUGCUCGCAGUAGCACCUGGGUAUUUGAUACUGGUUCUGUUGCUAACAUUUGCAACUCGAAACAGGGACUACGGAUUAAGCGAAGAUUAGCUAAGGAUGAGGUGACGAUGCGCGUGGGAAAUGGUUCCAAAGUCGAUGUGAUCGCGGUCGGCACGCUACCUCUACAUCUACCAUCGGGAUUAGUUUUAGACCUGAAUAAUUGUUAUUUGGUGCCUGCGUUGAGCAUGAACAUUAUAUCUGGAUCUUGUUUGAUGCGAGACGGUUAUUCAUUUAAAUCAGAGAAUAAUGGUUGUUCUAUUUAUAUGAGUAAUAUCUUUUAUGGUCAUGCACCCUUGAAGAGUGGUCUAUUUUUAUUAAAUCUCGAUAGUAGUGAUACACAUAUUCAUAAUGUUGAAGCCAAAAGAUGCAGAAAUGAUAUGAUAGUGCAACAUAUUUGUGGCACUGCCGUUUAGGUCAUAUCGGUGUAAAACGCAUGAAGAAACUCCAUACUGAUGGACUUCUGGAAUCACUUGAUUAUAAAUCACUUGGUACUUGCGAACCGUGCCUCAUGGGCAAGAUGACCAAAACACCGUUCUCCGGAUCUAUGGAGAGAGCAACAGAUUUGUUGGAAAUCAUACAUACAGAUGUAUGUGGUCCGAUGAAUGUUGAGGCUCGUGGCGGAUAUCGUUAUUUCCUCACCUUCACAGAUGAUUUGAGCAGAUAUGGGUAUAUCUACUUGAUGAAGGACAAGUCUGAAACAUUUGAAAAGUUCAAAGACUUUCAGAGUGAAGUUGAAAAUCAUCGUAACAAGAAAAUAAAGUUUCUACGAUCUGAUCGUGGAGGAGAAUAUUUGAGUUACGAGUUUGGUUUACAUUUGAAACAAUGUGGAAUAGUUUUGCAACUCACGCCACCUGGAACACCACAGCGAAAUGGUGUGUCUGAAUGUCGUAAUCGUACUUUACUUGAUAUGGUGCGAUCUAUGAUGUCUCUUACCGAUUUACCGCUAUCGUUUUGGGGUUAUGCUUUAGAGACGGCCGCAUUCACGUUAAAUAGGGCACCAUCAAAAUCCGUUGAGACGACGCCUUAUGAACUGUGGUUUGGCAAGAAACCAAAGUUGUCGUUUCUCAAAGUUUGGGGCUGCGAUGCUUAUGUGAAGAAACUUCAACCAGAUAAGCUCGAACCCAAAUCGGAGAAAUGUGUCUUCAUAGGAUACCCAAAGGAGACAAUUGGGUACACCUUCUAUCACAGAUCUGAAGGCAAGAUUUUCGUUGCUAAAAUCGGAUCCUUUCUAGAGAAGGAGUUUCUCUCGAAAGAAGUGAGUGGGAGGAAAGUAGAACUUGAUGAGAUAACUGUAUCUACUCCCUUAUUGGAAAGUAGUUCAUCACAAGAACCGGUUCCUGUGACAACUACACCAAUUAGUGGGGAAGCUAAUGAUAUUGAUCAUGAAACUUCAGAUCAAGUUUCUACUGAACCUCGUAGGUCUACCAGAGUAAGAUCCGCACCAGAGUGGUACGGAAAUCCUAUUCUGGAAGUCAUGUUACUAGACCAUGAUGAACCUACGAACUAUGAGGAAGCGAUGAUGAGCCCAGAUUCCGCAAAAUGGCUAGAGGCCAUGAAAUCUGAGAUAGGAUCCAUGUAUGAAAACAAAUUAUGGACUUUGGUUGACUUGCCCGAUGAUCGGCAAGCCAUUGAGAAUAAAUGGAUCUUUAAGAAGAAGACUGACGCUGAUGGUAAUGUUACUGUCUACAAAGCUCGACUUGUUGCAAAAGGUUUUCGACAAGUUCAAGGGGUUGACUACGAUGAGACUUUCUCACCCGUACCGAUGCUUAAGUCUGUCCGAAUCAUGUUGGCUAUUGCUGCAUUUCAUGAUUAUGAAAUUUGGCAAAUGGAUGUCAAGACUGCAUUCUUGAAUGGAUUUCUAGAAGAAGAGUUGUAUAUGAUGCAACCUGAAGGUUUUGUUGAUCCAAAAGGUGCUGACAAAGUGUGCAAGCUCCAACGUUCCAUUUAUGGACUGGGGCAAGCAUCUCGGAGUUGGAAUAAACGUUUUGAUAGUGUGAUCAAAGCAUAUUGUUUUAUACAGACUUUUGGAGAAGCCUGUAUUUACAAGAAAGUGAGUGGGAGCUCUGUAGCAUUUCUAGUUUUAUAUGUUGAUGACAUAUUAUUAAUUGGAAAUGAUAUAGAAUUUCUGGAUAGCAUAAAGGGAUACUUGAAUAAAAGUUUUUCUAUGAAAGACCUCGGUGAAGCUGCUUACAUAUUGGGCAUCAAGAUCUAUAGAGAUAGAUCAAGACGCUUUCACAAAGUACAUACCUUGACAAAAUUUUGAAAAAGUUCAAAAUGGAUCAGGCAAAGAAAGGAUUCUUGCCUGUGCUACAAGGUGUGAAGUUGAGUCAAACUCAAUGCCCGACCACAGCAGAAGAUAGAGAGAAAAUGAAAGAUGUUCCCUAUGCUUCAGCCAUAGGCUCUAUCAUGUAUGCAAUGCUGUGUACCAGACCUGACGUAUGCUUAGCAAUAAGCUUGGCAGGUAGGUACCAAAGUAAUCCAGGAGUGGAUCACUGGACAGCGGUCAAGAACAUCCUGAAAUACCUGAAAAGGACUAAGGAUAUGUUUCUCGUAUAUGGAGGUGACAAAGAGCUAGUCGUAAAUGGUUACGUCGAUGCAAGCUUUGACACUGAUCCGGACGAUUCUAAAUCGCAGACCGGAUACAUGUUUUUAUUAAACGGUGGAGCUGUAAGUUGGUGCAGUUCUAAACAAAGCGUCGUGGCGGGAUCUACAUGUGAAGCGGAGUACAUAGCUGCUUCUGAAGCAGCAAAUGAAGGAGUCUGGAUGAAGGAGUUCAUUUCCGAUCUAGGUGUCAUACCUAGUGCAUCGGGACCAAUGAAGAUCUUCUGUGACAAUACUGGAGCAAUUGCCUUGGCAAAGGAAUCCAGAUUUCACAAGAGGACCAAGCACAUCAAGAGACGCUUCAAUUCCAUUCAGGACCAAGUCCAAGUGGGAGACAUAGAGAUUUGCAAGAUACAUGCGGAUCUGAAUGUUGCAGACCCGUUGACUAAGCCUCUCUCACGAGCAAAACAUGAUCAGCACCAAGACUCCAUGGGUGUUAGAAUCAUUACUAUGUAAUCUAGAUUAUUGACUCUAGUGCAAGUGGGAGACUGAAGGAAAUAUGCCCUAGAGGCAAUAAUAAAGUUAUUAUUUAUUUCCUCAUAUCAUGAUAAAUGUUUAUUAUUCAUGCUAGAAUUGUAUUAACCGGAAACAUGAUACAUGUGUGAAUACAUAGACAAACAUAUAGUCACUAGUAUGCCUCUACUUGACUAGCUCAUUAAUCAAAGAUGGUUAUGUUUCCUAACCAUUGACAUGUGUUGUCAUUUGAUUAAUGGGAUCACAUCAUUAGGAGAAUGAGGUGAUUGACAUGACCCAUCCCGUUAGCUUAGCACUUGAUCGUUUAGUAUUCUGCUAUUGCUUCCUUCAUGACUUAUACAUGUUCCUGUAACUAUGAGAAUUGUGUAACUCCCGUUUACCGGAGGAACACUUUGGGUACUACCAAACGUCACAACGUAACUGGGUGAUUAUAAAGGAGUACUACAGGUGUCUCCGAAGGUACAUGUUGAGUUAGCAUAAUUCGAGAUUAGGUUUUGUCACUCCGAUUGUCGGAGAGGUAUCUCUGGGCCCUCUCGGCAAUGCUCAUCACCUAAGCGUUGCAAGCAUGUAACUAAUGAGUUAGUUAUAAGAUGAAGUAUUACAGAACGAGUAAAGAGACUUGUCGAUAACGAGAUUGAACUAGGUAUUGGAUACCGACGAUCGAAUCUCGGACAAGUAACAUACCGAUGACAAAGGGAACAACGUAUGUUGUUAUGCGGUUUGACCGAUAAAGAUCUUUGUAGAAUAUGUAGGAACCAAUAUGGGCAUCCAGGUCCCGCUAUUGGUUAUUGACCAGAGAUAUGUCUCAGUCAUGUCUACAUCAUUCUCGAACCGUAGGGUCCGCACGCUUAAGGUUUCGAUGACAGUUAUAUUAUGAGUUUAUGUAUUUUGAUGUACCGAAGGUUGUUCGGAGUCCCGGAUAUGAUUACGGACAUGACGAGGAGUCUCGAAAUGGUCGAGAUAUAAAGAUUGAUAUAUUGGACGGAUAUAUUUGGACACCGGAAAGGUUCCGGAGAAGUUUGGAGCCCCAGGAAGUUACCGGAACCCCCCGGGAGGUAUAUGGGCCUUAUUGGGCCCAUGUAGGAGGAAGAGAGAAGGAGCAAGGGAGGGGGGCGCGCCCCCCCAAGCCCAAUCCGAAUUGGGGAGGGGGGGCGGCCCCCCCUUUCCUUUCUCCUUCCCCCUCUUCCUAUUACUACUACUAGUACUACUUCCUAAUACUAGUACUCUUUCCUUCCCCCUCCAAAUAAGAUAAGGAAAAGAGAGGGAAACCUACUUGGAGUAGGUUUCCCCCUCCUCAUGGCGCGCCCCCCUAGGGCCGGCCACCUCCUCCCUCCCUCCUUUAUAUACGGGGGUAGGGGGCACCCUAGAACACACAAGUUGAUCAUUGAUCGUUCCUUAGCCGUGUGCGGUGCCCCCCUCCACGAUAUUACACCUCGGUCAUAUUGUAGUGGUGCUUAGGAGAAGCCCUGCAACAGGAGAACAUCAAGAUCGUCACCACGCCGUCGUGCUGACGGAACUCCCCCUCGGCGCCUCUGCUGGAUCGGAGAUCGAGGGUGCGUCAUCGAGCUGUACGCGUGUCAAGAACUCGGAGGUGCCGGAGUAACGGUACUUGGAUCGGUUGAACCGGAGGACGUACGACUACUUCCUCUACGUUGCGUCAACGCUUCCGCUUCGGUCUACGAGGGUACGUAGACAACACUCUCCCCUCGUUGCUAUAUCAUCACCAUGAUCUUGCGUGUGCGUAGGAAUUUUUUUGAAAUUACUACGUUUCCCAACAGUGGCAUCCGAGCCUAGGUUUUAUGCGUUGAUGUUAUAUGCACGAGUAGAACACAAGUGAGUUGUGGACGAUAUAAGUCAUACUGCCUACCAGCAUGUCAUACUUUGGUUCAGCGGUAUUGUGAGAUGAAGCGGCCCGGACCGACAUUACGCGUACGCUUACGCGAGACUGGUUUCACCGUUACGAGCAAUCGUGCUUAAAGGUGGCUGGCGGGUGUCUGUCUCUCUCACUUUAGUUGAACCGAGUGUGGCUACGCCCGGUCCUUGUGAAGGUUAAAACAGAGUCUAUUUGACAAACUAUCAUUGUGGUUUUGAUGCAUAGGUGAGAUUGGUUCUUGCUUAAGCCCGUAGCAGCCACGUAAAAUUUGCAACAACAAAGUAGAGGACGUCUAACUUGUUUUUGCAGGGCAUGUUGUGAUGUGAUAUGGCCAAGACAUGAUGCUAUAUUUUAUUGUAUGAGAUGAUCAUGUUUUGUAGCCGAAGUUAUCGGCAACUGGCAGGAGCCAUAUGGUUGUCGCUUUAUUGUAUGAAAUGCAAACGCCCUGUAAUUGCUUUACUUUAUCACUAAGCGGUAGCGAUAGUCGUAGAAGCAAUAGAUGGCGUAACAACAACGAUGCUACGAUGGAGAUCAAGGUGUCGCGCCGGUGACGAUGGUGAUCACGACGGUGCUUCAAAGAUGGAGAUCACAAGCACAAGAUGAUGAUGGCCAUAUCAUAUCACUUAUAUUGAUUGCAUGUGAUGUUUAUCCUUUAUGCAUCUUAUCUUGCUUUGAUUGACGGUAGCAUUUUAAGAUGAUCUCUCACUAAUUAUCAAGAAGUGUUCUCCCUGAGUAUGCACCGUUGCGAAAGUUCUUCGUGCUGAGACACCACGUGAUGAUCGGGUGUGAUAGGCUCUACGUUCAAAUACAACGGGUGCAAAACAGUUGCACACGCGGAAUACUCAGGUUAUACUUGACGAGCCUAGCAUAUACAGAUAUGGCCUCGGAACACGGGGACCGAAAGGUCGAGCGUGAAUCAUAUAGUAGAUAUGAUCAACAUAGAGAUGUUCACCAUUGAAACUACUCCAUCUCACGUGAUGAUCGAACAUGGUUUAGUUGAUUUGGAUCACGUAAUCACUUAGAUGACUAGAGAGAUGUCUGUCUAAGUGGGAGUUCUUUAGUAAUAUGAUUAAUCGAACUUAAAUUUAUCAUGAACUUAGUACCUGAUAGUAUUUUGCUUGUCUAUGUUUGUUUGUAGAUAGAUGGCUCGUGCUGUUGUUCCGUUGAAUUUUAAUACGUUCCUUGAGAAAGCAAAGUUGAAAGAUGAUGGUAGCAAUUACACGGACUGGGUCCGUAACCUGAGGAUUAUCCUCAUUGCUGCACAGAAGAGUUACGUCCUGGAAGCACCGCUGGGUGCCAGGCCUGCUGCUGAUGCAACUGACGACGUUAAGAACGUCUGGCAGAGCAAAGCUGAUGACUACUCUAUAGUUCAGUGUGCCAUGCUUUACGGCUUAGAACCGGGUCUUCAACGACGUUUUGAACGUCAUGGGGCAUAUGAGAUGUUCCAGGAGUUGAAGUUAAUAUUUCAAGCAAAUGCCCGGAUUGAGAGAUAUGAAGUCUCCAAUAAGUUCUACAGCUGCAAGAUGGAGGAGAACAGUUCUGUCAGUGAGCAUAUACUCAAAAUGUCUGGGUAUAAUAAUCACUUGAUUCAACUGGGAGUUAAUCUUCCGGAUGAUAGCGUCAUUGACAGAAUUCUCCAAUCAUUGCCACCAAGCUACAAGAGCUUUGUGAUGAACUAUAAUAUGCAAGGGAUGAACAAGACUAUUCCCGAGCUCUUCGCGAUGCUGAAAGCCGCGGAGGUAGAAAUCAAAAAGGAGCAUCAAGUGUUGAUGGUCAACAAGACCACUGGUUUCAAGAAAAGGGGCAAAGGGAAGAAGAAGGGGAACUUCAAAAGGAACGGCAAACAAGUUGCUGCUCAAGUGAAGAAACCCAAGUCUGGACCUAAGCCUGAAACUGAGUGCUUCUACUGCAAGCAGACUGGACACUGGAAGCGGAACUGCCCCAAGUAUUUGGCGGAUAAGAAGGAUGGCAAAGUGAACAAAGGUAUAUGUGAUAUACAUGUUAUUGAUGUGUACCUUACUAAUGCUCGCAGUAGCACCUGGGUAUUUGAUACUGGUUCUGUUGCUAACAUUUGCAACUCGAAACAGGGACUACGGAUUAAGCGAAGAUUAGCUAAGGACGAGGUGACGAUGCGCGUGGGAAAUGGUUCCAAAGUCGAUGUGAUCGCGGUCGGCACGCUACCUCUACAUCUACCAUCGGGAUUAGUUUUAGACCUGAAUAAUUGUUAUUUGGUGCCUGCGUUGAGCAUGAACAUUAUAUCUGGAUCUUGUUUGAUGCGAGACAGUUAUUCAUUUAAAUCAGAGAAUAAUGGUUGUUCUAUUUAUAUGAGUAAUAUCUUUUAUGGUCAUGCACCCUUGAAGAGUGGUCUAUUUUUAUUAAAUCUCGAUAGUAGUGAUACACAUAUUCAUAAUGUUGAAGCCAAAAGAUGCAGAGUUGAUAAUGAUAGUGCAACAUAUUUGUGGCACUGCCGUUUAGGUCAUAUCGGUGUAAAACGCAUGAAGAAACUCCAUACUGAUGGACUUCUGGAAUCACUUGAUUAUAAAUCACUUGGUACUUGCGAACCGUGCCUCAUGGGCAAGAUGACCAAAACACCGUUCUCCGGAUCUAUGGAGAGAGCAAUAGAUUUGUUGGAAAUCAUACAUACAGAUGUAUGUGGUCCGAUGAAUGUUGAGGCUCGUGGCGGAUAUCGUUAUUUCCUCACCUUCACAGAUGAUUUGAGCAGAUAUGGGUAUAUCUACUUGAUGAAGCACAAGUCUGAAACAUUUGAAAAGUUCAAAGAAUUUCAGAGUGAAGUAGAAAAUCAUCGUAACAAGAAAAUAAAGUUUCUACGAUCUGAUCGUGGAGGAGAUCAUUUGAGUUACGAGUUUGGUUUACAUUUGAAACAAUGUGGAAUAGUUUCGCAACUCACGCCACCUGGAACACCACAGCGAAAUGGUGUGUCCGAACGUCGUAAUCAUACUUUACUUGAUAUGGUGCGAUCUAUGAUGUCUCUUACCGAUUUACCGCUAUCGUUUUGGGGUUAUGCUUUAGAGACGGCCGCAUUCACGUUAAAUAGGGCACCAUCAAAAUCUGUUGAGACGACGCCUUAUGAACUGUGGUUUGGCAAGAAACCAAAGUUGUCGUUUCUCAAAGUUUGGGUCUGUGAUGCUUAUGUGAAGAAACUUCAACCAGAUAAGCUCGAACCCAAAUUGGAGAAAUGUGUCUUCAUAGGAUACCCAAAGGAGACAAUUGGGUACACCUUCUAUCACAGAUCUGAAGGCAAGAUUUUCGUUGCUAAAAUCGGAUCCUUUCUAGAGAAGGAGUUUCUCUCGAAAGAAGUGAGUGGGAGGAAAGUAGAACUUGAUGAGAUAACUGUAUCUACUCCCUUAUUGGAAAGUAGUUCAUCACAAGAACCGGUUCCUGUGACAACUACACCAAUUAGUGAGGAAGCUAAUGAUAUUGAUCAUGAAACUUCAGAUCAAGUUUCUACUGAACCUCGUAGGUCUACCAGAGUAAGAUCCGCACCAGAGUGGUACGGAAAUCCUAUUCUGGAAGUCAUGUUACUAGACCAUGAUGAACCUACGAACUAUGAGGAAGCGAUGAUGAGCCCAGAUUCCGCAAAAUGGCUAGAGGCCAUGAAAUCUGAGAUAGGAUCCAUGUAUGAAAACAAAGAAUGGACUUUGGUUGACUUGCCCGAUGAUCGGCAAGCCAUUGAGAAUAAAUGGAUCUUUAAGAAGAAGACUGACGCUGAUGGUAAUGUUACUGUCUACAAAGCUCGACUUGUUGCAAAAGGUUUUCGACAAGUUCAAGGGGUUGACUACGAUGAGACUUUCUCACCCGUAGCGAUGCUUAAGUCUGUCCGAAUCAUGUUGGCUAUUGCUGCAUUUCAUGAUUAUGAAAUUUGGCAAAUGGAUGUCAAGACUGCAUUCUUGAAUGGAUUUCUAGAAGAAGAGUUGUAUAUGAUGCAACCUGAAGGUUUUGUUGAUCCAAAAGCUGUUGACAAAGUGUGCAAGCUCCAACGUUCCAUUUAUGGACUGGUGCAAGCAUCUCGGAGUUGGAAUAAACAUUUUGAUAGUGUGAUCAAAGCAUAUGGUUUUAUACAGACUUUUGGAGAAGCCUGUAUUUACAAGAAAGUGAGUGGGAGCUCUGUAGCAUUUCUAGUUUUAUAUGUUGAUGACAUAUUAUUAAUUGGAAAUGAUAUAGAAUUUCUGGAUAGCAUAAAGGGAUACUUGAAUAAAAGUUUUUCUAUGAAAGACCUCGGUGAAGCUGCUUACAUAUUGGGCAUCAAGAUCUAUAGAGAUAGAUCAAGACGCUUAAUAGGACUUUCACAAAGUACAUACCUUGACAAAAUUUUGAAAAAGUUCAAAAUGGAUCAGGCAAAGAAAGGAUUCUUGCCUGUGCUACAAGGUGUGAAGUUGAGUCAAACUCAAUGCCCGACCACAGCAGAAGAUAGAGAGAAAAUGAAAGAUGUUCCCUAUGCUUCAGCCAUAGGCUCUAUCAUGUAUGCAAUGCUGUGUACCAGACCUGACGUAUGCUUAGCAAUAAGCUUGGCAGGUAGGUACCAAAGUAAUCCAGGAGUGGAUCACUGGACAGCGGUCAAGAACAUCCUGAAAUACCUGAAAAGGACUAAGGAUAUGUUUCUCGUAUAUGGAGGUGACAAAGAGCUAGUCGUAAAUGGUUACGUCGAUGCAAGCUUUGACACUGAUCCGGACGAUUCUAAAUCGCAGACCGGAUACGUGUUUUUAUUAAACGGUGGAGCUAUAAGUUGGUGCAGUUCUAAACAAAGCAUCGUGGCGGUAUCUACAUGUGAAGCGGAGUACAUAGCUGCUUCUGAAGCAGCAAAUGAAGGAGUCUGGAUGAAGGAUUUCAUUUCCGAUCUAGGUGUCAUACCUAGUGCAUCGGGACCAAUGAAGAUCUUCUGUGACAAUACUGGAGCAAUUGCCUUGGCAAAGGAAUCCAGAUUUCACAAGAGGACCAAGCACAUCAAGAGACGCUUCAAUUCCAUUCGGGACCAAGUCCAAGUGGGAGACAUAGAGAUUUGCAAGAUACAUACGGAUCUGAAUGUUGCAGACCCGUUGACUAAGCCUCUCUCACGAGCAAAACAUGAUCAGCACCAAGACUCCAUGGGUGUUAGAAUCAUUACUAUGUAAUCUAGAUUAUUGACUCUAGUGCAAGUGGGAGACUGAAGGAAAUAUGCCCUAGAGGCAAUAAUAAAGUUAUUAUUUAUUUCCUCAUAUCAUGAUAAAUGUUUAUUAUUCAUGCUAGAAUUGUAUUAACCGGAAACAUGAUACAUGUGUGAAUACAUAGACAAACAUAUAGUCACUAGUAUGCCUCUACUUGACUAGCUCAUUAAUCAAAGAUGGUUAUGUUUCCUAACCAUUGACAUGUGUUGUCAUUUGAUUAAUGGGAUCACAUCAUUAGGAGAAUGAGGUGAUUGACAUGACCCAUCCCGUUAGCUUAGCACUUGAUUGUUUAGUAUUCUGCUAUUGCUUCCUUCAUGACUUAUACAUGUUCCUGUAACUAUGAGAAUUGUGUAACUCCCAUUUACCGGAGGAACACUUUGGGUACUACCAAACGUCACAACGUAACUGGGUGAUUAUAAAGGAGUACUACAGGUGUCUCCGAAGGUACAUGUUGAGUUAGCAUAAUUCGAGAUUAGGUUUUGUCACUCCGAUUGUCGGAGAGGUAUCUCUGGGCCCUCUCGGCAAUGCUCAUCACCUAAGCCUUGCAAGCAUGUAACUAAUGAGUUAGUUAUAAGAUGAAGUAUUACAGAACGAGUAAAGAGACUUGUCGAUAACGAGAUUGAACUAGGUAUUGGAUACCGACGAUCGAAUCUCGGACAAGUAACAUACCGAUGACAAAGGGAACAACGUAUGUUGUUAUGCGGUUUGACCGAUAAAGAUCUUCGUAGAAUAUGUAGGAACCAAUAUGGGCAUCCAGGUCCCACUAUUGGUUAUUGACCAGAGAUAUGUCUCAGUCAUGUCUACAUCGUUCUCGAACCGUAGGGUCCGCACGCUUAAGGUUUCGAUGACAGUUAUAUUAUGAGUUUAUGUAUUUUGAUGUACCGAAGGUUGUUCGGAGUCCCGGAUAUGAUUACGGACAUGACGAGGAGUCUCGAAAUGGUCGAUACAUAAAGAUUGAUAUAUUGGACGGAUAUAUUUGGACACCGGAAAGGUUCCGGAGAAGUUUGGAGCCCCAGGAAGUUACCGGAACCCCCGGGAGGUAUAUGGGCCUUAUUGGGCCCAUGUAGGAGGAAGAGAGAAGGAGCAAGGGAGGGGGGCGCGCCCCCCCAAGCCCAAUCCGAAUUGGGGAGGGGGGCCGGCCCCCCCUUUCCUUUCUCCUUCCCCCUCUUCCUAUUACUACUACUAGUACUACUUCCUAAUACUAGUACUCUUUCCUUCCCCCUCCAAAUAAGAUAAGGAAAAGAGAGGGAAACCUACUUGGAGUAGGUUUCCCCCUCCUCAUGGCGCACCCCCCUAGGGCCGGCCACCUCCUCCCUCCCUCCUUUAUAUACGGGGGUAGGGGGCACCCUAGAACACACAAGUUGAUCAUUGAUCGUUCCUUAGCCGUGUGCGGUGCCCCCCUCCACGAUAUUACACCUCGGUCAUAUUGUAGUGGUGCUUAGGCGAAGCCCUGCAACAGGAGAACAUCAAGAUCGUCACCACGCCGUCGUGCUGACGGAACUCCCCCUCGGCGCCUCUGCUGGAUCGGAGAUCGAGGGUGCGUCAUCGAGCUGUACGCGUGUCAAGAACUCGGAGGUGCCGGAGUAACGGUACUUGGAUCGGUUGAACCGGAGGACGUACGACUACUUCCUCUACGUUGCGUCAACGCUUCCGCUUCGGUCUACGAGGGUACGUAGACAACACUCUCCCCUCGUUGCUAUAUCAUCACCAUGAUCUUGCGUGUGCGUAGGAAAUUUUUUGAAAUUACUACGUUUCCCAACAGCUCCCGUCCCAGAGAACCAAGACACUAUGAACGCUUGGCAAACUCGUGCUGAUGAUUACUCCCUCGUUCAGUGCGGCAUGCUUUACAGCUUAGAACUGGGGCUCCAAAAGCGUUUUGAGCAUCACGGAGCAUAUGAGAUGUUCGAAGAGCUGAAACUAGUUUUCCAAGAUCAUGCCCGGGUCGAGAGAUAUGAUGUCUCCGACAAGUUCUAUAGUUGUAAGAUGGAGGAAAAUAGUUCUGUUAGUGAGCACAUACUCAAGAUGUCUGGGUUGCACAACCGUAUGACCCAGCUGAACAUUAACCUCCCAGAUGAGGGGGUCAUUGACAGAAUCCUCCAGUCGCUCCCACCAAGCUACAAGAGCUUUGUGAUGAACUACAACAUGCAGGGGAUGGUGAAGACCAUUCCUGAAGUGUUCUCAAUGCUGAAGUCAGCAAAGGCUGAAAUCAAGAAAGAACAUCAAGUGUUGAUGGUCAAUAAGACCACUAAGUUCAAGAAGGGCAAGGGCAAGAAGAACUUCAAGAAGGACGGCAAGGAUAUUGCCGCGCCCGGUAAGCCAGUUACCAGGAAGAAGUCAAAGAAUGGACCCAAGGCUGAGACUGAGUGCUUUUAUUGCAAGGGGAAGGGUCACUGGAAGCGGAACUGCCCCAAAUACUUAGCGGAUAAGAAGGCCGGCAACACCAAAGGUAUAUUUGAUAUACAUGUAAUUGAUGUGUACCUUACCAGUACUCGUAGUAACUCCUGGGUAUUUGAUACCGGUGCCGUUGCUCAUAUUUGUAACUCACAGCAGGAGCUGCGGAAUAAACGGAGACUGGCGAAGGACGAGGUGACGAUGCGCGUCGGGAAUGGUUCCAGAGUCGAUGUGAUCGCCGUCGGCACGCUGCCUCUACAUUUACCUACGGGAUUAGUUUUGAACCUUAAUAAUUGUUAUUUAGUGCCAAGUUUGAGCAUGAACAUUGUAUCAGGAUCUCGUUUAAUACGAGAUGGCUACUCAUUUAAAUCCGAGAAUAAUGGUUGUUCUAUUUAUAUGAGAGAUAUGUUUUAUGGUCAUGCUCCGAUGGUCAAUGGUUUAUUCUUAAUGAAUCUCGAGCGUAAUAUUACACAUAUUCAUAGUGUGGAUGCCAAAAGAUGUAAAGUUGAUAACGAUAGUCCCACAUACUUGUGGCACUGCCGCCUUGGUCACAUUGGUGUCAAGCGCAUGAAGAAGCUCCAUGAUGAUGGACUUUUAGAGUCUCUUGAUUAUGAAUCGUUUGACACAUGUGAACCAUGCCUCAUGGGCAAAAUGACCAAGACUCCGUUCUCCGGAACAAUGGAGCGAGCAACCAACUUGUUGGAAAUCAUACAUACCGAUGUGUGCGGUCCAAUGAGCGUUGAGGCUCGCGGAGGAUAUCGUUAUGUUCUCACUCUCACUGACGACUUAAGUAGAUAUGGGUAUGUCUACUUAAUGAAACACAAGUCUGAGACCUUCGAAAAGUUCAAGGAAUUUCAGAAUGAGGUAGAGAAUCAACGUGACCGAAAGAUAAAGUUCCUACGAUCAGAUCAUGGAGGAGAAUACUUAAGUCACGAAUUUGGUACACACUUAAGGAAAUGUGGAAUCGUUUCACAACUCACGCCGCCUGGAACACCUCAGCGUAACGGUGUGUCCGAACAUCAUAAUCGCACUCUAUUGGAUAUGGUGCGGUCUAUGAUGUCUCUUACCGAUUUACCGCUAUCAUUUUGGGGAUACGCUCUAGAGACAGCUACAUUCACUUUAAAUAGGGCACCGUCUAAAUCCGUUGAGACGACACCGUAUGAAUUAUGGUUUGGGAAGAAACCUAAGCUGUCGUUUCUAAAAGUUUGGGGAUGCGAUGCUUAUGUCAAGAAACUUCAACCUAAAAAGCUCGAACCCAAAUCGGAAAAAUGCGUCUUCAUAGGAUACCCUAAGGAAACUGUCGGGUAUACCUUAUACUUAAGAUCCGAGGGCAAGAUCUUUGUUGCCAAGAACGGAUGCUUUCUGGAAAAAGAGUUCCUCUCGAAAGAAGUAAGUGGGAGGAAAGUAGAACUCGAUGAAGUACUACCUCUCGAACGGGAAAGUGGUGCAGCUCAGGAAAAUGUUCCUGUGAUGCCCACACCAACUGAAGAGGAAAACAAUGAUGAUGAUCAAGGUACUUCGGAUCAAGUUGCUACUGAACUUCGUAGGUCCACAAGGACACGUUCCACACCAGAGUGGUACGGCAACCCUGUCCUGGAAAUCAUGUUGUUAGACAACGGUGAACCUUCGAACUAUGAAGAAGCGAUGGCGGGCCCAGAUUCCAACAAAUGGCUUGAAGCCAUGAAAUCCGAGAUAGAAUCCAUGUAUGAAAACAAAGUAUGGACUUUGACAGACUUGCCCGAUGAUCGGCGAGCGAUAGAAAACAAAUGGAUUUUUAAGAAGAAGACGGACGCGGAUGGUAAUGUUACCAUUUAUAAGGCUCGACUUGUCGCUAAGGGUUAUCGACAAGUUCAAGGGAUUGACUACGACGAGACAUUCUCUCCCGUAGCGAAGCUGAAGUCCGUCCGAAUCAUGUUAGCAAUUGCCGCAUACUAUGAUUAUGAGAUAUGGCAGAUGGACGUCAAAACGGCAUUCCUUAACGGACAUCUUAAGGAAGAGUUGUAUAUGAUACAGCCGGAAGGUUUUGUUGAUCCUAAGAACGCUAACAAAGUAUGCAAGCUCCAGCGAUCCAUUUAUGGACUGGUGCAAGCAUCUCGGAGUUGGAACAUUCGCUUUGAUGAGAUGAUCAAAGCGUUUGGGUUUAUGCAGACUUAUGGAGAAGCCUGCGUUUACAAGAAAGUGAGUGGGAGCUCUGUAGCAUUUCUCAUAUUAUAUGUAGAUGACAUACUCUUGAUGGGAAAUGAUAUAGAACUUUUGGAUAGCAUUAAGGCCUACUUGAAUAAGUGUUUUUCAAUGAAGGACCUUGGAGAAGCUGCUUAUAUAUUAGGCAUCAAGAUCUAUAGAGAUAGAUCGAGACGCCUCAUAGGUCUUUCACAAAGCACAUACCUUGAUAAGAUUUUGAAGAAGUUCAAAAUGGAUCAGUCCAAGAAGGGGUUCUUACCUAUGUUACAAGGUGUGAGAUUGAGCUCGGCUCAGUCCUCGACCACGGCAAAAGAUAAAGAAGAGAUGAGUGUCAUCCCCUAUGCUUCAGCCAUAGGAUCUAUUAUGUAUGCCAUGCUGUGUACCAGGCCUGAUGUAAACCUUGCCGUAAGUUUGGUAGCAAGAUGCCAGAGUAAUCCCAGCAAGGAACACUGGACAGCGGUCAAGAAUAUCCUGAAGUACCUGAAAAGGACAAAGGACAUGUUUCUCGUUUAUGGAGGAGACGAAGAGCUCGUCGUAAAGGGUUACGUUGACGCUAGCUUCGACUCAGAUCUGGAUGACUCUAAGUCACAAACCGGAUACGUGUAUAUGUUGAAUGGUGGAGCAGUAAGCUGGUGCAGCUGCAAGCAGAGCGUCGUGGCGGGAUCUACGUGUGAAGCGGAGUACAUGGCAGCCCCGGAGGCAGCGCAUGAAGCGAUUUGGGUGAAGGAGUUCAUCACCGACCUAGGAGUCAUACCCAAUGCGUCGGGGCCGAUCAAACUCUUCUGUGACAACACUGGAGCUAUUGCCCUUGCCAAGGAGCCCAGGUUUCACAAUAAGACCAGGCACAUCAAGCGUCGUUUCAACUCCAUCCGUGAAAAUGUUCAAGAUGGAGACAUAGAUAUUUGCAAAGUACAUAUGGAUCUGAAUGUCGCAGAUCUGUUGACUAAACCUCUCUCGCGAGCAAAACAUGAUCAAACACCAGAACUCUAUGGGUGUUCGAUUCAUCACAAUGUAACUAGAUUGGUGACUCUAGUGCAAGUGGGAGACUGUUGGAAAUAUGGCCUAGAGGCAAUAAUAAAAGUAUUAUUAUAUUUCAUUGUUCAUGAUAAUUGUCUUUUAUUCAUGCUAUAAUUGUAUUAUCCAGAAAUCGUAAUACACGUGUGAAUACAUAGACCACAAUAUAUCCCUAGUGAGCCUCUAGUUGACUAGCUCCUUGUGAUCAACAGAUAGUCAUGGUUUCCUGGCUAUGGACAUUGGAUGUCAUUGAUAACGGGAUCACAUCAUUAGGAGAAUGAUGUGAUGGACAAGACCCGAUCCUAAGCAUAGCACUAAGAUCGUGUAGUUCCUUUGCUAGAGCUUUUCCAAUGUCAAGUAUCUCUUCCUUAGACCAUGAGAUCGUGUAACUCCCGGAUACCGUAGGAGUGCUUUGGGUGUAUCAAACGUCACAACGUAACUGGGUGACUAUAAAGGUGCACUACAGGUAUCUCCGAAAGUGUCUGUUGGGUUGACACGGAUCGAGACUGGGAUUUGUCACUCCGUAUGACGGAGAGGUAUCUCUAGGCCCACUCGGUAAUGCAUCAUCAUAAUGAGCUCAAAGUGACCAAGUGGUUGAUCACGGGAUCAUGCAUUGCGGUACGAGUAAAGUGACUUGCCGGUAACGAGACUGAACAAGGUAUUGGGAUACCGACGAUCGAGUCUCGGGCAAGUAACGUAGAUUGACAAAGGGAAUUGUAUACGGGGUUUGAUCUAAUCCUCGACAUCGUGGUUCAACCGAUGAAAUCAUCGAGGAGCAUGUGGGAGCCAACAUGGGUAUCCAGAUCCCGCUGUUGGUUAUUGCCCGAGAGUCGUCUCGGUCAUGUCUGCGUGUCUCCCGAACCCGUAGGGUCUACACACUUAAGGUUCAGUGACGCUAGGGUUGUAUGAAUAUGAGUAUGCAGCAUACCGAAUGUUGUUUGGAGUCCCGGAUGAGAUCUCGGACGUCACGAGGAGUUUCGGAAUGGUCCGGAGGUAAAGAAUAAUAUAUAGGAAGUGGUAUUUCGGCCAUCGGGAAAGUUUCGGGGUCUCCCGGUAAUGUACCGGGACCACCGGAAGGGUCCCGGGGGUCCACCGGGUGGGGCCACCCAUCCCGGAGGGCCCCACGGGCUGAAGUGGGAGGGGAGCCAGCCCAUAGUGGGCUGGUGCGCCCCCCUAGGCCCACCCCCUGCGCCUAGGGUUGAAACCCUAGGGUGGGGGGCGCACCACAUGCCUUGGGGGGCACUCCUCCCCCCUUGGCCGCCGCCCCCUUGGGAGAUUCAAUCUCCUAGGGCCGGCGCCCCCCUGGGGGCCUAUAUAAAGGAGGUCAGGGGGAGGGCAGCCGUACCCUUGUGCUUGGCGCCUCCCUCCCCCUGCUACACCUCGUCCUCCACCCGUAGUCGCUUGGCGAAGCCCUGCUGGAGUUCUGCUGCAUCCACCACCACGCCGUCGUGCUGCUGGAUCAUCAUCAACCUCUCCUUCCCCCUUGCUGGAUCGAGAAGGAGGAGACGUCUCCCGUCCCGUACGUGUGUUGAACGCGGAGGUGCUGUCCGUUCAGCACUUGGACAUCGGUGAUCUGAAUCACGUCGAGUACGACUCCAUCAUCACCAUCCCCUUGAAAGCUUCCGCAUGCGAUCUACAAGUGGUAUGUAGAUGCAAACUCACUCCCUUGACUCGUUGCUUAGAUGAACUCAUAGAUGGAUCUUGGUGAAACCGUAGGAAAAAUUUUAAUUUUCUGCAAAGUUCCCCAACACCCACGUCCGUAUUGAUGAGGAUCCCGGAAUAAAGGGAACACGAUCUCUGCUUCGACAAGACGUGCCAAGGAAACCGCUUCGCUAGACGCGCUGAGGUGGUAUAAUAAAAAACGAUUCAAGUAAAGGCUUGGUAGUGGCGUGACAUCACGCUACAAGAUACGUCAGCAGAUUGAACUUGUGUACAUAAUAUUCUCUCUACGGUGGAGUGUGGAAUUUAUUUUGCAGAGCCGGACACUAUCUUGGUGUUCACAAUCUUCUAUGGAUUAUUCGGAGGAGGAACCCGCCUUGCAAUGCCGAACAUUAUGCGCGUCGGACUCAUCGUCAUUGAAGCCAGGUUCAGGGGCUACUGAGGGAGUCCUGGACUAGGGGGUGUCCGGACAGCUGGACUAUCAUCGUCCGCCGGACUCCAAGACUACGAAGGAUACAAGAUUGAAGACUCUGUCCCGUGUCCGGAUGGGAAUUUCCUUGGCGUGGAAGGCAAGCUUGGCGAUACGGAUAUGUAGAUCUCCUACCAUUGUAACCGACUCUGUGUAACCCUAGCCCUCUCCGGUGUCUAUAUAAACCAGAGGGUUUUAGUCCGUAGGACACAACAACCAUUACAACAAUCAUACCAUAGGCUAGCUUCUAGGGUUUAGCCUCCUUGAUCUCGUGGUAGAUUCACUCUUGUAAUACACAUCAUCAAUAUUAAUCAAGCAGGACGUAGGGUUUUACCUCCAUCAAGAGGGCCCGAACCUGGGUAAAAACAUCGUGUCCCUUGUCUCCUGUUACCAUCCGCCUAGACGCACAGUUCGGGACCCCCUACCCGAGAUCCGCCGGUUUUGACACCGACAGACGUUCUUUUGCAUUAAGAUUUUGUGCAUCCAACCCUAAACGCACAUGACACCUCUGCUUCCCUCUACGAAGGGCCUAUCUUUUACUUUGUGUUUUUACUUUAUGCUUGAGUCAAGGUGAUCUUCACCUUUCCCUUUUUCAUUUUAUCCUUUGGCAAGCUCCUCAUGUUUGAAAGAUCAUGAUAUAUAUAUAUAUAUAUAUAUAUAUAUAUAUAUAUAUAUAUAUAUAUCCAAUUGGAUUUAAGUUAGCAGGAGCUAUUAUUGUUGACACCACCUAAAGGUGAAUACGUUCGGAGGCGAAAUUAUAAGCCCCUAUCUUUCUUAGUGUCCGAUUAAAACUCCAUAUCCACAAGUAUUGUGUGAGUGUUAGUAAUUGUAGAAGACUAUAUGAUAGUUGAGUAUGUGGACUUGCUGAAAAUCUCUAUUCUUGACUCUUUCCGAUGUUAUGAUAAAUUGCAAUUGCUUCAAUGACUGAGAUUAUAGUUUGUUAGUUCUCAAUGAAGUUUCUGAACCAUACUUGACAUUAUGAAUAGAUUGUUACUUGAUCAUGAAAAAUUUUAUGAGAUAAGCUACUAUCAUGACACUUAUUGAUGCUAGAAAAGGUGAUUGAAAUUAUCAUUGAUCAAACUUGUGCACCUGCUAGCAUUCACACUUCAUAAAUUAUUUCUUUUAUCAUUUACCUACUCGAGGACGAGCAGGAAUUAAGCUUGGGGAUGCUGAUACGUCUCCAACGUAUCUAUAAUUUAUGAAGUAUUCAUGCUAUUAUAUUAUCCAUCUAUGAUGUUUUAUAUGCAUUUAAAUGUCAUUUUUAUAUGAUUUUUGGGACUAACCUAUUAACCUAGAGCCCAGUGCCAGUUUCCGUUUUCUCCUUGUUUUUGUGUUUUACAGAAAAGGAAUACAAAACGGAGUCCAAUUGACGUGCCAACUUUUAAUGAUUUUUUAUGGACCAAAAGAAGACCAAGGAGCAUCGGAGUUGGGCCAGAAGAGUCCCGGGCUGCCCACGAGGGUGGGGGGCGCGCCCCCCUAUCUCGUGGACAGCCCGGAGACCCCCCCUGACGUGAAACCUACGCCAAAAAUUCCUAUAAAUACAGAAACCUUCGGGAAAUAACCUAGAUCGGAAGUUCCGCCGCCGCAAGCCUCUGUAGCCACGAGAAAUCAAUCUAGGCCCUCUUCGGCACCCUGCCGAAGGGGGCCAUCAUCACCGGAGGCCAUGGACGAGGAUCUCGGAGGGACCAUCAUCGCCAUGAAGGCCAAGGACCAGAGGGGGAAAGCCAUGGAGGAGGAAGCACAAGGGGGAGAACCUCUCCUCUCUCUUGGUGGCACCGGAGUGCCAUCGGGAGGGGAAUCAUCACUGCGGUGAUCAUCUUACAUCACCAUCAUCAUCACCAUCCUCAUCUCUUUUACGCGGUCCACUCUCCCGCACCCCGCUAUAAUCCCUACUUGAACAUGGUGCUUUAUGCCGCAUAUUAUGAUUCAGUGAUGUGUUGCCAUCCUAUGAUGUUUUGAGUAGAUAUCUUUUGUCCUUGGGUUGAUUGAUGGUCUAGAUUGGUACGAGUUGUAUGUUUUAUUUUGGUGUUGUCCUAUGGUGCCCUCUAUGUCGCGCAAGCGUGAGGGAUUCCCGCUGUAGGAUGUUGCAAUAUGUUCAUGAUUCGCUUAUAGUUGGUUGGUGAGUGACUGAAACACAAACCCGAGUAAGGGGGCUUGUUGCGUAUGGGAAUAAAGAGGACUUGAUGCUUUAAUGCCAUGGUUGGGUUUUACCUUAAUGAUCUUUAGUAGUUGCGGACGCUUGCUAGAGUUCCAAUCAUAAGUGCAUAUGAUCCAAGUAGAGAAAGUAUGUUAGCUUAUGCCUCUCCCUCAUAUGAAAUUGCAAUGACGACUACCGGUCUUGUUAAUAAUUGCCUAGGACAAUUCCGCACACCGAUCCACCAUUAUUCCACACUCGCUAUUUAUAAUAUUUAGUAAUAUAUUCUAACUUUAUGAUAACAGCACCUACUUUCAUAUUUUAGCUCUCCGAUAUCAUGCAAAGUUAUCCUCUUUAUACCCACAACGCAGUUUUAUUUCUUGUUUCUAGUUGGAAGCAAACGUUCGGUGCACGUAGAGUCAUAUCAGUGGCAGAUAGGGCUUGAGAGAAUAUUGAUCUUACCUUUAGCUCCUUGUGGGUUCGACACUCCAUACUUAUCACUUCCACCGUUGGGAAUUGCUAUGAUGAUUCCCUGCACUUGGGGAUUAUCACUCCCCACUUGCCCGUUAAGAUCGCUUAUUUCCCAAGCGCCAUGAUUGAUGGCGUGGUUGGAUUACCCAUACCAGUAUUGAUGAGAAUCCCGUAAUAAGGGGACACGAUCCCUGCUUCGACAAGACGUGUCAAGGAAACUACCUCGCAUUACGUGCAAUGGCUGGUUGUGAAGAACGAUUUGAAUAAUGACCGGUCCGUGACGUGAUGUCACGCUACAGAAAGUUGUCAGCAGAUUAGAUAUGUGGAAUAUCGUGCUCUCUACGGUGGUAUCUGGGAUUUAUUUCGCAGAGCCGGACACGAUCCUUGUGUCCUAAAUCUUCUAUGGAGUAUUCAGAGAAGGAACCCGCCUUGCAUUGCCGAAGACAAUCUGCGCGCCGGACUCAUCGUCAUUGAAGCCUGGUUCAGGGGCUACUGAGGGAGUCCUGGAUUAAGGGAUCCUCGGAUAGCUGGACUAUAUACUUUGGCCGGACUGUUGGACUAUGAAGAUACAAGAUUGAAGACUUCGUCAUGUGUCCAGAUGGGACUCUCCUUUGCGUGGAAGGCAAGCUUGGAUAUUCGGAUAUGUAGAUUUCCUUCUCUGUAACCGACUCUGUGCAACCCUAGCCCCCUCCGAUGUCUAUAUAAACCGGAGGGUUUAGUCCGUAGGACAAGAACAAUCAUAAUCAUAGGCUAGCUUCUAGGGUUUAGCCUCUACGAUCUCGUGGUAGAUCAACUCUUGUAAUACUCAUAUCAUCAAGAUCAAUCAAGCAGGAAGUAGGGUAUUACCUCCAUCGAGAGGGCCCGAACCUGGGUAAAACAUCAUGUCCCCUGCCUCCUGUUACCAUUAGCCUUAGACGCACAGUUCGGGACCCCCUACCUGAGAUCCGCCGGUUUUGACACCGACAGGGACCAUGUGGUUACUUUUGGUUGGACAUGUGUGUGUGGUGUGCGGUUGGGACAAGAGAGAGAGAAAAGAGAGGAGGGCCACAUGGUUUCUUUUUGUUAGUCAAGGGGACACCCGAACUCCUGCAUAGCCCCCUUACGAUUGUUGUUAGGAUAUCGAAAGACAGACACGCAGACAUUUAGAGGGUCAUAUUGGCAAAAAUUGUCCAGACACCGUGGUCCGGACAUAUACAAGCACUCUAAGGUUCCGCAUUGGAGAAGCCACAAGGGGGAUUCUAUUUCUUUACAAAAUGUUAGAACCACAUGAAGAGCUAUGGACACACAUGCACACACACUUACACACAGAGAGAGCAGCAUGGGUGCUCGCGGGUAUAUGGUUGACUUCUUUUGUUUAUGUUUUUUGCGUGCCAUUGUGUCUCACACGCCGGCAACGGAUGGAGGGUCUGCAGCGGUGGUCACAUAAAAGGUGAUAGAGCGUGGCGGUCCUCCGGUGAUGGGUUGCUCCCUUGACUACGUUGUAUCAAUGGCAGGACCUGGGGCUCUAUGAGGGCUUCAAUGCUCAAGCUUGCGCUUGGCACAUUUGGAUCCCGUUAGCUGUGCUGUAGCGUCAUGUAUCUUUGUCGUUUUCUGUUCUGUUUAUGGUCUUCUCUUAUGUAUUACCUGGUGAUGCUUUCAUUUAUAAAGCGGGGUGCAGGUCUUUUUCGUCCACGCGCUGUUGACGUCCCCUUCCUGACUGCGGACAUGAUCGGGUGUUCUACCGCUUUUUUCAUCUUGUUUUUGCAUGGAUAUGAUAGAACCUCACUUAGUUGUACUAGUCGUCAACCCGUGCAUCGGCACAGGCUAGUGAUUUCCACCUUUUUAUAUAUUGAAAUACAAUGAGGAAAAAUAUUUACAUAUUUAGUUAUUUACUCGUAUAAAAAAUCUCUAUACAAAUGCCACGAUAAGACAGAAAAUGAUGUUAUUAAUGUUCAGUCCAAGAGAAUGAUUACUAUAAUCUAACGGUAGGCAUGCACACUGUCGUACAAUCAUUGUAAUUGUGUAGUAUGAAAUAAACUUAUAUUAUACUAUUUGUAUAUACUUAAAGUUUCAAAGUUUGGGCCAUACGCAUCUACCUAAUUAAAUUAAGAAGGAUGCAAUCACAAAAGAAAGGACGACAUCCAAGAGAAGUUAUCACUUAAUUUUGAAUAACAUCUCAAAUUCCGGCACAUAGAAUAUGUUUGAAGACUCGGAUUUCAUAGCUCCACAGUAAGUUUGUGUUAAACUACAAAAUUCAAAUCCAAUUGUACCGCAUAGAAGUAAAUAUUCUGGCUAUUUAUUUUGGAGGAGAUAUGAAUGUGUGUAGAAUUAGUGUAUUUUGGAAACAAACAAACUUUAGAGGUUUGAUCUAAAGAAUUUUUUAUGUGAAUCCACCUGAUAUUUGUGUUAGUUAUUUCCAUAAAUUUGGGGAAUGGUGUCAAUGAAACAAUACAUACAUUAAACUGAAAAAUUAUCAUAUGAGAAAAGAGGUAUAAGAUUAAUAUCAACAUCAUAUUUUUGAAGGAAGACAACAGAAAGAGUCAUAGGAAUAUACUUUGUUACAUGAAAUAGAGUACUGAUUCAGUAAGGAAAUCAUGCAAGGUCCAUGUUAUGUUAGUUAUCAUUAUUUUGUCAAUCUCUAUAUGGUACUUAAGCUAAUAUUCUUCUGAAACUUAUUAAAAUUGUCUCACCCACUAUAUCUUCCGCUAAAAGAAAUCGAUUCAAUAUUUUUGCCAAAUUAACAGCUCUUUUGCAAAAGGUAAGAAAUUAUAAUAUAUUACUUCUGCAAAAAAAAACCAAUAAGCUGAGAUUUACUUUUUGCGAACAACAAUUGUUAGCCCUUAUGAUGCAAAAGCAUCACUGAACUGAAGAUUUUAGCCCUGCUCGAGCUCAGCCUAACAGAUAUAGUGGGGAUGACCUUGAAUAGGCAACAAUCGAUGCCUUUUGCAAACAACAAUAUAUAUUUAUUUAUUUUGUGGGAUAAUACGUGGUAUUUAAGGUAACCUUAUUAUGAACCUAAUGAAUUGUAUACUUAACUAUUUUUCUCGAAAUGUAAUAUAUUAGGUGUUGCCUGCUUCUCCCCGGUACUGUUAUUUAGGCUCAGUUACAGCGCAUAGGCUCCAUUAUAGUACAAUUUUUGUAAAACAGUAGAUGUAGCAUGGUAUACAUGUUUUUGCAAACGUACCAGUGUAUCUCGAGUAGCACUACUUAAUCAAAUCAUCAAAUAACCACAUAUUUAUUAUGACCAUUAUUACUCUCAAACUAUUUCCAACAAUCUUCAAAAGAUUUGACAUUUUUGUUUGCCUUAGGUCAAAGAUGAAUCAAUGAACAUAUACUAAUUUUCUCUCAAAAGCAAAUCACUACUGCAAUUGGACAUGCAACGCGAAGGUUAGCUGCAGCUUGGGCAAGACAAUCAAAGCCUGUAAAGUGCAACCAUGUGAAGCAUCGACAGAACAGCCUCCGUACGAACAGCUCAAAAGAUCAAUCUAGUAUCCUUGUGCAUGAGCGCCGUCUUUGUCGUUCAUGCUGAUGGCUUGAUCCAGCAUGCUGCCACCAUCUCUAGUAUUGACGUGCUACAACUAAGCUUUUACAAAUGUGAUUAGUCGAUUUGAACCAUGAUAUCAAACUGUACAUGUUUCAGGAAUAUCAAAAUUAGAACUACAUACUGUUUUGUACUGUUUUUGUUGUCCAGUUCUAUACCGUAGAUUUGUAGUAAAACAACUUGAUGGAAGAACUCAAGUUAGUCCAUCCAAAUUUAUUUUAGUACACUCUGCAUUCGCAAAAUAUGUAGCUUUAUGAAGUACCUUCUCGGUUCCCUCAAUAUAUCUUGCCAAUCGGAACUCAUCACCGAGAAGGCUUUCUUUUCCUUUUUUCUAUUUUGAGGGAACCAGCGGAAGACCCGGGAGAAGAAUCAUGCGCGUCUGAGCUGUCGAGGCACAUCUUUUCAUCCAACGGUUAUAAGUGGAUCUAUGGAAUCAGGCCACUCAUAAUUUUGGCAUAGCGUGCACUGUGAAUUACUUCUAAAUCCAGAUGCAAAAGUUCCAGCGGUUAGUCAUAUUUAUAUAUUUGUCUUGCUUACGAUGACUUCUGUUUUCACGUCCAUGGAAUGAAAUUUCAACUAUGAUGUACAACAUAUGCUAAAAAGCAAGAUCUUAAAAAUUGCUAUCUAAGAACAAACAAAUGAUAUUGAACCAAUUAAACUAAUGUCGAGAUAGACCUUAUAAUAUCAAUUAGUACUACUAACAGAAUGUGCCAAAAUUAAUCAUAAUUUCCUUUUUGAGACAUAAUUUCUUUGAGAAAUAAUCCCUAAUGCUAAAAUGUAUACAGUAUUAGAGUACGCAAUUCAAUGUCAAGAACUGGCCGUAAAAAAAUGUCAAGAAUUCUUCUGUCAUUUCGUUGGCGUAUUAUAUAUAGAGGAUCUCUGCGAUAGAGCGGUAUGAACUGAACACCAAGAAAUAUUAGAACACGUUGAGACUACCUAAAUUGGACUUUAAGGGAAAACGUACCGUGCUUUCACCCAUGGCCACAACUUCCAUGAUUCUACUACUUUGAACAAUAAAAACAAUGGCAUGUUAUCCUUAACACUGAAAAUUAGGGACUGGACGCACAUGCAUCAUUUAGCAGAAUAAAAUUUCAUAGCGCUGAAGAGGAAAGAAGAGAAACAUAAAAAUAUUAUGCAAGUAAAAAACAUGAUGCACACUUAUCACCUUGAUAUUUUAGAUCUGCUUUAGAAGUAUUAUCCAAACAAAUUCGAUCGUCCUGCUGUAAAAACUAAAUCCACACCCAUGAUAUUACAUAUUAAACAGCUUGCUGAGAACCAAAAAUCAGAGAAAAAGGGUCAAGUUACAAACGCAAUAGAAAAUUUAUUUAAAAAAAUAGGCGCCAUAAAGUCAACAUCAGUCUGGAUAUACCUCGUGUUAGCUUUCCCAUCCUAUCCAGAAGUGAAUGGAUCAGCGAAAACAUGAUGGCAAUGGUCAUACUGAACCGUUGUUCGCAACCAACGACAGAAAGAAAGGGUGCAGCAUGGAAGAUUGACUUGCAAAAGCACAUACACUGCAGUAUAGAAUCGAUGCAACAUCUUCCAUCAUAUAGUUGUUGGUUUGGGCCUUCUGGUCUUGCAGGCUGGAAACACCUAUGGCAGCCAAGAAGAGGGGAAGGCCAAGGAGACAUGUUUGAGCCCCCGCUAAGUUGAGAGCAGGCCCUCACGCGCAGAAGGCCAGCAUACAGCAGUCCACGACGUUGUGGCCAGGGCAGUGCAUCGACCAUUAGAGCAUAGUAGAGAGAAGAUACGGGGGAGGAUGUGCUGCCCCGCAACAGGAGGAACCCAAGCCUGGACCUUGAUCCAAAUUUGAUCGAUGGGAACCAUGAGGACGGCGGCGGCGUGCUGUGGAGAUUGAAGCAGGGGAGAGGGUAGGGAAGAGAUUGAUUUCUUUUGUGCGUGAUGGCAGAUUGAAAUAGCGGAGGGUCAGGGAGAGACAGAGAUUUUUUCUUUUCUUUUCGCGUGAUGUGGAGACUGAAACAUGGAAGUCUCGGACUCUCGGGGGAGAUCGAGAUAUUGUUUUCUUUUUUGUGUGAUGUGGAGAUUGAAGCAGGGAAGAGUCGGGGAGAGAUAGAGAUUGAGUUGUUUUUAAGUCUUGGGAGGAGAUCGAUAUUCGGUAGUCCCAGACUCUAGGGGAACAGUACGGUCAAAGAAGCAAUCCUAGCUUUUCAUCUUUUAAUCCAACGGUAAUUAAGUGUUUAGACGUGAGAAUUAACAUGAAAACUCGGAUGGUGCCUCCAAUUAGUAAAUAUAAGAUAUAAGAUGGGUGGAUGUACAGACUCAUCCAAAUCUGUACGAUUAUUAAAGAAGUGUAGUAAGUGAACUCAUUCUCAUUGGAAUUGCUUCACAUGCGUUUAUUGAGAUGAGUGUAUGUACGUAUGUACUAUGUAUGUAGUCAUCUGCAUUGUACUGUGUAAAAAAAUUGAAAUUGCUUCCCAUAUGAUAUAUUCUACUCCGAUUUUUUUGGUACAAUUGUUUCAAGCUGCAAUCUCAGGCGCUUUGGACCCAGCCAGGCACACGUACCCAGCUUCUUUAUGUCUAGGUACGUCUUCUCUCAGUCUCAGGGGAGGCGCUGGUGGGUGGUGGGGCUGCCGCAAAUUCGUCUAGAAGUCCAUGCUGGACUGGUUGUCACUACUUGGGGACGGCCGCUUCACAGUACAGUGCCUCUUGAGUCGCCGCCGCAGGAGCUGCCUGCCCACGUUGAGCCCAUCCUCGGGGACGGGAGAGGCGCGGACGUCAAGUUCCACAUGGGCGGUCAGCUUAUCCAUGCGCACAUGUCCCUCCCGGCCGCGCGAUCGCUGUUGUUCAUAGCACAGAUGUUUGGCCCGAUGGCGGCGAAGGAUGCGCAAGGCGACUAUGGUUACCUGAUGAGAUAAACUACGUGCAUCACGAAUGUGUAGAGUAAUGAUGUAGAGCAAAUGCACCACAUGACUACUGCCUGGUACAAGCUAAUUAUUUCCUAAUGCCUCCCAAAUCCAGUUAACAUAUUUGUGGUAGAGUGCGUGUGGCUCAACGUAUAUUUUGUAGGAGUAUUACCUAAGAACAUGGCUUGAACUAAAUAAAAUGACGGGAAUUGUUGUGGGUACUAUCCAGCAUGACCAGCUCACUGGAAGAUAAAAUAUGUUGGCACACCGAAUGAGUAUUUUUCUUUAUCUGCUACUGCCUGUGUGAUCACUACGAGCCACGGUCGAUGCGAACUAUAUAUAUAUAUAUAUAUAUAUAUAUAUAUGCACUAAUACUUAUGGGAAGGUCAGAAAAAUAUAUGUCAUAACUACUCAUCAACGGGGUGGGUGGUGAUGAGUCAUUGGUCUUUUGUACUUUUUCUUUUAUAAAAACUAUAGAGGUUUGCUUGAGUUUGUAUAUCCAGUUUUUCAACCAGGUGAGUUGCUUGUACUUGGGUUUUUUUAACACAUAAAGAGUCCCGAAUAACCCAGAUGCUAUAUUGAUCAAAACGACAGGAUAGAGCAUAUUACAACAGAACUCAAACUUGAAAAGAAAAAUACAACCAAUUCCUUGAACUUUAUGAAGAGGACCCAAGAACACAGAUACAGAUUGCAAUCGGGUCCGGACUAUCCUCCUCAUAGAACCAACUUCGCCGGCGCUAGGGACGCAACCACUUGGUCCGACGAAGCCUCCACAGCAGCACGCCACGAACUCUACUUGAAUGAUGCACUGCCUCCCUUGUGGCAUCUUGGCCAUGAGGAAGAAAGAUGGCCGCCCUUUGGCCAAGCAAAUCGGCAACGCAUAAGAAGAGAUGAACCGUCGGCCACCAUAAUGGCCGCAUAAGAUAAUCCGAAGCAGUUGCGGGAGAUCCACUUGUCCCCAAAAGCAUCAUCACCACCUCGCCCGUGGAUUUUCCUGUAAAAACAUGGCGAGUCGGAGAACCCCUUUCUACAGCACAUGGACCAACAAAGCCGGUGCCAUUUGCGCAGAUCUGGCUCAACAAAGUAGCAACGAGACAUGAAACGCUUUGAUCGGGAAAAUCUCUCUCUCUCUCUCUCUCUCUCUCUCUCUCUCUCUCUCUGCCACUACCUCGACAGGCAAAGAAGAACAUCGCCCUCACCACCACAACUUGCCAUAGCACUAGAACGAGUUUAUUCAAGGGGAUCCUGCCAGAUCCGGCGCCUCCCGAUUCCCUCCACCAUGGGGGCAAGCAAGAAGACAACGGCGGCCACCACCAGACGCUACUCGCGAGCGCUAAUGGUUUGCAUCCCAAUGACAUAUCGCUAGACCACGACAUGAAGCCAACACUAACUAACACUACUACUACCCUAAUAUGGACAAGGAAGACCCGAGCACCUCUCCAUAGCCAUCACUAGCAGGCAGUGCCAUCGGAUGAGGCGUUGGAUCAGGCUAGGCAGUCCCUGGUCGACUCUCAAAAGAGAGGCAGUGAAAGAGAGGAGAAGGGGGUGGAGGGGGAGAAGGGAUAAUGACGUGAAUAAAUUCGUAGGUUGCUUAUACUUGGUUGGAUAAUAAGAUAAAGUUAAGUUGAGCGCUAGGCUCCAAUCGACUGAUAUUUUGGGGGGAAACUGUUGGCUCGCCAGCCAGCCAACCUCCAUUGCAUAACCUUUAGAUUGACGGCAAACAAUGUCAUUUUGUCCCCCACCAAUGCAGCAAAAAUCUCCUGCAACCGACCGAUUCGCCCAACAGCGCCACCGGAGACCCCGCAAGUUCAUAUAGAGUCACUGCACUCUGUGAUGGAGUGAAAUACCUUCAUAUCCCUCUGUAGGAUUCAUGACGAGGUUGGAAGUAACUGAACAGAGUCUGCACACACAGGUUACCUGGGUUCGGGCCUCCGAAGAGUAAUACCCUACAUCCUGCUUGUCUUUGUAAUCAUGGUGGGGGAUACCUCGUGCAGAUAUGACAAUGGUGAAGGAGAUUGCUACCGAGAGUUUAUUCCGAGAUUGGAUGAUUUAUAGGACCCCGGGUCCUCCAGGUGGGCUCGGUUGGCCACUCUCAGGUCAUGGCCCCGUCACUCUAUAACAUCACCGUCUAGCCUCGCUGGAGCACCUCUCAUUGGAUUGACGGCAAACAAUGUCCUCCUCGUCUCCCACCAAUGUAGCAAAAAUCUCCUGCAACCGACAGAGUUGCCCGGUAGUGCCAUCAGGAGACCCCACAGGUUCUUAUUAGCAUCGCUGUACUUUGCAACAUCACUGUCUAGCCUCGCUGGAGCAUCUCUCGAUCUCCUCGCAACAACCCGUAUCCGGCUGCAACAUUCCUCGUUCGUGGCAUCGCGAGGUGUUGCUUUUGAAUAACCUUUCUCGCAGUCCUUGUAUUGUCAAGAGAUGGUUGAUACUAAUGGUUGUUGUCUUUUGAUGUUUUUUCUGUUGAUUGCUUUCGUUUUUUUCCCUCCAUCUAUGCAUAGCUUUGUUCUUGUAUGACUUUACUCUUUCCUGAUGUGAUCCUUUCCGUGUGGGUGUUGGUGUUGGUUAUUGAUUGCCCUCCUAAUAUAAGGUAGCAAAGUGUUAGACCCCAAGCUCAAAGUUUUGUAGCAAGCAUCAAAUUUCUCUCGGUGAGAACCAAGGUAUCCAUUCGUGGUCGUACGAGCUUUCAUUACCAAUGAUAAGUUGAUAAAAAUAUUUUUUGAUCUUUUAUGAAAGAGUUUUUUAUCUUUUUUUUACAAAUAAUAUGUGUGUAUCAAUAGGAGUAAAUGCAACCGCCUAGAUAAAUUUCAAGAACAAAUUCUUUUUGAAAAUCAUGAGUAUUUGUUUGAAAACUGAAAUGCAUAAAUAUUCGUUAUGUGUAACUUUUUUUAAAAUGUGCCAAUAUUUGUUUUUGUAGUCAAAUAUUUAGCUCUACAGCUGUAGUCAAAUUGAAAUGACAUGUUUACGUGGUUUGCACAACCUCACCUACUAGUUCUCAUUCUUAUGUCUAUAGUCGUGUCAUCAACAAGGUCAAGCCGAUUUCGGCAGAGGAGCUGCAACAACGGCGUGUCGGUCGCUUGUUCUAGCGGCAGGAGUGGUCAUUCGGUGGUCUACGGACUUCGAUUUAAUUUUUUUGUUAUGUUUGAAGAGUUUUGUAGCACUUAUGAUGAACAUUUAUAAUUGACCGGAUCAUUUUCGCAAAAAGAAGUGUUAAAGUGUUGUCGUGCCAAAGAAAUGUGAGAGCAUUUAAAGAAAAUGUGGGAGGACAAAUUAUAAAGUUUGCACUUCAGGAAUCUUGCAAACUUUUCCUAGAGCCUCUUGAUUUUUCUGAUGCUGAUCCUGAUGCGAUGCCAGAAUAACCCACAUACGAGAAAUGUGGAUCAGCAUCCCGUGCCCAUGCAAGAUGUAGCCAUGUACUAGUUCACUUGAUUUGGUUCCAGUUUAUUUAUUAGUCUCCACAAGGUUUCCUCGAAACUCUAUAUCAGUUUCAAUUUCUUUCUUUUGUAGGGGAGAUCAGUUUCGAGUUUCAUUGAGUGAAAAGUGAUUCACUCAUGCGAGGUCUACUACGAGGAGAAGAAGCGGUUCUUCGGUGCGGACUCUCUUUUUGUUUUCUCGCACUACCAACCAUGUAGCCAAGGCAACUCUAGUUGCUCUUGAUUCUACAUCCCCUUGUGGAUGCCGACAGUAAUGUACAGUCAAACAUUGUGGGGGUAAUGAUGCAGCGUAGAUGCACCGCUGGACAAGCUGGUACUAUAAGCUAAUCAUUUCCUAAUGCCUCCAAAUCUAACUAACAUAUUUGUGUGAGUGUGCGCGUGUGGCCCAAUGUAUGUUAUGUAUUUGACUAAUACAUGGCUUUAACAAAAAAAAUGAGUGAAAUGGUCUUGAGUACUAUCCACCAUGACCAGCUAACUCAAAGAUAACUUAUGUUAGCGCACCGGAUGGGUAUCUUUCUUUAUCUGCUUCUUGUUGAUGGGAACUAUAUAUGCACGAACAUUUGAUGGGGAGGUCUAAAUGCCAUGACAACUCAUCGACGAGGUGGAUGGCGACUAGUCAUUGGUUUGUUGUACUAUUAUCUAGGUUUGCUUGAGUUUGUACAAUAGUUUUUUCAACCUAGUGAGCUUCUUGUACUUGGUUAAUACUAACACUAGUCCAAAUAAGGUCAUCAUACACGGUAAAAAAAUCUAUUACAUGCAAGCGUGAAUAGUCGCCAUGAUGUUGUGUGAUAGAUACUGUCGGGAAGUUUUUUUCCUUUAUAUCAGGCGCUCUCACGUUACAAAACACCUACUUGCAUGAAACUCAUAUGCAUUCAGCAAUAUCCCAUCCACUUUUAUGAAGCCCAUAUGCAAUCAUUUGUAUCCUAGCCCGCAUGUUACACGACUUAGCCAAUGCAUAACUAGAUUCAGCAGCUUCUUUGCUCGGAGCAAACCUGUCCCACAUCAGUGAGCCAAGGGUGAGGGAACCAACAUAUAAGAGCAUCUACAGCCGGGCUCGUAUAUUGCCCCUAUAUGUCUAGGCAGACGACACGAUCAGAGACCUAUCAAGAAAUCACAACCCAACCGGCCCCUCAAACCGGCCAUAUAUGUCCGGACUGACCGACGCCCCUCAUAUCCAGCUCUUACCUGGGCUGAUAUGGGGAGUCUCGGGCGCGCCCACCAUGUCAGACCUGACAGAGCGAGCCCACCCCAAAUUCCAUCAAAUCUCCUCCGGCCUAGCCGGACCUGCACUUUUCCUCUCCUAUCUUCUCCCUCGCCUGUGCUGGCCCUCCCCUAGCUCUGCAUCCACCCUAGCUCUGCUAUUGUCCUGACCCCAUAGCACCGCCACCGCCACCACAAAACUCCUCCUUGUCAUUCUCCCGCCCCAGAAACGGUCGCGCCCCAUACGUCGUCGUUGUACGUGUCGCUCCUCCAGUCAUACGCAUUGCCCUCUAUGUGUUCGACAAAAUGCCAGAGCAGUUUUUUUAUUCUUUUGUCAGCAAAACGGUGGAUUCGUUGGGUUCGUCAGAUAAGGAGUAUCAGAACAAGGAGCUUGAUGAAUUCAUUAAAAAAUGUUCAUUGAUUCUCCGGAUUCGGAUGACGAAGACGUUGAGUUCUUGAUGAUGAUUAGCAUCCAUGAGGAAAAUAAGAGGGAAGUGGAGCACAUUUUGAACCUCAAGGGUUCGAUAAAAGGGAGGAGAUUCUAAACAUGGAUAGGACCGCAGGGGUACUACUGCUCUACAAGCUCUACUUCCAACCCGGACCAACAUUCCAUGAAGCGUUUUUUCGUCGACGCUUUCGUAUGCGCAAAGCAUUGUUCCUAAGCAUAGUGGGGGGAGUGGAUGCACAUGAUCCGUACUUCAGUCUCAAGAAGGAUUGUUUUGGACAACUCUCAUUCUCUUUGUAGAAAUGCACAAUUGCUCCGAGGAUACUUUCAUUAUGUAUUGUCGCCAAUGUCGUUGGUGAGAUGGUCCAAAUAGGGAAGAACACAUGCCUUGAUGCCACUAUGAGAUUUUUCCGCGCCGUGGUGAAGAUGUUUGGAGUAGAGUAUCCGAGAGAACCAAAUGCGCAAGAUACAAAAAUGUUGAUGGAAAUGGGAGCGGUAAGCGGUUUUUCAAGUAUGCUCAGUUCAGUUGAUUGCAUGCAUUGACAAUUGUAGAACUGUCCAAAGGUUUGUGAGGGGUGUACCAAGGUCACACGAAAGAGGCAACCAUCAAACUGGUGGUAGUGACAUCAAGGGACAUGUGGAUUUGGCAUGCUUUCUUUGGCUUGCGUGAUUCUCACAAUGACAUCAAUAUGCUCCAAUGAUCUCAGCUUUUAGGGCCCUUUGUGAUGGGGAUGCUUUGUCGUGCAACUACACCAUGAACGGGCACAACUACAACAUGUGGUACUAUAUCCGAUGGUAUCUAUUCUUAGUGGACGGCGUUUGUGAAGACCAUGUCCAAUCCCCAUGGCAACAAACAAUGCCACUUUGCAACAAUGCAAGAAGAAGUUAGGAAGGAUGGGAAGAGGGCAUCAGAGUGCUCCAAGCUCGUUGGGGGUAUUAACCAUGGAGUUGCAAUGAUGUGGGAACCAGAGAAUUUGGCAGUUGAUGACAUGUUGUGUCAUUUUGCGCAAUAUGAUUGUCAAGGAUGAGAGUGAAGGGAUGGCCCGAACGCAUGAUUUUGAGAAGUCCAGUGUACAACCCUGUCUGGAACAAGAUGCACAUCAUAUUGUGAAUUUUCUACAGAUGCAUUAAAAUCUUCAAGAUCAAAAUGUGCAUGUGCAACUACUCAAUGAUCUUGUAGAGCAUAUAUGGGCCCACAAUAUCCCUUGCUUUCUUCUUAGCUCUCCAGGCCAUCAUCCUAUGGACCUCAAGCCCAAACCGCCUCUUUGUCUUGUCAACAAUAGCAGGUACAGUAGUGUUGGGAUCUGAUGUGAUAGUUUCAAGCAUUUUGUUGCCAAGCCACUUUGAGCUAAUCCUAGUCUUCUCAGACUGGGUGGGACAUGUGUGCUCCAACCUCAUCUUCUUAAUGCAGAAAGUGGGCUCAUUUCUUAUCUUUGUUGCUACCAUGUAGAACUGACAACCAUCUCCAUCACAGCAAACUAUUAUCCUAUCGCUGCAGUUUCUGUGAUAUUUAUAUCUUCUAAGUUGUUUGACAUGCAAAUUGACAAGAGCCUCUCUGAAUUGGUAAACAUCUUUGAAACAAAGCUGUAGUUGGAAUUGUUGUUCUGGAUGCAUCCUCUCCUCAUCCUACCAGACCCUAGGUGGUCUUUUCUUAGUUCUACUCCUUCUGUCAGAGGUGAUAAUAAAGGACAUUGGUUCAUUGCCAUCAUCAUCUGCUUCAAAGCAUGUAUCUUCUCUUCUGAAGAUGGAAACCAAUCAGGAUUAAUGGUUGGACCAGCAUUAGAGUGGGACCUACUUGUAGGACCUGGCGCUGUCCCAAAUGGAACUCGGGCACGUGCGCGGACGAUCAGGGGGGUGGAUGUUCCCAAUACGGUUGUAGAUGCUCUCCAACACUACCCCUCAAAACAAACACACUAUCCCUCCCACCGACCACGGGGGACAUGUCCGCGGACAGGAUACGGGAGGGGGCCAUCCAAUCUUUACUCCCAAAAAUUACUCAUUUGUCCGGUUGGGAGGAGAGAUGAGAGAGAGAGAGAGGUGAGAGGGGGGCAUAUGGUUACUUUUGGUUGGACAUGUGUGUGUGGUGUGUGGUUGGGAGUAGAGAGAGAAACGAGAGGAUGACCACAUGGUUGCUUUUUGUUGGUCAAGGGGAUGUUCGAACUCCUACAUAGCCCCCUCAUGGUUGUUUCCAGGUACCGAAAAAGGGACACGUACAUUGAUCCACAGACAUUUAGGGGUCCCAAUUUGAUAGCAAAAGUUGUUCGGACGCCGUGGUCCGGACAUAUACCAACACUCUGAGGUUUCGCUUUGGAGAAGUCCUGGGAGGAUUCCAUUUCUUUACAUAAUGUUAGAACCACAUGAAGAGUAAAGAAUUGUGAUAUGGACACAUAUACGUGCACACACACACAUAAAGAGAGAUAGUGUGGGUGCUCGUGUGUGCUUAUAGUGGUGAUGAUACUUUCUUCGUCGUUUUUAGUUUGCAUAUAAAUUUUGUUCGAAGUUAAAGCAUCUUUAUUUUAACCAAAUUUAUAAAAAAAGUAUCAACAUUUAUAAUGUCAAAUCAAUAUUGUUAGAUUCAUUAUGAACUGUAGUUUGAUAGUAUAUAUAUAUAUAUAUAUAUAUAUAUAUAUAUAUAUUUGGUAUUGUAGAUGUUGAUAUUUUUAGUAUAAAGUCGGUUAAACUUUGUAAAGUUUAACUUGAAACAAAUCUAGUACGCAAAGUAAAAAUGAUUGGAGGAAGUAUGUGUAUGUAGGCACUCACAUUGUACUGUGUUAAAAAAAUGAAAUUGCCUCCCGUACGAUAUAUUCCAGUACCCUGACGAUUGUCUCAGGCUGCAAUCUUAGGUGCUUUGGACCCACCACGUUCGCACUCAUCAUGCUAGAGUAAAAGAGCCAGGCACACGUAGGCAAGUAGCCAACUUCAUCGUGUCAGGCUGCAAUCUCGGUCUCGAGUGAAGUCUAUUUUAAAUCUUAAACUUGUAAAUCCUCAAAAAAAAAAUCUUAAACUUGUAGAGGUAGUCAAAAAUGGAUCCUCACAUUUAAAUUCUUGAAGUUUGUACCCUGUAAAGUUGUACUCACUUAUCCUGGUCAACUCUACCCUCACACUUGUUUGGCGCACUCGAAAAGUCGAUCCCGACCGGGAUCACCAUUAUUCUCACUGCCCAUUCCCACACGUCAAAUUUAUCUUCACCCACCACUCUGUCCUCCUCGUCCGCCAUGGCAUCUUGCGGCCCAACACCUUCUCCGACUCAGAUGUGUCGUUGUUGUCGGUCAGCAAACUGACGAGGUCCGAGAAAGCCACGAGUCUCACCUCCACAUCGACGGUAGCAGCCGACUCAGCGGAGAUCAGCCUGGCGACCUCGACGGACACGAGGCCGGCGACUAAGGCUACAACGUGAAAUCCUCUGAAACACUUAAAACCAAUCAGUAGGUAGCUCCAUAGAUUCGUAAUUCGUACAGCUAGCUCAUAUGCCCGGUAGCUCUCGUAGUGUGCUUGCAAUGAACUGGACAUUCUAUGCCGGCGAUGGUGCGGUAUACCGAAAGGAGAGUAAUCGUGGUGAGCUCCCCUGAAUCCUGACAAUGUUGUAUAUGUUGCGUGAGGCAGUACUCUCGCCGCCAGGGUCCAAGCCUCCAAGGCAGGAGCCGGCGCCGAGCGCAUCCAACAUUUUCGGCCAAGAGAGCUGAGUUUUAGGACCAUGGCUCGGCCGCACCUACGGUCAACACCCUUGAAUGUAGUACACUUCCCAUUGGGAUCUGGGCCCUAUUAGCAUUCAAAUUUUUGUGAUUCAUUACUCUUUAAAUUAACCCAUCAUUUACGCUGGCAUUCUCAGGCUAGACUUCCAAUGUGGCACGUCUCCCAAUAACACUGUAGCUCACAAGCCCAAGAAAGAAAAUUAAAAAAGAGUCAUGUUCAGGCUUCCCAAUAAUAAUGUAGCUCACGGUGAUAUGUAUGCACGAAAAAAUAAAAACAUGACAGAAAAGAAAAAUUAAAAGAAAAUAAACAAACAAAAAGAAGAAAAAUGGAAAAAUAAACAAAAAAAAUCGGAAAACAGAAGAAUAGCAACAGGAGCAGCUACAUUGCCAUGCUCAAGUUUUGAUUCUCUCUGGAAUAUCAUUGCUGCCUUUUUUGUUUGCUGUGAUGCACAGAAAUUUGUCUAAAUGAAACAUUCAAAAACCGAUUCAGCUUGAUAUAAUAUCUGCAGCGAUUGUUCAGGCAUCCAUGCAAGCCUGGUCCCACGGCCAUUGUACAUCACGAAGCAAUAAAAAAAGUGAACAGUAUGUAGUAUGGACCAACUUGAUUAUUUUAGCGAUUAUUUUAUUCUGGCAUGCAGUAGAUUUUAUUAGAACCUAUAGGCCUGCUAACUGUAUUUUGACCAUUCCCGCCAUGUUUUACCUUGGCUGUCAGGCACAAAUCCCAAGGAUGGGGCCCAACAGAUGAGUGGCUUUGAGCGUAGGUGCGGCUGCACCAUGGUUCUAUCCAACAUUUUCGGCCAACACUGCCGUCAAGAGCGCGACCUCAGACACCUUGCUCGUCUCUAACGCAACGCAAUGCUACAAUGCUGCACACGGACCUCGUGUAGCCACCACCGUUCUGUCGAACAGUUGGCGUGCGUGCACUCCCCUGCAGCUCACCACGCCUGCGAGCUCCCUACGACCACCCAUGAGGCUCCCCGUGACUCGCGUUUGUCUUCCCACCUACCUGGAUGAGCACCACUCACUCCCUCUCCCUCGUUUCUUCAUCCACUGCCCGCGCUAGGUCGCUGCUCUGCCUCCGGAGCACGCCAGGCCGAACGAGUGCAUGUCGCUCACCUUGCUGGGUGGAUGGUGGCACAACGCUGUCGGACUCGCAUCAUGAGAAGCAAGUGCGAUUUGGAAGACCUCGUCAGCCUCAUCGACUAAUCGUAGCGCAACAUCGUGGCAAGGGCAGGCACCAGCCGACGCCGCACGAGGCCGAGAUCGUUGUUCUGGUGGCCUACACGACCUUGCAAUUCGUGCAGAUGGAGGGGAACGAUGAGCUGCGCGAGCAUGGCCUGAGCACGCCCAGAGCAUUGGCACGAGCCUUACAACGGGGGUACGCCAAUGCCGUGUUGAUGGGCGGCGUGGCCUGGCAGGUGUCGUGCUGAACAGAUGUUAAUGGGCGGUGGGAUGAUGCUCACAUGAGCUGCAGCGGGCCCGUCACGAUGCCUGGCGAAGAAGCUGCUACGUUUUCUGCCGAGAGAGAGACACACACACACAGAGAUUAGGGAAGAAGAUGAAUAUGACAUGUGGACCCAUGCAGCCAGCGAGACUAGAGAGUGAUCUCGGUCGGGAUGGAUAUUUUUCCGGUGCUUCAAAACCGUUAUAGAUCUAACUUAUAGAAAUAUGCCCUAGAGACAGUAAUAAAGUUAUUAUUAUUAUAUAUUUUCAUUCAUGGUAAAGGUUUAUUAUUCAUGCUAGAAUUGUAUUGACCGAAAACUUAAACAAAUGUGUGGAUACACAAAUAAAUACCGUGUUCCUAGUGAGCCUCUACUAGAAUAACUCGUUGAUCAAAAGAUGGUUAAGGUUUUCUAACCAUAAACAUGAGUUGUCAUUUGAUAACGGGAUCACAUCAUUAGAAAAAUGAUGUGAUGGACAAGACCCAACCGUUAGCAUAACAUAUGAUCGUUCAGUUUAUUGCUACUGCUUUCUUAAUGUCAAAUACAUGUUCUUUCGACCAUGAGAUCAUGCAACUAAGCUCUCCAGGGUGGCCUAACCAAACAUAGCGGCUGGUCCCUAGAGUUAAGGCAUGCUUUGCAAGUUUGUGGGCCUCGACAUUCGAGGUUCUAAACUCAUGAGAGAAAAUACAAGAAUUGAAAUUUCUAGACAACUGUUUUGUCUCCAGCACCACUGCUUGGUACUCAGCUAAAGUACCCUUCUCAAUUGCCUCCACUGCAACUUUGCUAUCUGAAGCCACAGCCACCUUUUGGAUAUAUAGAUCAUGAGCUAGUGCUAAGCUCUCUCGGAUGCCAAGUACUUCCAGCACCUCCGGGUCUUCAAUGUUCCCGAACACCAUUGCUGACGCCCCCUGGUAGAGUCCUUCCGCAUCACGGCAAAUCACCCCAACAGCACCAUAACGCCCUGCCCGUGAAACUGCAGCGUCGGAGUUGAUCUUUGAAUGAUCUCCCGGGGGUGGACCAACCCCUUGGUCGAGGUACGACCUCACGAGCAGCGGGAGAUGGAGAAACCAUGUAAUCAAGAUCAGCCAGGAAUCUGUCUACAAAUGCAUGUGUUGCGAAUGGUGUUUGAAGAACUCCCUCAUGGAUAACUUUCAUCCGUGCGUACCAGAUGGCCCAUAGGGUGGUAAUGAGAACAGAAAACUCAUUCUGUGAGAUCGUGUCACUCAUGGCGAAUAACCAGGCCUUAGCAUCUUCAUCUCUAUUCAUGCACAUGUGUUGCACUAGCUCCUCAUUUGACAGCGCCCAAACACUACGAGACAGUGUGCAGUCAAGCAAAGCGUGCCGCCAAUUGUCCUCCCUCCCGCAAAUAGCACAAGCAUGAGAGUCCGCCAUGUUUCUUCGGUGUAGCACAUCGUUUGUUGGGAUGGAGUGCUGAGCUAACCUCCAAGUGAACACCUUCAGUUUAGAAGGAACCUUGAGCUUCCACACUGUAGUCCAGCCCCGCCGAUCUCCCUCAUCAUUUGAUGUAUCUUCCCCGCCCUCCAACCACGCUUCUCGUCCCCUCCUAACUCGGCUGAGUAAGGAAUAUGCCGAUCGCACCGAGAAAAUGCCUCUAGGGUCACCGGCCCAUGCCCAAAAAUCCUCCACUUGCCUGGUACACAGUGGGAUCUUAAGCACUGAUUCAGCAUCUAGAGGAGUGAAAACUUGGCGUACUAGCUCCUCCUUCCAGCUUGCUGAUGAUGCAUCAAUGAGCUCAGAAACUGUUUGCGGAGGAUUGUCAACCAUGGCCCUGAUUGGUCUCCAUAGCAGAUCCCUGGGUAUCCAAUUAUGCGCCCAGAUGUUUGUUGUUGAGCCAUCUCCUAUUCUGCGUAUAAUGCCAAGCCUCAUUAUAUCUCUGCCGUCAAGGAUUGCUCGCCAAAUCUGUGAUGGAUGGUGGCCAAGCUCCGCCUCGAGGAUUGUGGAUUCCGGGUAAUAAACUGCCUUCAACAGCCUCACACUCAGAGUGUCGGGUUCAUUCAACAACCUCCAUGAUUGUCUUGCUAAUAAAGCAAGAUUAAAAAGUUCCAUGUCUCUAAAGCCCAAUCCUCCUAGAUUUUUUGGCGGUGUUAUGACAUCCCAAGAUACCCAACAUGGACUUCUCCUUCCUUGCUUGCUCCCCCACCAAAACUGUCUUAUGAUAGAGGUGAUGCUUUCACAUAAACCCCUUGGCAACCUGAAACAAGACAUGGAAAAGACAGGUAUGGCUUGUGCUACUGAUUUGAUUAGGACCUCUUUCCCGGUAGCUAACAGAAGUUUCUCCAUCCAACCUUUUAUCUUCUCCCAAACCCUAUCCUUCAAAUAUUUGAAGGUUCCAUUCUUCGAAUGCCCCACCUCUGUCGGCAGACCCAAGUACUUUUCACUGAGGGACUCAUUCUGCACAUUCAAACAAUUUUUCACCUCUUGUUUGAGAGGGUCAGGACACCCUUUACUGAAGUAAAUUGACGACUUGUCGUGAUUGACUCGUUGUCCCGAAGCCGCACGAUAGACAUCCAACAGGUUUGACACCACAUUUGCACCCUCCACGCUAGACUUAAAAAGCAACAGGCUGUCAUCUGCAAACAAAAGGUGGUUAACAGCAGGAGCUGCGGAGGCCACCUUGAUUCCGAGCAAAGACGAAUGUGAACUUGAUUUUAAUAGGCAUGAGAGGCCCUCUGCUGCAAGUAAGAAAAGGUAAGGGGAAAUGGGAUCUCCCUGUCGAAUACCUCUCGACGGAUUAAACUGUUCAAGAUUCUCUCCAUUGAACAAAACCGAGAAAGAAACAGACAUCACCAUGGCCAUGACUAUCUGAAUCCAUUGGGUAGCAAACCCAAGUUUGCCCAUGAUUGCUUCCAAAUAAUCCCACUCCAAUCUGUCAUAGGCCUUCAUCAUAUCAAGCUUGACCGCACAAUAGCUAUUUGAUUUGGACAUGUUCCUCUUCAUGAAAUGAAGGCAUUCAUAAGCACAGAUAAUGUUAUCAGUGAUGAGUCUACCUAGUACAAAAGCUGAUUGCUCCUCUGAUAUGAUCUCUGGAAGGACCACCUUAAGUCUAUUGGCCACUACCUUGGAGGCGAUCUUAUAAAGCACAAUACAUAGGCUAAUAGGCCGGAAUUGAGACAGCUGAGACGGGUUCAUUACCUUUGGGAUCAAGACAAUGACCGUAUCGUUGAUACUUUCCGGACUUUCUUCUCCCCUGAUUAUUCUCAAGACCACAGAAGUUACUUCAUCUCCACACAGAUCCCAGUGCCUCUGAUAAAAAUGUGCUGGAAACCCGUCGGGCCCUGGUGCCUUUGUGGGAAACAUCUGGAAAAGCGCAUGUUUCACUUCUUCUCUUGAGUAUGGCGUGCACAGUGAUUCGUUCAUCUCAGGUGUAACUUUGCGUGGUACAUGUCUCAGGACCUCAUCAAUGCCGUGCACCCCUUCGGAAGUGUACAAAGAUUUAUAAAAAUCUACCACCAUCGCCUUCAACUCCACAUGAUCCUCCGUGUAUAUUCCAAUGGAGUUAGAAAGCGCUUUAAUCAUGUUCUUCUUCCGUCUCAUACUCGCCCUCAUAUGAAAGAACCUCGUGUUUCGAUCACCUUCUGUCAGCCAUUGUAACCGAGAACGCUGACGCCACAUUAUCUCCUCCCUGUGGUAUAACUCGACCAAUCUAUCACAAAUCUUGAUCUCCACAUGAACGGGUCCUGUUCGGGCUGGGUCAUCACGCAGCUGAUGUAGUUGACGAUUUAAAUCCUUUAUUUCCUUCCUCACACUACCAAAAGAGUCCCUACUCCAUGAUGUAAUAUCUUGGGAUAUACGCAGUAGCUUGUCCCGGAAGUCACCUACACCAUAGCCAGGCGAUACCGCAUUCCACCGCGCCGAGAUGUUGUGCUGCCAUUCCUCGUGCUUCUCCCACAUUACCUCGUAACGGAAAGCUUUCGGGGCCGAUAUGCCCGGUUCUAUGUUAUCAAAUUGAAGUAAAAUUGGCCCAUGAUCCGACGAUGCAGCCGAGUGGUGGCUUAGGGUAGCCAGCGGGAACCGCGCGCACCAGCUAGGAGACGCCAGCGCGCGAUCAAGCCUGACUCAAGUGUAAGACCCCCCCCCCCGCCACUCUUUUUUCAAAAGUCCAGAAACGGCCCUGAUGGCCUAAGUCCACUAGCAUGCAAACAUCAACCGCUUCCCGGAAGGCUUGUAUUUGUGCAUUACUGCGAUUAGCUACUCCUUGAUGUUCAUCCGGACGUAGCACUUCGUUGAAAUCCCCCAUACAUAACCAUGGCAAAUCAUUCAAAGUUGAUAUUCCUUUUAACCGAUCCCAAGUUUGAUGCCUAAGGUUUGUUUGCGCCUCCCCGUAUAUAACUGUAAAACGCCACGGUUCCUGACCUUCCACCUGCACUUUGGCAUCAAUAUGAUAGCAAGAAUCACCCAAGAUCUCAAUAUUGCUUGAAUUAUUCCAAAAAAUUCCAAUUCCACCACUCCUUCCCUGGCUACUUAUUGCAUAAGAAUUUUCAUAACCUAAAGUACUUGCUAGAGCUUCUACACGUGCUCCUGCGAUUUGAGUCUCCACAACCCCAAGCACGGUAGGGGCAAACUAUCUCGCGAACUCACGAAGCUCUCGAACUGCCGCAGGUUUGCCCGCGCCACGGCAGUUCCAACAUAAGGCACUCAUUGGGCAUGGCAGCGCUCCUCGAAGGAGCCCGCCAAGUUUUUCACCGUUGAAGUUGAAGCUUCCUUGUCUUCGCCAUUAAGCCUUGACCUCUUGAGAUCUGAUGGGAAGCGGGCUUACACCCGCACUUGCAGAUGCCACGAUGGCCAGCUCCAGGCCUUCUACGCUCGCGGCUGAUGGGUUCGGUAGGUUGCCAUGCAGUGCCCCCGCUGAGAUCCUCUUCCUAUUGGUAUCAUCAAUGUCAACAUCCUCUUCCCUCUCCCUGUCCUCCUCUUCUUCCUCCUCUCGUGCUUUUUCUUUAGGGUUGCUUGCCGGAUAGUAGCCUCUAUCAGCUUCAAAUCUGCCACCUGACCGAGCGUCAGCCCUGCCUCCUCUUCUACCUCCACCACGUCCCCUGCCUUCCCCAGGUCCACGCCCCAUGCGCAUAGCCCAGUCUGCUCUGAGAUCCUUAAAAACCAAGGCUGACUUAGGGUGGAUUCCAUUACCAUGCUCCUUAAACAGGUGCCCCAACAUACCACAAACGGCACACCAAUCUGGCAACUUCUCGUACUUGACCCUAUAGAUCUGUCUCUUGCCCUCUCUGAUCAUCGAAACUGCAUUCCUAAGAGGUUUCAGCACAUUGAUCCUCACCCAGACUCGAUGGAAGUUGCCUACAAAAUCGUGUGAUGGUGCUUCUGCAAAUAACACCUCCCCAACCUUAGCGGCAAGCGGUGUAACCAGGUGUGAAUAAAGAUCAGGCACAUCGUGGAUUUGGAUCCAGAUGUCAAUUGUCUCUAGUUUGACCGUCGAAGGCUUGGAAAUCCCAUCAUACGGCGCUAUGAUCACUGCAUCCGCUCUGAAAUUCCAUGGACCAUCUUGCAUAACUCUUUCCCAAUCUCCCAAACAAGAGAAUUUAACCGUAUACAGAUUAUCUUCCAAAGCUUUGAACUUUUACUACUUGCGCCGUGUUCCAUGUAGAUCUCAUAUUCCUAUAGAACCAAGUUUGGCUAUAAGAUUUUGAGGUAUUGACCUUCGCAAUGGCGAUCCAUCGAUGUUCUUCCGGCGGGGCCUGCUGCUCGUCGAACACCACGUCAUCCAAGUCCUCCUCUGUCAGGCCCAAUUCCUUCAUCAUCCUCUCCACAUUGCUCACCCCCGAUGAGCCUGACGCUCCCUCCGAAGCCAUUGUCCCUAACCCGACGUAGAUCCGAUCGGGUUUUGUUCUGGACCCUAAGUCCGCCACACCCUGACUCCUUCGGAUGAGAGAGUGACCAACGGCCGUCCCCCGGCCUUGAUGGACAGAAGCAGGGAGGAAAACGGCGGCAGGGAAGUCCAACCCUCAACGACGGCGUAGUCGCCGCCGAGAGAAAGAAAAAACCCUAGCGUGAGGGAAAUAUUUUUACCUGCGCCGCCGACACUUCGACAGGAUGUAGCGCUCUGCGCGUGGAUCGGUUGACAAAAGCGGCCCUAUGGGCUGAAUAAUUUGAGGCCCAAAUAAGCAUCGCGUGCGCCAGGUGCCUUGGUGGGUUCAAGCUGCAAUGGUUUAGUACCACAUCGCCUACCGAGCUGCAGCGCGCUGGGCGGGGGGCUAUAAAACAAGGCGUGGUUGAAGGGUUGUACACAUAGUUUCCCUCGGUAGAGCUAUUUUCGGUUUGUUUCGGUUUAACCGAAAACCGUUCGGUUUCUAACCGAAAAACCGAAGUUCAAAUGGUUUCUAUAUUUGAAAACUGAAACUGAAACCGAGAACUAAAAAAAGCAAAAAUUUGGUUCGGUUUGGUUUUUUUGGUUUGGUUUUUGGUUCGGUUUUGCACACCCUGUGGACCCAAAAUGAAAACCAAGGAGUUUAACUUUGAAUCGUGCACUUCGAAUAAAUUUUAUGUUUGAACUAUGCAUUUUUCACUAUGAACAAAUAUUAUUUACAUAUGAUAUUCAUGUGUAUGAUCGACAUGCAUGGAUUUGAUGUUUUAAUAUGACGAGUGUGGUUUUCCGGCGGGACAUUUGAGGCGUCUCUGGAGCUGUACCGAAAUAGUAUUUGGCACGUACACGGACGUUUGGGGGGGAUUUGCUCAAAUUGUAGAUGCUCUCCAACACUAUCCCUUAAAACAGCACACUAUCCCUCGGCAGACCACAUGCAGACGGGUCCGCAGACAGAAUAUGGGAGGGAGACAUCCAACCUUAUUUUUCAAAAAUUCCUCAUUUAUCCAGUUGGGAGGAGACGGAAAAGAGAGCGGUGAGAGGGGGGCCAUGUGGUUACUUUUGGUUGGACAUGUGUGUGUGAUGUGCGGUUGAGGGGACAGAGAGAAAAGAGAGGAGGGCCACAUGGUUUCUUUUUGUUAGUCGAGAGGAUGCCCGAAGUCCUGCAUAGCCCCCUCACGAUUGUUGUUAGGAUACCAAAAGACGUACACACAGACUGAUGCACAGACAUUUAGGGGGUCCUAUUGGCAAAAAUUGUUCGGACAUCGUGGUCCGGACAUAUACAAGCCCUUUGAGGUUCCGCAUUGGAGAAGCCCCAAGGGGGAUUCUAUUACUUUACAAGAUGUUAGAACCACAUGAAGAGCUAUAGACACACACACACAUGCAAACACACACUUACACAUAGAGAGAGAUAUAGCAUGGGCGCUCGUGGGUAUAUGGUUGACUUCUUUUGUUUAUAUUUUUUGCGUGCCGUUGUGUCUCACACGCUGGCGAUGGAUGGCGGGUCUGCAGUGGUGGUCACAUGAAAAGUGAUAGAGCGUGGCGGUCCUCCGGCGAUGGCUUUCUCCCUCGGCUACGCUGUAUUGGGCAGGACCUGGGGCUCUAUGAGGGCUUCAAUGCUCAAACUUGCGCUAGGCACAUUUGGAUCCCGUUAACUGUGUUGUAGCGUUACGUAUCUUUGUCGUUUUCUUUUCUGUUUAUGGUCUUCUCAUUUCUCGAAUACGCACGAGUGUGCGUACUAUAUAUUAAAAAAGAGGAUGGGGAUUAGAAGACCCCUCCACGUUGGAGCUACAGUGUUACAUAGUCCAACUCCACCCGCCUGACUUGGCUAACUACUCGCGACAUUGCCCACCUCAAGGGCCGCGAUGGCACUAUCCAUGUCCGAUCUAAAAAGGCCGGCCGCCUUCCACACCCUACACUCUACGACAAUCCGAUUAAUUACAAAGGAUUUCGAGGGGGCUUCCCCAUCAAAGACAACCAUGUUCCUAUGUUUCCAAAGUUCCCAUAGGACCAGUAGCAACAUGGCCCUAGCAUCCUUUCCACCCACGGCUCCAUCCGUGGCGUUCAAGCACCAUAUUCCCAGGCUGGAAGUAGGGGUCGGGGCCCAACUUGGUAUGUCCCAUGCAGCGCAGACACUCGCCCAAACUUCCCUCGCAAAGACGCAUUGGAGCAGAAUGUGAUUGAUGCUCUCUUCCUCUUGAUCACAGAACGGGCACGCUUCCUGGUGAUCUAACCCUCUUCUUGUCAAUCGGUCAGACGUCCAACAGCGGUCCUGCAACGCCAGCCAAGCAAAGAAACGACACCUGAGGGGUGCUUUGGACUUCCAAGUGAAUUCCGCCGUUGGCACUGUUUCCCUAGCCCAGAACUUCGCCUUGUAUGCAGAGCUCGUGGAGUAGGAUCCACUGGCCUCCCAGGUCCACCGAAUCGUGUCCCGCAUAUCUGGGUGAAGCUGCACCAUUGCUAGUCUAUCCCAGAGGCGCAAGUAUUCCUGAAGCAUUUGCGAAUUUACCUCCGGCCCGACGUCCAGCGCCCAGGUUCCAUUUGUGAUCCCUUGGUAAACCGUGCGAUUGUCACGAACUUUCCUCCUCACUGCACCAUACAGCGAGGGCGCCAAUUCCUGAAUCCUGAAGCCGUCUAGCCAACGAUCCUCCCAGAAAAGGGUAUCUUCACCAUUGCCAAUCGUAGCAUGGGUUGCCGCCUGGAAAAGAUGCAUCGAUUUCUUUGGUACCGGAAUAUCAAACUCCGCCCAUGGCCUAUCUUGAUCCACCCGCUUAAGCCAAGGCCAUCUGGCCUGCAUUGCAGUAUUGAGCCACUUUAAGUUGGUGAUGCCCAAUCCACCUGCCCAUCUUGGCGAGCACACGGCUUCCCACGCUACCCGACAUUGCCCACCAUUUGCCUGAUCUUUGGCGCACCACAAGAAGCCUCUGCAGAUUUUGUUCAUGGCCGCAAUCGUCUUUUUUGGUAUGUCAAAGGCCAGCAUCGCAUGAAUAGGAAUCGCACACAGAACGGAUUGCACCAGAACCAUUCGUCCACUCUUUUAUGGUCUUUUCAUACGUAUUAUGAGAUGAUGGUUUUAUUUAUAAAGCGGGGUGCAUGUCUUUUUCGUGCACGCGCCGCCGACGGCCCCUUCCUGACCGCGGACAUGAUCGGGUGUUCUACCGCUUUUUUCAUCUUGUUUCCGCAUGGAUGUGAUAGAACCUACUUAGUUGGAUGGUGGAUGUACAGACUCAUCCAAAUCUGUACCCUUCAUUGUAUCGAGGUACUUUGGACCCAGCCAGGCACACGUACCCUUCAUUGUAUCGAGGUACGUCUUCUCGCGGUCUCAGGGGAAGCACUAGCGGGUGGUAGGGCUGCCGCAAAUUCGUCCUAAAGUCCAUGCUGGACUGGUCGUCAGUACUCAGGAACAGCCGUUUCACAAUACAGUGCCUCUUCAGUCGCCGCCGCAGGAGCUGCCCUGCCACAUCGAGCCCAUCCUCGGGGACGGGAGAGGUGCGGACGUCAAGUUCCACAUAGGUGGUCAGGAUAUCCAUGCGCACAUGUCCCUCCUGGCCGCGCGAUCGCUGUUGUUCAGAGCACAGUUGUUUGGCCCGAUGGCGGCGAAGGAUGUGCAAGGCGACUAUGGUUAGCUGAUGAGAUAAACGACAUGCAUCACGAAAGUGUAGAGCGAUGAUGCAGAGUAGACGCACAAGAUGACCCAGGUCUGUUACAAGCUAAUUGUUUCCUAAUGCCUCCCAAACCUAAUUAACAUAUUUGUGGCAGACUGCCUGUGUGGCUCAACGUAUAUUUUGUAUUACCUAAGAACAUGGCUUGAACAAAAUAAAAUAACGGGAAUUGUCUUGGGUACUACCCGGCAUGACCAACUGACAUGGAGAUAAAAUAUGAUAGCACACCGAAUGGGUAUCUUUCUGUAUCUGCUACUGCCUAUGUGAUCAUUACGAAGCAUGGUUGAUGGGAACUAUAUAUAUGCAUGAACAUUUACGGGGAGGUUGGAGAAUAUAAAGGUCAUAACAACUCAUCAACAAAGUGGAUGGUGAUGAGUCAUUGGUUUGUUGUACUUUUUCUUCAAAAAAAUAUAGAGGUUUGCUUGAGUUUGUACAUUCACUUUUUAAUGGGCCGUAUUUGAUGACACUAUAAAAACGGUCCAAUGGAUUAACGGGCCACAAAUGGGCCGAUUUUAACCAUGGGCUGAAUUUGACACACAACCGGAACAGGUCAGUAACGGACCGUAAGUAAUCGAUUCCUGCAAAUCAGCCAAGAAUAAAUGGGCCCCUAGAAGGCUGAAAGAUAACACGGGCUGGAAACGGCCCAACGGAAUAAUGGGCCUUUAAUGGGCAUAAAGCGAUAUAUUGUUCAUUAUGGGUUAGUUUCACCACGGGCCGUUAGGGGAACAAGAGUUAUAAAAGGGCCUCAUAUGGGCCGAAAGAUUUCAUGGGUAAUACAUGGCCGGAAGUUACAACAGGGUGAAAUUAUAUUGGACGGCCCAGAUGACACUACUGGGCCUAAUUAGAAUAGGCCAUAAUAGGUCGUGUGUUAGCGUGUAAAUAGGCUAUAUGUGAAUAGGUCAUUAACAGACUUUCAGUGGGUUGGGUCGUUACGUUUUGACCAGGUCAAACGGGUCGGCCUUUUGACCUGAAUGGGCCACUGUUGGACCGAGCCACGCGUCGACGUAUCAUAGACGCGUCCCGUCCAUUCACUGGAUGACAACUGUCCCAACGCUGAGCCGACACGUGGAUCCGCCGGCGAAUGAGAAUUUUACACGUGAAAAAUCACCAUUGGUCCCGGCUAUUAGCGGGUUAUCGGAUCCAAACUGAAUCCCGAUAACUUAACGAGACCCGUUAUGGUGGAUGCCACGUGUCGGUUACCCUUGACGAAAGCACUUCCAUGACGCGUCAUUUAUCGUUAUGGAAAUGGACAUUUCCGUGAUGAUAAUUUUGAUAUUGUCAUGGAACACUUCUACGACAGCACGUGUAUGACUAUCUUGAUUCUGUCAUAAAAUCAUUAUGGAUGUACAUGUAUGACAGAAAACGUGACCUACUGUGAUAAACAUGUAUCAUAACGAAAGUGUUUUUUUUUUGUAGUGGUGGGUGCAGCCACUACUUUUCCUAUUUACAUUUGAUAUUCAUGUGUAUGAUUCGACAUGCAUGGAUUUGAUGUUUUAAUGUGAUGAGUGCGGUUGUCCAGCAGGACAUUUGAGGCGUCGUCUGGCGGUCCCGAAUUGUAUUCAGGCGCGUACACGGAUAUUCAGGGGGUGGAUUUGCUCAGUACUACGGUAGAUGCUCUCCAACACCAUCUCUUAAAACAGACAGACACACUAUCCUCAGCAGACCACGAGCGGAUGGGUCCGCGGACAAGAUAUGGCUGGGGCCAUCCAACCUUUAUUUCCAAAAAUUCCUCAUUUGUCAAGUUGGAAGGAGAGAGAAAAGAGAUAGGUGAGAGGGGGAUCAUGCGGUUAAUUUUGGUUGGAAAUGUGUGUAUGGUGUGCGGUUGGGAGGAGAAAGAGAAAAGAGAGGACCACGUGGUUUCUUUUUGUUAGUCAGGGUAAUGUCUGAACUCCUGCAUAGCGCACUUACGGUUGUUGCUAGGAUACCAAAAGAUGUACACGCGGACUGAUGCACAGACAUUUAGAUGUCCCUAUUGGAUGGCAAAAAUUGUCCGGGCACUUUGAGGGUCCGCAUUGGAGAAGCCCUAAGGGGAUUCUAUUUCUUUACAAAAAUGUUAAAACCAUAUGAAGAGCUAUGGAUACAGAGAGAGAGAGAGAGAUUAUAUGGGCGACUUUGACCUCUUAUGUUGUUGUUUUUUUGCGUGCCAUUGUGUCUCACACGCCGGCGAGGAUGGUUGUAGUGGUGGUCGCAUGGGAGGUGACAGAGUGUGGUUCCUUUGGUGAUGGGUUGCUCCCUUGGCUUCGCUGUAUCAAUGGCAGGAUCCCGGGUUCUUUGAGGGCUUCAAUGCUGAAGCUUGAGCUUGGCGUGUUUGGACCCCGUUAGCUGUUAUGUAGUGUCAUGUAUCUUUGCUGUUUUAUUUUCUAUUUUCUUUCCUGUUUAUGUUGUUCUCAUAUGUAUUACUUUGUGAUGGCUUUAUUUAUAAAAUAGGGCGCAUGUCUUUUUCGUUCGCUAGUCGACGACAGCCCCUUCCUGAUCGCGGACAUGGUCGGGUGUUCUACCGCUUUUUUCAUCUUUUUUUUCGCAUGGAUGUGAUAGAACCACUGGCGGAGCUAUGUGUUAGAAAAAUAGGCCAUGGCCCGCCCAACUUGUAGCUAAUACAGUGGAGGAUUGCCAAUAAUCUGAACUGUGUGAGAAAAAAAUAGUGGGUCUUCUUUGUACUGGCCCGCCCAACAUAGAUGUUGUAGCUCCGCCACUGGAUAGAACCUCACUUAGUUGGAUGGGUGGAUGUACAGACUCAUCCAAAUCUGUACGUCUAUAAAAAAAGGUGUAAUAAGUGAACUCAUUCUUAUUGAAAUUGCUUCAAGUGCGUUUAUUGAGAUGAGUGUAUGUAUGUAGACAUCUGCAUUGUACCGUGUUAAAAAAAUGGAAUUGCCUCCCGUACAAUACAGUCUACUCCUUUUUUGGUACGAUUAUUUCAGGCUGCAAUCUCAGGCACUUUGGACCCAGCCAGGCACACGUACCCACCUUCAUUGUAUCGAGGCGCGUCUUCUCUCGGUCUCAGGGGCACUAGUGGGUGGUGGGGCUGCCGCAAAUUCGUCCUGAAGUCCAUGCUGGACUGGUUGUCACUAUUCGGGGACGGCCGCUUCCCAAUACGGCGCCGUAUCAGUCGCCGCCGCAGGAGCUGCCCGGCCACGUCGAGCCCAUCCUCGGGGAGGGGAGAGGCACGAGCGUCAAGUUCCGCAUGGGCGGCCAGGAGUUCCACAGGCACAUGUCCCUCCUGGCUGCGCAGUCGCCUGUGUUCUGGGCAUGGUUGUUUGACCCGAUGGUGACGAAGGAUAGACGACGUGCAUCACGAAUGUUUAGAGUAAUGAUGCAGAGUCGACACACCACAUAGCCAAGGUCUGUUACAAGCUAAUUGUUUCCUAAUGCCUCCCAAGCCUAAUUAACAUGUUUUUGGUAGUGUGUGUGUGUGUGACUCAACGUAUAUUUUCUACUGCCUAAGAACAUGACUUGAACAAAAUAAAAUGACGGGAAUUGUCGUGGGUACUAUCCAGCAUGACCAGCUCACUGGGAGAUAAAAUAUGUUGGCACACCGAAUGAGUACUUUUCUUUAUCUGCUACUGCCCGUGUGAUCACUAUGAGCCACGGCAGAUGGAUCUAUAUAUAUGCACAAAUACUUAUGGGAAGGUCAGAAUAAUAUAUAUGUCAUAACAAGUCAUCAAAGGGGUGGGUGGUGAUGAGUAUUUCGUUUCUUGUGCUUUUUCUUUUGAAAAACUUAUAGAGUUUUGAUUGAGUUUGUACAUCCAGUUUUUCAACCAGGUGAGUUGCUUGUAAGUUGUCCUUGGUUUUUUUUUAACACAUACAGAUACAGGUCCCGGACAACCCAGAUCCUAUAUUGAUCAAAGCAACAAGACAGAGCAUCUUACGUACAAUAGGACUCGAACUAGAAAAGAAAAUACAACCACUUCCCUGAACUUUAUGAAGAGGACCCCAGAACACAACACAGAUACAUAUUGCAAUCGGGUCUGAAGCAUCCUCCUCAUAGAACCAACUUCGCCGACGCUGGGGAGUGGGGACGCAACCACUUGGUCCGACGAAGCCUCCACAGCAGCACGCCACGAACUCUACUUGAAUGAUGCACUGCCUCCCCUGUGGCAUCUUGGCCAGGAGGAAGAAAGAUGGUCGCCCUUUGGCCAAGCAAAUCGGCAACGCAUAAGAAGAGAUGAACCGCCGGCCACCGUAAUGGCCGCAUAAGAUAGUCUGAAGCAGUUGCCGGAGAUCCACUUGUCCCCAAAAGCAUCAUCACCACCUCGCCCGUGGAUUUUCCUGUAAAAACAUGGCGAAUCGGAGAACCCCUUUCUACAGCAUAUGGACCAACAAAGCCGGUGCCAUUUGCGCAGAUCUGGCUCAACAAAGUAGCAACAAGACAUGAAACGCUUUGAUCGGGCAAAUCUCUCUCCGCCACUACCUCGACGGGCAAAGAAGAACAACGCCCUCACCACCACAACUUGCCAUAGCACUAGAACGAGUUUAUUCAAGGGGAUCCUGCCAAAUCUGGCGCCUCCCGAUUCCCUCCACCAUGGGGGCAAGCAAGAAGACAAUGGCGACCACCACCAAACGCUGCUCGCAAGCGCUAGUGGUUUCCAUCCCAACGACAUAUCGCCAGACCACGGCAUGAAGCCAAAACUAACUAACACUACUACUACCCUAAUAUGGACAGGGAAGACCCAAGCACCUCUCCAUAGCCAUCGCUAGCAGGCAUGCCGUCGGAUGAGGCGUUGGAUCAGGCUAGGCAGUCCCUGGCCGACUCUCAAAAGAGAGGCAGUGAAAGAGAGGAGAAGAGGGUGGAGGGCGAGAAGGGAUAACGACGUGAAUAAAUUCGUAGGUUGCUUGUACUUGGUUGGAUAAUAAGAUAAAGUUAAGUUGAGUGAUAGNNNNNNNNNNNNNNNNNNNNNNNNNNNNNNNNNNNNNNNNNNNNNNNNNNNNNNNNNNNNNNNNNNNNNNNNNNNNNNNNNNNNNNNNNNNNNNNNNNNNNNNNNNNNNNNNNNNNNNNNNNNNNNNNNNNNNNNNNNNNNNNNNNNNNNNNNNNNNNNNNNNNNNNNNNNNNNNNNNNNNNNNNNNNNNNNNNNNNNNNNNNNNNNNNNNNNNNNNNNNNNNNNNNNNNNNNNNCGACCUCGAUCGCAUAACUGUUAGAUUGACGGCAAACAAUGUCAUCUUUGUCUCCCACCAAUGUAGCAAAAAUCUCCUGCAACCGAUCGAUUCGCCCGACAGUAUCCGGAGACCCCGCAGGUUCAUAGUAGAGUCACUGCACUCUGUGAUGGAGUGAAAUACCUUCAUAUCCCUCUGUAGGAUUCAUGACGAGGUUGGAAGUACCUGAACAGAGUCUGCACACACAGGUUACCCGGGUUCGGGCCUCCGAAGAGUAAUACCCCGCAUCCUGCUUGUCUUUGUACUUCAUGGUGGGGGAUACCUCGUGCAGAGAUGACAAUGGUGAAGGAGACUGCUACCGAGAUUGGAUGAUUUCAAGGACCCCGGGUCCUCCAGGUGGGCUCGGUUGGCCACUCUCAGGUCAUGGCCCCGUCACUCUGUAACAUCACCGUCUAGGCUCGCUGGAGCACCUCUCGUUGGAUUGACGGCAAACAAUGUCGUCCUCCUCUCCCACCAAUGUAGCAAAAAUCUCCUGCAACCGACCGAGUUGCCCGGUAGCGCCAUCAGGAGACCCCGCAGGUUCUUAGUAGCAUCACUGUACUUUGCAACUCACUGUCUAGCCUCGUUGGAGCAUCUCUCGGCCUCCUCGCAACAGCCCGUCUCCGGCUGCAACAUCCCUCGUUCGUGGCAUCACGAGGUGUUGCUUUUGAAUAACCUUUCUCGCAGUCCUUGUAUUGUCAAGAGAUGUUUGAUACUGAUGGUUGUUGUCUUUCGACGUUUUUUCUGUUUCCUCCAUCUAUGCAUACCUUCGUUCUUGUAUGAUUUUACUCUUUCCUGAUGUGAUCCUUUCCGUGUGAGUGUUGGUGUUGGUUAUUGAUUGCCCCCCUAAUAUAAGGUAGCAAAGUGUUAGACCCCAAGUUCAAAGUUUUGUAGCAAGCAUCAAAUUUCUCUCGGUGAGAACCAAGGUAUCCAUUCGUGGACAUACGAGCUUUCAUUGCCAAUGAUAAGUUGAUAAAAAUAUUUUUUUUAUCUUUUAUGAAAGAGUUUUUUAUCUUUUUUUACAAAUAAUACGUGUGCAUCAAUAGGAGUAAAUGCAACCGCCUAGAUAAAUUUCAAGAACAAAUUCUUUUUGAAAGUCAUGAGUAUUUGUUUGAAAACUGAAAUGCAUAAAUGUUCGUUCUGUGCAACUUUUUAAAAAUGUGCCAAUAUUUAUUUUUUAGUCAAAUAUUUAGCCCUAUAGCUGUAGUCAAAUUGAAAUGACAUGUUUACGUGGUUUGCGCAACCUCACCUACUAGUUCUCCUUCUUAUGUCUAUAAUUGUGUCAUCAACAAGGUCAAGCUGGUUUCGGCAGAGAAGCUGCAAAAACGGCACGUCGGUCGCUUGUUCUAGCGGCAAGAGUGGUCAUUCGGUGGUCUACGGACUUUGAUUUAAUUUUAUUAUGUUUGAAGGGCUUUGUAGUACUAUGAUGAACAUUUAUAAUUGCUCUUGGCCAUUUUCGCAAAAAGAAGUGUUGAAGUGUUGUCAUGCCAAAGAAAUGUGAGAGGACAAAUUAUAAAGUUUGCACUUCAGAAAUCUUGCAGGCUUUUCCUAGAGCUUNNNNNNNNNNNNNNNNNNNNNNNNNNNNNNNNNNNNNNNNNNNNNNNNNNNNNNNNNNNNNNNNNNNNNNNNNNNNNNNNNNNNNNNNNNNNNNNNNNNNNNNNNNNNNNNNNNNNNNNNNNNNNNNNNNNNNNNNNNNNNNNNNNNNNNNNNNNNNNNNNNNNNNNNNNNNNNNNNNNNNNNNNNNNNNNNNNNNNNNNNNNNNNNNNNNNNNNNNNNNNNNNNNNNNNNNNNNNNNNNNNNNNNNNNNNNNNNNNNNNNNNNNNNNNNNNNNNNNNNNNNNNNNNNNNNNNNNNNNNNNNNNNNNNCUUCAGCUCUCGGUCUGAAUAGAUGUGUGCUCCUUCGACCUCAUCUCCUGCUGCUGGAUAGUCUUUGCUGCUCAUUUGGGUCUGUAAUAAAAAAAAGUAGUGGAGAGAACUUCAGCUCUCGGUCUGAAUAGUUUGCGUUUUGCGUUUUAGAGCUGAUUGUGGAUGUUGCUCGUGAGUGGAUCAACUCGAACCGUGUUUAGUUUUCUGCUUAAAAUGGGGUCGGGGAAACCCCUUUCUUUCAAACAUACUCCCUCAAUUCUAAAGUUAAUAUAAAGUUAGGUCAUCUAUUUUGGAACAGAAAGUACAGAAAUGGAGUUUCAGUUGUACGAUUAACUUUGAUGCUCAAUUGCAGAUAAAAAUGCAAGAUAUAUUCCUCACCUGACUACAGAGUUUUCUAUCAAAGUGCAAUUUUCCUCAUCAGUUCAGGGGCGUUUCAGAGCAACAACAAGGCGAAUUCUGAACUUCAUAUUGGAUUCAGACGAACGGUAGCAACAUAUCCGUUUCAUUCAUAUUAGUAUUGACAAGGGCGUCACAGGCAGUAACAACAAGAACAAGAUUGCGAGAUGCAUUCCAAGUUACCAACCCAAACAUUCAUAACGACACUUAAUCUAAUCUAGAACUCCUGGGAAGCGGAGCCGAUGUCGCCCUUGCCCUUGCCGGCCUUCUUGGGGAGCAGCGUGGUGUGGAUGCUGGGCAGAACCCCGCCGGCGGCGAUGGUGACCGAGCCCAGCAGACGGCUCAGCUCCUCGUCGUUGCGCACCGCCAGCUGGAUGUGGCGCGGCACGAUCCGGUUCUUCUUAUUGUCGCGCGCCGCGUUCCCGGCGAGCUCCAGGGUCUGAAUCAAAGGAAACAAGAAACGGUGAGAUCCAGGAACAGAUAAACGGGGACAAGAGGAGCCGGUGAGGAUUCGUACCUCGGCAGCGAGGUACUCGAGGACGGCGGCGAGGUAGACGGGGGCGCCGGCGCCGACGCGCUGCGCGUACUUGCCGACCUUGAGGUACCGGGCGACGCGGCCGACGGGGAACUGCAGGCCGGCCUUGGACGACCGUGACACGGACUUGGCGCUGGCGGCGGGCUUCGCCUUGCCCCUCCCACUGCCGGCAAUAGCCAUCUUCUGGUUCGGGGCGGAGGGUGGACGCGCAGGUGCGGUUGUCGGCGGAGAGAUGGCCGGGAUCUGUGAGCAGGUGGAGGGCGCUGGGUGUGCUUGGGAUGCUAAAGCAGAGGGGGCGGCGGCAGAUUAUAAAGAGAAGGGGAGCCGCGCGUGAUUGGCUAGGAGCGGGAGGCCGCGGAUCGGUGACGUGGACUGGGGAGCCGAACUUUUUUUCCUUUCUUUUUCCGCGGAUCGGUGACGUGGAGGGCGGGGGGCGAGAACUUUCGUUUGGGUUCGGCGCGGGCUGGCGAUUUGGGACGACGGAAGUUUCCAGAGGAGUGGUUAAUGGAGGGAAAUCGUCCGUCCGAUGGUAGCCGUCCGUCGGACAGGUCUGCAGCCGUCCGUUUCACAUGCAUCCGGAUCUGGCGACAUGGGUUUGGGCAACUUCGCCUGAUUUUCCCCUCGAGAGAAAAAACUACACUUCACCUGAUUUGGUUCCAAGUUAUUUAUUUAUUCUCAAACAUGGUUAUCUAGAAGCUCUAGAUGAGUCGAGUUGCAUUGAGCGAGGAGAAGCUCUCUUGCAACCGCAGCUGUGAAAUUCUGUUCGUGCGUCUGGAGUCCCUCUUUGCUUCCUAGCACUAGGGCCUCUGACGCCGAGAACGAACGCGUAGCCAAGGCGACUCUUGUUAUUGCUGAUUCGUCAAUUUCUUGUUGUUUGCAUAACCACAGUGCGUCACAACAGUGUAGAGUAAUGAUGUGGAGUAGAUGCACCGCUAGAGCGACUGGUGCGACGAGCUAAUCGUUUCCUGGUGGCUCCCAAGUCUAAUUAACAUAUUUGUGGUAGUGUGCGCGUGUGUCCUAGUAUAUACUAUUUUUUUUUCUUCCUAUAAAACGUGACUUUAGCAAACCAGAACCAGAGCAAUUGUCUUGAGUACUAUACACCAUGAUCAACUAACUCCAAGAUAAAAUAUCGCGCACCGGGUGGAUAACUUUCUUUAUCUGCUUCUGGCUAUGUGAUCACCAUGAACCACAGUUGAUGGGAACCAUAUAUAUGCAGGAAUGCUUGAUGGGGAGAUCGAAAAAAUAAAUGCGAUAGCAACUCAUCGAUGAGGUGGAUGGUGGCGAGUAAUUGGGUUGUUGUACUUUUUUUAGGUGUGCCCGAGUUUGUACAUCCACUUUUCCAACCAAGUGAGCUCCUUGUACUUUGUUAGAUACUAAUACUAGUGCAGGUAAAAGUCAUAGCACAUGGUUAGAAAAAAUAUCGCACACGCAACUGCGAAAUUUCGCCUCGUAACGGUGUGUUAUACGGAUCGCACACACUACAGAUAACCGUGCGUGGUAGGGUGCUGGGAUGCUUGUCGGUGGAUGUCAUCCUUGGCCUUGCCAGCCUUCUUGGGGAGGAGCACGGUGUGGAUUCCGGGCAUCAGCCCGUCGUCGACGAUGGUGAACGCGCACAACAAUCGACUCAACUCCUCGCCGUUGCACACCGUUGGCUGGAUGUGCCGCGGCACGAUCUGGUUCUUCUUGUUGUCCCGCGUCGUGUUGCUGGCAGGCUACAGGGUCUAAAUCAAAGAGAAAGAAAUGAAACGGUGAGAUCGAGGACCGCGAGGAACCGUGCGCGCGGGGAACAGAGAACGAGGAGAGGAGGAGCCGGGGAAUUUGUACCUCAGUGGCGAGGUAGACGUGGGCGCUGGUACUGACGUGUUGUGCGUAAUUGCCGACCCUGGGGUACCUGGUGACGUUGCUGACGGGGAAUUGGAGGUCGGCCAUGGACGGACUAGACACGGACUUCAUGCUAGUGGCAGGCUUCGACUUGCACCUCCUGCUACCGGCAAUGGCAAUCUUCGGGUCGUGGUCGAGGGUGGACGCGCUGGUGCUAUGGUUGCCAGAGAGAUUGUUGGAGGUUGGUGAGAUCGUGGAGAGAAAGGGGUGUUUGUGGUACUGGAAAGGCCGGUGUUGUGGCUUGUUAUAAAGAGAAGGGACGACUGAGCUUGAUUGGCUCGAAAAUUUUGUUUUUGUUUGGCGCGAGAAUUUGGGAUCACGGAGAUUUGUUGAAAAAGUAGUUGAAGGAGGGAGUUGUCCAUCUCAUCCCAGCCGUUCAUUGGACCAGUCUCCUACCGUCCGAUUCAGAGCCAAUGCAUCCAGCUGGCAUGGUUUUGGGCUGUUCUAGAACAAUAUCCAAAGGAGAAAUUUGGAUCGGCACCUGCUACCCUUUUGUGCAACCAUUUGUUCGCUUGAUUUGGUUCUGAGUUGUUUUUAGACUUAAACAUGGCUUUGUGUAAUCUCUAGAUCGGUUUGACUUUCAUUGACUCAGAAGCGGUUCACUGGCGUGAGGUCUGCUACGACGAGGCGGAGCAGUUUUUCGUGCGUGUGGAAUCCCUUUUUGUUUUCUUGCACUAGGGCCUCUGGUGCCAAGGCCGACCACGUAGCCAACACAACUCUGUGGUUACUUCUGAUUCUAGAUUCUCUUGUUCACUCCAUCAGUGAUGUACAUUAUGACAGGCUGACAGUGUGGAACAAUGAUGCAGAGCAGAUGCACCGCAGGAUCAGUGAAUCCUACAAGCUAAUCAUUUCCUAAUGCCUCCCAGAUCUAAUUAUUUGUGCUACAUGUGGCCCAAUGUAUAUUUUGUAAAUUUUUAAGCAUAACUUUAACGAAAUCGGAGGAAUUGUCUUGAGUAUUAUGUGUAAGAUGACAAGCGUUCCCUACUCCCUCGAGGGGAGCCGUGGUCUGUAUAUAUUGAUGUGGCCGAAGCCGUGCCUUGGCGUACAAGAAAGAUCACAGGAGUUUGAGUAGAACAAAUAAAGGAAAGGAGUUGGAGAUUACAAUAGAACAAUAUUCUCUAACACCCUCCCUUAGUCUUAACUAUCCUAGAUUAAGAUUACUCUUGAACUCCUCAAAUGGUCUUGCUGCUAAGGCCUUUGUAAAGUCGUCUGCUACUUGAUCUUUAGAGGGGAUAAACCGUAUCUCAAGUUUCUUUGCUGCAACCCUUUCUCGCACAAAGUGAAAAUCAAUUUCUAUGUGUUUUGUCCUUGCAUGAAACACAUGGUUUGUAGACAAGUAUGUUGCUCCCAAGUUAUCACACCAUAAACAUGAGAUACAAUUUUUCUUGAUCCCCAAUUCCUCAAGAAGUGAUUCAACCCAAAUGAUUUCAGUAGUUGCAUUCACCAAGGACUUGUAUUCAGCUUUUGUGCUUGAUCGUGACAUAGUUGCUUGCUUUCUAGUACUCCAAGAAAUAAGAUUAGACUCGAAGAACACUGCAAAACCUCCAGUUGAUCUUCUAUCAUCACUGCAUCCUGUCCAGUCAGCAUCAGAGAAUGCACUCACAAGAGAAGAAUCAGAACGUUUGAAAUGAAGUCCUGUUCCCAUAGUAUGCUUCACAUAUCUUACAAUUCUCUUGACAGCUGACCAAUGCGCAGAAGUAGGAGCAUGCAGAUAUUGACAAACCUUAUUAACAGCAAAUGAGAUAUCUGGACGUGUGAGAGUUAGAUAUUGUAAUGCUCCCACAGUACUCCUGUACCUUGUGUUCUCUUCCUCUUGAAGUGGCUCACCUUCAUAUGCUGAGAGUUUUUCUGAGGAAGAUAAAGGUGUAGGUACUGGUUUGCAAUUAUUCAUUCUCAUGCGAGACAAAAGCUCAAUGAUAUAUUUUUCCUAUUUUAACACAAUACCAUAUUGAGUUUUUCUGACUCAAUCCCGAGGAAGAAAUGCAAAUCACCUAGGUCUUUCAAGGCAAACUCUGAGCUCAAAUCAUGCAGAAGUGCAUUAGUAGCAUUUUGUGAAGAACUUGCAACUAUGAUAUCAUCAACAUAUAUAAGCACAAAAAUGACUACUCUAGCGUUGUUAUAAAACAAAAAAGACGUGUCAGCUUUAGAGGCAAUGAAACCAAGAUAUUUCAACUGUAAGCUUAAUCUAGAGUACCAUGCUCUGUGUGCCUGUUUUAGACCAUGGAGUGCUUUGUCAAGCUUGCAAACAUACUGCGGUGACUUCUUAUCCUCAUAUCCAGGUAGUUGUCUCAUAAACACUUCCUCUUCCAGAACACCAUGCAAAAACGCGUUCUGUACAUCUAGUUGUCUUAGACUCCAACCCUAGAUACAACAAUGGCUAGCACAAGUCUGAUAGUUGCAGGUUUCACAACAGGGCUAAAGGUGUCCUCAUAAUCAAUACCAUAAUGUUGCUUAAAGCCCUUUGCAACUAGACAUGCCUUAUACCUGUCAAUGGAGCCAUCUGCCUUCUUUUUAAUUCUGUACACCCAUUUGCAAUCGAUGAUAUUUUUGCCUUUCUGAUUUGGUACAAGAUGCCAGGUUUUGUUCCUCAUAAGUGCAGAAUAUUCCUCAUCCAUUGCCUUCUUCCACUUAGGAUCAUCAAGUGCACUACUCAACGUUGUUGGUUCUCCUGAAAUACACAACAUUCCAUAUGGUAUAGUCCACAUUUCCUUAUUUUAGGAUUCAGUAUACCUUUCUGUAGACGUGUCAUAACCCAUGAAGAAGCUGUUGUCUGGACCUCAGGAAUACUCGCCAUAGAAGAUCCUGAAGAGUCUGCAUGUGCCGACACAUGCGAAUCUGUCGCCUCCUGCGCAGAUGAUCCCGCAGCCGCUGGUGUGGCUGCCUCCCCGGUACGCACACGAGGGCCAACCGAUCAGGCCAGCACAGCAGAUCCACCACCCGAUCACGGUUGCAGGCGCACGCGGGGCGAGGGGGAUCCGAUCCCGCUGCUGGUCCCGCCUAUUGCUGAUGUGGCAGCGCGGGAGUGGCCCUCCCUUGAUUCGCUGCUGCAGUUGAUGGAGGCGCGAUCCGAGGCGGAUCUGCUCGCGCGAUCCGAGGUCUGCAUGCGCACAGGAGUUCCAGGCGCCGCCGGAUCACCUUCGUUGUCCGUGCCAGGUUCGUCUUCUUCCUCAGCAUGAGAUAUUGGAUCAACUUGAGCUAUAUUUUCAGGAUUUUGAUCAUUUUGAGCCCCGUUUUCUCCAGGGACCUGCACAUGCAACAGAGAAGAACAAGUACCAGUAGAAAUAUCAACACUUUGGUUAGUACAAUUGUCACCCCCAUGAUCAAAAGAUCGAAGAUGUGGAGGAAGAAGAAGAAUUUCCGUGCGGAGAAGUGCACCGGCAUUGGGAUGAAGUGAAGCAAACGGAAACACGGACUCAUAAAAAAUAACAUCUCGAGAUAUAUAGACCCUACCACUAGGAACAUCAAGACAUUUAACCCCUUUAUGCAUGGGACUAUAGCCUAAAAAGACACACUUUUUGGAGCGGGAAGCAAGUUUGCGUGUGCUGUAGGCUCUAAGGUUGGGCCAACAUGCACAACCGAAAACACGAAGAUAUGUGUAGUUUGGUGUGACACCAAGGAGUCGUGUAAUGGGUGUUUCAAAUUUGAUAACUUUGCUUGGAAGCAAAUUGAUAAGAUAUGUGGUAGUAAAGAAUGCUUCAUCCCAAAAUUUGAGUGGCAUGGAUGCAUUUGCGAGCAAUGCUAGCCCCAUAUCAACUAUGUGACGAUGCUUUCUUUCAGCAGAUCCGUUUUGUUGGUGAGCAUGAGGGCAAGAAACAUGAUGUGAUAUGCCAAGUUUUUGGAAGAAAUAGUUCAAUUUUUCAUACUCAACACUCCAGUCACUUUGCAUAGCAAUGAUCUUGGAGUUCAGUUUGCGUUCAACAAGAUAUUGGAAAUUGAUAAAGACUUGCAAGACAUCAGACUGUUUCUUUAACAAAUAAAUCCAAGUAAAUUUACUAUAGUCAUCAAUAAAGCUUACAUAAUAAUAAAAUCUCCCAACUGAAGUAGGGGUUGACCCCCAUACAUCUGAAAAUAUAAGUUGUAGAGGAGCAGUAGACACACUAGUAGAGACGAGAUAAGGUAAUUGAUGACUUUUUGCUUGUUGACACGGAUCACAAACUGACUCAACACUAUUCUCAUAAGAGAGUUUAUUUUUGCUAAGAACAUAUUUAACUAUGACUGAAGAUGGAUGACCUAAACGACUAUGCCACCUUGAUGAUGAUGGCUUGGUGAGAAUGUUGGCUUGUUUAUUUGACCAUGAAGAAGAUGAUGAUGAUAUUGAGUGGAUAGAGGCCUCCCACGCAACAUCCUCUAAGAAUGAUUCUCCUUGUUCUCAAGUCCUUAACCAAGAAAAAAUAAGGAUAGAAUUCUAUAAGAACAUUGUUAUCAAGGGUGAAUCGAUGAACGGAAACAAGAUUUUUUUUAUGUUUGAGGAACAUGCAAGACAUCUUUCAAGUGCUAGUUUUUCAUGGGGUUUUUAACAAUUGAACUACCAAUAUGAGUGAUAUUCAUACCAGAACCGCUUGUCGUGCUAAUUUGGUCGCCUCCGUUGUACUUCUCCCGUGUUGUCAACUUCUCAAGUUCACCUGUGAUGUGAUUUGUUACUGCACUGUCGGUGUACCAGUUUGUAUCCACGCCAAAGGAGACAACAUGCGCCUCCUUAUCUUCCUGAUCAUUCUCUUCAUAGCGCCACCAGCCAACACGUGCACCUCCUGGAUGAUGCAUGUAGCAUAUCUGACAUUCAGGGUAGUCGGGCUGCUGUUCACGCACCUGCUGUUGCUGUUGUUGUCGAGGGCGUUGUCGGUGUCAAAACCGGCGGAUCUCGGGUAGGGGGUCCCGAACUGUGCGUCUAGGCGGAUGAUAACAGGAGACAAGGGACACGAUGUUUUUACCCAGGUUCGGGCCCUCUCGAUGGAGGUAAAACCCUACUCCUACUUGAUUGAUAUUGAUGAUAUGGGUAGUACAAGAGUAGACCUACCACAAGAUCAAGGAGGCUAAACCCUAGAAGCUAGCCUAUGGUAUGAUUGUUGUUCGUCCUAUGGACUAAAACCCUCCGGUUUAUAUAGACACCGGAGAGGGCUAGGGUUACACAGAGUCAGUUACAAUGGUAGGAGAUCUACAUAUCCGUAUCACCAAGCUUGCCUUCCACGCCAAGGAAAGUCCCAUCCGGACACGGGAUGAAGUCUUCAAUCUUGUAUCUUCAUAGUCUUGGAGUCCGGCCGAUGAUGAUAGUCCGGCUAUCCGAACACCCCCUAGUCCAGGACUCCCUUAGUAGCCCCUGAACCAGGCUUCAAUGACGAUGAGUCCGACGCGUAUACUGUCUUCAGCAUUACAAGGCGGGUUCUCCUCCAAAUUCUAUGUGCUUGUCGAAUAGUGUCCGGCUUCCUUAUAAAUGUUGCGCUCCUUGGCUUCCACAUCCAAUAAUGGCCCUCUUCCACGUGUCGCAUGAAUGCAAAAAGUCAGGGUAUUUUUACGCUUUACCCCCUAGCUGCGCGAAUAAGCUGCCUAUAAGAGAGGCGAGGAUCUAGAUCCGAAUCACACCAUCCUCCUUCCGUGAGUAUUCAUCGAAGCGCCUCUGAUAAAAAUCCACUCCAUCAUGGACAUUCGACGUGGCUCCUCCUCUCACGCUCCCAGCCCUCAGCCAGGAGAUUGGGGGAGAUGUUCAGUCCCGCAUAGCGAGCUGGUGAUGCCCCAAGCAGAGGGAUAUCUUACCCCAGCCUUUAUGGUUCCGGUUCGAGCCGGACUGGCCACCUACAAGGGCGGAAAGCAGGCGGAGAGCAUCCCUAAUCCCUCCAAAGGAGAGCGGGUAUGCUUCGUCCCUUAUCUAAUAAGGGGACUUGGAUUCCCCGUACAUCCGUUUCUCCGGGGGCUCCUGGAGUUCUAUGGGCUCCAGCUUCACCACCUUACGCCUGCCUCCAUCCUGCACAUCGCGGGCUUCGUGGCCCUUUGCGAGCUGUUCUUGGGCAUCGAGGCCCAUUUUGCGCUGUGGAAGAGAUUGUUUUGCCUCGUACCCCGUUCUCACGAGGGGUCGAUAUAUCAAGUGGGCGGAGCCGAAAUAUGGCGCAUCGCUGGGACCGGAUAUCUAUCCGGAACCCCGAAGAAGGCGUCCGAAGACUGGCCUUCGGAAUGGUUUUAUAUGGAAGACGCCCCGUUGCUGGACCCAGUUCGGAUCGGCCUCCCGGAGUUCAGCAACGCUCCUCUGAAGAAACGCCUGAGUUGGUGCCCGCGGAGCCCUCAACGGGAGAAUGAUAGGGACGUCCAAUAUCUGAUGGGCCGGAUAAGGUUACUGGCUCAUUCCGGAUUGACCAUGAUUGGAGUCAUGUCCACGUGCAUCAUGCGAGGGGUGCAGCCACUCCAAUAUAGGGGCCACCCCAUGUGGGAUUUCAACGGGGAGGAUGACGCCACCCGUCAUGGCUGCAAGGGGCCGGGAUCGGUUGCCGAUCUGGUGAAGAUCCUGUCCGGCUUGUACAAGGGGGAGAAGGAGGACUUCCUCCGCGCGAGUCCAUUUAAUGGAUUCUCCAUGAAUAACCCUCGGAGCUGGGUAAGUGGACGUUUAUCUAUCUGAUCCAUAUUCCCGAAGUUAAGUGUCUUACUUUGCGACUUCGGCGCAGGAACUGCGUCGGGACGUAGAGGGCAUACACAGCCUGACUCCGCAGCCCGAGGAUCCGGAACGAUCCCUUGAUCCGGCCUCCAAAGAGGAUCUGGACAUAAAGGUGGAGCUGAUCGAUGGGGUGUUCCACCAACUUAGCAUGGACAAUGCUUUGGUCUCCAUUACGGCCGACUACCCCGGUUUAUCUCCGGCUUCCCAGGUAACUGUGACCGGAGUCCUGACAUCAUUACUCAUCCAUGCUUAUUUCUGAUCACCGUAUACCAAUGGUGCUCCGCAGGAGGUGCCUUUAAGGCGGGAAGCCGAUCCUGCGGCGGCUGACCAACAAGGGGCAGCUCGGCCCAGCAGGAGGAAAAGAAGUGCGGCGCGAAUCGAGACGUCGCCGCAGCGGUAUGGUGCACCCCAUGUUUCCGGAAGAGUUUCCUGAAAGUCAUACUAACGCUCAUGAUUUUUCCAGGAGAAAGAGCGCUCGCCGGACUAUGUCCGGAGAGGUUGCCAAUCGAGCCUCCGCCAGCCAGGCUCCCACACCGGGUCCGGAGGGGGAGGCGAACGCGAGGCGCGCGUCGGGUGCUCCUCCAACGGAGGACGCCGACAGGUUGUCCGCCACCAGAUAUGAGGUGGAGAGUGCCAUGAAUCACAGGCGCCGCCGGACAAUUCUUCGUGAUGCAUGCUUCUCCCCCGAGGCGUUAAAUGCCUUUAAUUCGGGUGAUGCGCACCUCCGUGCUGCUCAAGAUGGUCUAGCCAGAGCCACGGAGCAGUAUGUGAAAGACAUACGGGUGAGGCAUUUUGACAGUUAUAUAUGCCAGUAGCCCCCGAGACUUAAAAUAGUUAGAAUAACUGAUUUAAGGAUCAUUUGUUAUGCAGGACCUCACGGAGAAGAAUAUCCACCUGUCCCAGGAGCUUCAAGGGUGCAAGGCCCAACUUGAGGCCGCACUAGCCACCGCAGGGGGAGCCACAGAGACCUCCUCUGGUAAUACAUACUUCGAAAGAUAGGUAGUUUGUGAAGUGCGGCAUGUGUAUAAGUCUGACAAUAAUAUUGCAGAUGGCGCCGGACUUGAUCCGGACAAGCAACAGCUACUACGCCAGCUGAAGGCCGGCGAGAAGGUGCUUAUGAGGGUGCAGCAAGAGAGGAACAAACUCCAAGAUGCCAACACUCAGCUGGGCGAGGAACUAAAAGAUGUUCGGGUCCAGCUGUCUGACUCCGUGAAGGAGAAUCGGCGGCUUCGUCGCGACAUUUAUAGUAAGUGCUUGAGCAAACUUUUUUGAAAAGAAGAGUUCGACGAGGAAGUUGAUUGACAGGAAAUAUGUCUGUAGGCAUGCUCACAGGUCGUCCUGUGGAGGAGAUGCCCGGUUCAACGGGUCACCUACUUCUCGAGCUGCUGCAACUGCACGAACGAGUUCGGCAGGUGAUGAGCGGGGUCUCCCAGGCCUUGUGGCCUUCCGUGUCCCUGCCCGAAGGUCUUGGAGAGCUUGCGGAGAAGCUUCAGGGAGCACAGCAGCGCUUCCGUUUAUGGAAGAUAUCGGCCUGCCGUCAAGGCGCCAGGGAGGCCUGGGCCAUGGUGAAGACACAGUAUGCGAAGGCUGACCCAAACCACAUGGCCGAGGUCGGACCUGUGGGGCCUGACGGGAAGGAGAUCCCUGUGAGCUUAGUGUACGACCAAGUAGAGUUGGCCGCAAAGUAUUCACAAUGGGACCGUAAACUAGACAGUUUAUUAGAUGGUAUUGAAGAGGAAUACCGUCAGUCAGCUUGACUGUGUAAUUGAAAAUGACAUUGAAAAUGCCUUCUAGCUGGAUUGUAGAUCGUUUGUCUUUGCGGACCUUUUCGCUUCGACCUCGGGACCCGACAGCCCCGAGUGUGUCCGAAUACCCUCAUGGUUAUGUAAGAAACCGGGGCAUGCAUGGAGACCAGGCGUAGGGGUCAUUAGUGCUUUAUCAGACAAGUGCCCAACUAGUUAUGUUAUAUUACAUGGUUAGUAAGAAACAUCUUCCAGGGAGAAUAGUUCCGUUAGGGGUUCCUUUCCCUGGGAGGCAUGCCCUAAAGUGCAUGUCCGGGCUGCGAAAAAAGCAGGAAAGCAUCUGGGGGCAGAUAAAUAAAUAGGUAAGAAAUCAUCUUUCAAUUCAUCGACCGAAUAUUCCCUUAAGAACGCUAGCUUUCGGCUUCACCCAGUCUGAGGUACACAUCCGGCUGACCCGGCAGUAACAAUCGCAGAGGUGCUCCCUUUACCUCCUAGCCGAACAAUCGGGAACGUAGGGGUAAGCACAGGAGCCAGGCAACCCAGCUUGGCCAAAACUUAAGUCAUAUCGAUGCAUAUAAUGGUGAAUAAAAGGCACAUGCGGAAGUGUGACACAUGUGUUGGGUAUAAGGCCCGUAUAAAUAAGCUUCUGUUAAAGAAGCCCCCAGGUAUAAUGAGUGCGGAUAGCACGUCAAGUGUGUGCAAACAAUGCGCAGACGAGCCACCGAAGGCCCGUGAUAGAGGAAGAACAAGAAAGGAAAAAGAGAGGGGGAAAAUAAAAGACAGUUAAAUUAUAAAAUAUAGACGGGGGAGGGAGACGAACUCAGAGUCCGGCGGGAAUGGAGACGGGCUGCGUUCCAUGGAUUUGGCUCGAGUCGGUUAUCCGAUGCAUUUCGCAGACGGUACGCUCCGCCGGUCAGGACCUGGUCGAUGAUGAAGGGACCUUCCCAUUUGGGCUUGAGCUUGUCCUUUUUCUUGUCCGGCAGGCGUAGAACUAGUUCGCCAACAUUGUAAGUUUUGGCCCGUACUUCUCUGCUUUGAUAUCUUCGAGCUUGCUGUUGGUAAAAUGCGGAACGAGCUUUUGCCACGUCAUGCUCCUCUUCUAAGGCGUCCAAACUGUCCUGCCGAUCCAGCUCGGCUUCUCUUUCUUCGUACAUGCGCACGCGAGGUGAGUCAUGAAUUAUGUCGCAGGGCAAAACUGCCUCUGCACCGUAUACCAUAAAAAUGGUGUGAAUCCGGUAGUGCGGUUUGGCGUGGUCCGCAACCCCCAGAGUACGGAGUCGAGCUCCUCUACCUAGUGCGUGUUAGAUUCCUUAAGGGACUGCACUAGUCUGGGUUUGAUGCCGCUCAUGAUUAGACCAUUUGCUCGUUCGACUUGACCGUUAGUUUGAGGGUGAUAGACUGAAGCGUAGUCGAGCUUGAUGCCCAUAUUUUUGCACCAGAGUUUAACCUCGUCGGUCGUGAAGUUCGUGCCGUUAUCAGUGAUGAUGCUAUGGGGGAUGCCAUAACGGUGUACUACCCUAGAUAUGAAGUCUAUCACGGGUCCGGAUUCGGCCGUUUUAACUGGCUUGGCCUCUAUCCAUUUGGUGAAUUUAUCCACCAUGACCAAUAGGUAUUUUUGCUUGUGGGUUCCCCUUUAAGGGGUCCAACCAUGUCAAGCCCCCAGACCGCAAAUGGCCAGGUGAUGGGUAUAGUUUUGAGGGCGGGGAGUAGCAUGUGGUUUUGAUUAGCAAAGAGCUGGCAACCAACGCAUCGUUGGACUAAGUCCUGAGCAUCUGCCCGGGCCGUCGGCCAAUAAAAUCCUGUACGAAAGGCCUUGCCUACAAGGGCCCGGGCUGCGGCGUGGUGCCCGCCGAGUCCGGCGUGAAUUUCAGCCAGAAGAUUUCGCCCUUCCUCUUCAGAGAUGCACCUUUGAAGGACUUCGGUUGUGCUUUUCUUAUAAAGCUCUCCCUCAUGGACCUUGUAGGCUUUAGAUCGCCGUACUAUGCAGCGGGCCUCGUUUUGGUCUUCGGGGAGUUCCUGCCUAAUUAAGUAGGCUAGGAAUGGUUCCGUCCAUGGGGCAAUGACUGCCAUUAUUUCGUGGGCUGAAGGUGUUAUUUCAUUGGCAGAGCCGUCGACUGUGUCAGAGUGUUCGGUGUUGGGCGGUGCGGUUGGUCCCGGGUUGUUGUUUCCGGACUCCCCUUCCCAUAAUACGGAUGGCUUGAAAAGCCGCUCCAGGAAGAUGUUGGCAGGGAUGGCGUCGCGCUUUGCGCCGAUGCGUGCCAACACGUCGACCGCCUGGUUAUUAUCCCGGGUCACAUGGUGGAAUUCGAGUCCUUCGAACCGAGCUGACAUUUUUAAGACGGCGUUACGGUAGGCUGCCAUUUUCGGAUCCUUGGCGUCAAAAUCUCCAUUUAUUUGGGAUAUUGCAAGGUUUGAAUCCCCGCGGACCUCUAGGCGUUGAAUGCCCAUGGAGAUUGCCAUCCGGAGACCGUGCAGAAGGGCCUCGUAUUCGGCUACAUUGUUGGAGUCCGUGUACAUUAUCUGGAGUACGUAUUGGACUAUGUCUCCGGUUGGGGACGUCAGGACGACGCCAGCCCCCAGGCCGGCCAACAUUUUGGAGUCGUCGAAGUGCAUGAUCCAAUUGGAGUAUGCGCCGUACUCUUUAGGGAGUUCGGUUUCGGUCCAUUUAGCGAUGAAGUCGGCCAAAACUUGCGACUUUAUAGAUCACCGUGGUUUGUAGGUUAUGUCGAAUGGUAGGAGCUCAAUGGCCCAUUUUGCAAUUCUGCCCGUCGCGUCGCGGUUGUUUAUAAUGUCGUUAAGAGGUACUUCGGAGACUACUGUUAUCGAACACUCUUGAAAGUAGUGUUGCAGCUUCCAGGAUGCCAUGAACACCGCGUACGCUAUCUUUUGAUAAUGUGGAUACCGGGACUUGCAUGGAGUUAGGACAGUGGAUACGUAGUACACUGGUUUUUGAAGAGGGAAUUUGUGUCCUUCUGUUUCUCGUUCGACGACGAGCACCGCACUUAUAACUUGAUGUGUUGCCGCGAUAUAUAAUAACAUUGGUUCGCCCAAGUUGGGCGCGGCCAGGACCGGAUUUGUUGCCAAUAUGGCCUUUAUUUCUUCGAGUCCGGCCGUGGCGGCAUCCGUCCAUUCGAAGUGUCCGGUGCGCCGGAGGAGGCGAUAAAGGGGUAAUGCCUUUUCUCCCAAGCGGGAGAUGAAGCGGCUUAGAGCCACCACGCAUCCAGUCAAUUUUUGUAUUUGCUUGAGGUCUUUUGGGAUAUCCAAUUGUGACAGAGCUCGGAUCUUGGCUGGGUUUGCUUCAAUUCCUCUACCGGAUACAAUGAAGCCCAAGAGCUUUUCGGCUGGUACGCCGAAAACGCAUUUUUCCGGGUUGAGCUUAAUGUCAUAUGCUCGGAGGUUGUCAAAUGUGAGCCUCAAAUCGUCUACUAGAGUUUCGACAUGUUUGGACUUGACGACCACACCGUCUACGUAUGCCUCCACUGUUUUGCCGAUCUGGGUUGCCAGACAUGUCUGAAUCAUGCGCUGAUAUGUUGCGCUGGCGUUUUUGAGCCCAAAGGGCAUUUUGUUGAAGCAGAAUGGUCCGUAUGGAGUGAUGAAUGCCGUUGCGGCUUGGUCUGUCUCUGCCAUCUUGAUUUGAUGGUAGCCGGAGUAUGCGUCGAGGAAGCACAAUGAUUCGUGCCCUGCGGUAGCGUCGAUAAUUUGAUCGAUGCGGGGAAGGGGGAAAUGAUCCUUUGGACAAGCCUUGUUAAGGUCCUUGAAAUCGACGCACAAGCGCUAGGAUUUGUCCUUCUUUGGUACCAUUACCAGGUUUGCUAGCCAGUCCGGAUGUUUUAUGUCUCUGAUGAAUCCGGCUUCUAAUAGUUUGGCUAGCUCCUCUCCCAUUGCCUGUCUUAUGGGUUCGGAAAAUCGCCGAAGAGCCUGUUUGACUGGCUUAAAUCCUUUUAAGAUGUUUAGGCUGUGCUCUGCCAACCUGCGUGGGAUUCCUGGCAUGUCUGAAGGGUGCCAGGCAAAGAUGUCCCAAUUUUCCCGAAGGAAUUCUCGUAGUGCAGCGUCUACAUCAGGGUUUAAUUGUGCCCCAAUGGAGGCCGUCUUUGUGGGGUCCGUUGGAUGGACUUAGAAUUUGACUAUUUCAUCCGCUGGCUUAAAAGAGGUGGACUUGGAUCUCUUAUCGAGUAUCACAUCGUCCCUGUUCACCGUGGAGCGCAGCGCAGUGAGUUCCUCUGCCGCUAGGGCUUCGGAUAGUGCCUCUAGGGAUAGUGCGGCUGUCUUAUUUUCGGCGCGGAGUGAUAUGUCCGGAUCACUGACAAGAGUGAUGAUUCCAUUGGGCCCGGGCAUUUUAAGCUUCAUGUACUCGUAAUGGGGUAUAGCUUGAAAAAUUGUGAAUGCCUCUCGCCCUAAUAAACCGUGAUAUCCCCUGGUGAACGGGGCCACUUGGAACGUGACCUCCUCGGACCUGUAAUUGUCCGGCGAGCCGAACACCACAUUCAGUGUAAUUUUUCCUGUGCAGCGUGCUUCCCGACUAGGGAUUAUUCCUCUAAAUGUUGUGCUGCUUCGCUCAAUGCGGCUCCAGUCUAUUUCCAUUUUUCGAAGGGUUUCCUCGUAGUUGAGGUUUAAUCCGCUGCCGCCAUCCAUGAGUACCUUAGUAAGGCGAAAGCCGUCCACUAUUGGACUGAGGACCAGUGCGGCUGGUGCUCCGGCUGUUCGGAAUUUAGGUUCGUCGCUGGUGUUGAAGGUAAUAGCCAUGUCGCUCCAUGGAUUUAUUGUUGCUACUUGGUAGACUUCGGCGAGGCUGCGGAGUGUUCGUUUCCGCAUAUUAUUUGAUGCGAAAGUCUUGAAGACUGUUAAUACCGUACUGGUACUGCUAGGCUGGUUCUCUGGGGCUAGAAGCUCUUCGCCACUUUUGGCCACCUGCCGUAGUAUCCAACAUGCUCGAAGGCUAUGUGUUGGAGUGGCGCCCUCUGCACUAUGGAUUUUACAGGGUCUGCUGAGCCAUCCCUCCAGUACGGUUCCAUGCCCUUUAGGGUUUUUUUGCUUUUUGGUUUUUAUCCUAGGUGCCUGAGCAUGGUGCAUCCUUUUAUUUCGGACUAGGGUUGUGUUCGGAGCCAGAUUGUCCCAAAACUUGGUUUCGGUUUUCCAGGCACUCUCCAUCGCACAGUACUUUCGUACUAUGGACGCCAGGUCGGCGAAGCGUGUAAUUUCACGACGACUUAUGGCGUUCAUGAUUCCCUUGUCCGUGCAAUUGUUGCAGAAAAAUGAGAUUGCGCUUUCCUCACGGCAGUCCUUUAUCCUGUCCAUAACCAGGAGGAAUCUGGCCCAGUAAUGAUGUACUAUUUCAGCGGGCUCUUGCCGGAUUCGAGAUAGAUCGCUUGUGUUUGGGUGGGCGGGUGGAAUUAAAUUCGAAACCCCGCCCAAUCAGAGGCUCAAGGGCCGAAAAGUUUCCGAAUUUGGAAGCUUGGAUUGCUGGACGUUAUCCAACAAAUCUGGUCCGCUGCCUGACUUUAGGUUCAGUGCUUGAUUGACGUCCGCCCCUCCGCGGGUAUCCGGCAUGGAGGGAUCAUGAAUUCGGACAUAACUGGUCUUUAAUAUAGAAGAAGAGUCGCCGCACUAUUCCUCUACCACAGCAACGUGGUGGGUAGCCUGGGGAGAGUUGAUCUCUCUCAGAUCGGUUUUAAGCCCAAUCUGAUCGUGGUCUGUAGCGACUCCCAGGGCGGCGAUGCGAUCCAAGAGCUCGUUUACGGAGGAGAGCUCCAUCAGAUCUAGCUGCUCGGCAAAUUCCGAGUUGACGUGAAGAUCGCUUUUGAUGACCCGAGAGGUCAUUGUCGGAGCGGCGGCCGAACAGGCGGUCAUAAGAAAACCACCUAGCCGGAUAGUUUGGCCGGUGGCCAAAGCUCCUUUGGCAAUGGUACCGUAUUUAAAGACGGGACGAGGCAUCCUUCCUGAUUGCGAUGACACAGAGGAACUCUCAAUGAAAGCACCAAUGUCGGUGUCAAAACCGGCGGAUCUCGGGUAGGGGGUCCCGAACUGUGCAUCUAGGCGGAUGAUAACAGGAGACAAGGGACACGAUGUUUUUACCCAGGUUCGGGCCCUCUCGAUGGAGGUAAAACACUACUCCUGCUUGAUUGAUAUUGAUGAUAUGGGUAGUACAAGAGUAGACCUACCACGAGAUCAAGGAGGCUAAACCCUAGAAGCUAGCCUAUGGUAUGAUUGUUGUUCGUCCUAUGGACUAAAACCCUCCGGUUUAUAUAAACACCGGAGAGGGCUAGGGGGUUACACAGAGUCGGUUACAAUGGUAGGAGAUCUACAUAUCCGUAUUGCCAAGCUUGCCUUCCACGCCAAGGAAAGUCUCAUCCGGACACGGGACGAAGUCUUCAAUCUUGCAUCUUCAUAGUCUUGGAGUCCGGCCAAUAAUGAUAGUUCGGCUAUCCGGACACCCCCUAGUCCAGGACUCCCUCAGGCGUCCUCUGAAUCCGUCGCUUCUGUUUGCAGGAGAGGGCUGGUGGUCACCGCAAUCACCAUGGCCGCGCCCCCUUCCUCCUCGCCCACGGGGUCUGCCGCGGGACUGGCCACGACCUCUGUAGACUGCGUUGGCCAAUGAAUCACCCAGUAUCUCCAUCCUCUGAUCAAAGGCAGAGAUCUGAGCAAAGAGGUCGUCGGUGGUGAUUGUGUUCUUGACAGCGCCGAUCGCUGCCACAUGGAGUCGUAGUCGCGGUCGAGCCUUGCCAGGAUGUAGUCUACCAUCUCCGGGUCAGAGACGGGACGCCCAGCAGUAGCAAGUUUGUCCCCAAGGCUCUUCAUCUUCACCAUAUACGCCGAGCUAGACAUGGUGCCCUUCUUGGUGUUGGUGAUUGUGAUCCUCAGAUUUGUGAUCCGCGAUUGUGAUUGCGAGGCGAAGAGAUUUGUCACCGUCGUCCAGAGCUCAUAGGCGGCGUCCUUCCCGACGACUUGUGCAAGGAUUUUUGGAGACAUAGAGUUGAGUAGAUAUGAUAGGACCUGCUGAUCUUUGGCGAUCCAGGGCCCAUACAGAGGAUUCGGCUCUAGGGCCGUGGUUUUGUCCGCCUUCGUGAUCUCCACCAUCCUCGGCGGAGCAGCGUCGGAGUUAUCCAGGAGCCCAGUAACCUGCGCACCUCGCAGGGCUGGGAGAACUUGAGUCUUCCAGAGGAUGAAGUUUCCUCUUGCAAGCUUCUCUGACGGCGGCGAACCAAGGUUGAGGGCGACGCUGGCUGAGGAAGCCAUGGAGACGACGGUAUGUAGUUUAGGAUUUUGAUUUGUGGCUAGAUGUAUGAGAAGUGGUGGCUCUGAUUACUAUGUAAGAUGAUAAGCGUUCCCUACUCCCUCGAGGGGAGCCGCGGUCUGGUAUAUAUUGAUGUGGCCGAAGCCGUGCCUUGGCGUACAAGAAAGAUUACAGGAGUUUGAGUAGAACAAGUAAAGGAAAGGAGUUGGAGAUUACAACGGAACAAUAUUCUCUAACAUUAUGCACCAUGACUAGCAUACUUGGAGAUAAAAUAUGUGGGCACAACGGAUGAGUAUCCUAUCUGUCUCUGCUUUUGUUUAUGUGAUCACCGUCAACCACAGUUGAUGGAAACUAUAUAUAUGCACGAAUACUUGAAGGGGAGGUAGCAACAAAUAAAUGUCGUAACAACUCCUCAUCGACGAAGUGGAUGGCCACGAGUAAUUGGUUUCUCAUACUUUUUAUUUAGGUUUGCUUGAGUUUGUACAAUCAUUUUUUCAACCAAGUGAGCUUCUUGUACUUGGUUGAUACUAACACCAAUGCAAUUAAGGUCAUCACAUCAUUUUUUUUCAAUCACCGAGGAUGGCAAGGAAGCACGAGCGGGGGGAGGGGAACGAGACAGGGAGAUGCAUACAUCGUCGACGAGGUACUCGAGGACGACAACGAGGUAGAUGGGGGCAUCAGCGCCGACGCGCUGUGCGUACUUGCCAACCUUGAAGUACCUGGUGACACGGUCGACGGGGAUCUGGAGGUCGCCUUGGAUGAACUGGACACGACCUUUGCGCUGUCAACGGGCUUCGCCUUGCUCCACCCGCUGCCGGCAUUGACGAUCUUCUAGUUCGUGGUGGAGGGUGGACGCAUUGGGGUUGUGGUCGCUAGAGAGGUCGCCUAGAUGUGUGAGAAGGUGGAGGGCGAAGGGUGUAUGAGAUAGGGUAGUGGCGGUAGGGGGUGGGGCAUUUUAUAAAGAGACGAAGAGGCGACACGUGAUUGAUUGGGAGGGCGAGGUCGCGGAUCGGUGACGUGGAUAGCAGAGGUCAAUUUUUGGUUUGAGUUUGGCGCGGUUUGGAGAUUUGUGGUGGUAAAAGUAAAAAAGGUGGUUAAAUGAGGGAAAUCGUCCAUCCAAUUGUAGCCGUUCAUGGGAGUAGAAUCCUAUCGUUCUUUUCAGAGACGAUGCAUCGAGCGACGUGGGUUUGUGUUGUUCUAGUACAAUCUGCAAAGAGGAUAUUUGGGUCAGCAUCCCUAACCUUUUAUGCCACCAUCUAAUUGUUGAUGAUAUGAUUUGGCUAGUUAGUAUAUGGUGAGCCAAAUUAAUUCAAUUAUUUAUCAAGCUAAUCGGUUGAUGCAUUGUUCAAAUAUUGCAACAAGAAUUUUCAUAGACCGCCAAGGUACAAGUUCUAAGAAGAAUAUGCUUAGUGUUGAUGGCCAUUAUCAAGUUUUAUUUGCGACGUUGCGGGAAUAUUUUAUUAUUUUCUUUGACGGCUCAAGGUAUUUGUACGAGUAUGCUUAGAAGUUGGGCUACUAUAUUAUCUGGUGUGAUAGCAACGUGACCGGAAUAUUUAAUUGAUCAGGCAAGGUGUGUAUAUGGCCAGGAGGGGUCGCCAUGCAGGUUAGCCUAAUGUAAAAUGUCAAAUACUACAUACAUGGUAGCCAAAUUAGAAUGACCUGAUUAGAUUUUAAUCGGUUUGAUUUUGGAAUUCAACUCAUGUACGCCAAGUUCUGCCUUGGAUACGUCAAAGUCCAGCGUGCCAUAGAGCAUCUCUAGCAGACCCCGUAUAAAUGGUUAAACCCGUAAAUUUUUUGCGUUUUACAGUUUUGGGCAAAAAAAUGUCCAGAACAGAAACCGUAAAAGUGGUCCAACCCGUAAAUUUUUUAAGGGCCACCACAAAUGCACACCCGAAACCCUUAUCUUUGGAGGUUGGAAGGCCGAAUCUAGAGGGCCCCGUAUACCGGUCAAACCUCAUCGGAGCAAACACACCACCGCGGAGUUUGCCGGAAUCCGCCCUAAACUCACCGAAAUUCAUCACCGCUAACCGGAAAAGGCCGCUAGGCGUCGCAAUUGAUCGCCGCCGGUUCGAAUUGGACGAGCUCGACAUAGCCGUGUCCUCCCAUGACCUCAGCCUGGCCGCUGGAAUCCUCCCGGUGCGGCAGGCAAAGGGGCACGACUUGGCUGGCAAUAGAGCAAGGCGCGGACGAUGGAGGCGGCGGGGCGUGGCCGGCAAGGCUGGACGCGGACGACGGAGGCGACGGGGCGUGGCCAACGGGCGACACGGCAUGGCCUGCGGGCGAUGGGGUGUGGCCGACGGGGUUGGACGCGACUGGCGUGGCCGGCGCGACCGGCUGGGGGAAGGGGCGGCAGUGGCCGGACUGGAGGAAGGAGCUCUUUAUUCCAGUUUUACAGUUUGUUUUACAGUAUCUGUUUGGCCGCAGCUAAAAUGAACCCUUAAAAUGCACUUUUUCCAACCCAUAUCCCAGUUUUGCAGUUUGCGAAUUUAAGGGAUCUGCUAGAGAUGCUCUUAUAUAUAAGGCCAUGGCCGAUUGGAAACGCCCCCAACAAUCGAUCUAUCAAUACAAACUCUAUUUUCACGUACGUCUAUUUUCCGUCGUUACUUCCCGCCGAGCCCUAGCUGCCCUAGGGUUUGGUGAUCUUAGCCGUUUUGCGCUGAAAAGCGGCCGGUUCUCCUCCACGAAAGUGAGGGAUCUUUGUUGCUUUGCUCGGAAAGCAAUCGUUCGUCGUCACGAAAGCAUGACAAUUAUCUUGGUGUUGCACGGCGAUUUCUCAUGCCAACACAAUUGGCGACUCCGCUAGGGACAAGAAGAAGAAGAUGUACACGAUGAGUACCGAGUCCAAGAAUGGGAGCAACAUCGACCCGGAGAACGUCAUCGCCGUCACACUCGACGAUCUGUCGGAAGAUGAUCGGCACGAACUUGACGAGGAGCUUGAGAAAGAAAAGGUUGAGAGGCCGAAGCUGAAGUUAGCUGGAUACGUGAAGACGAGGAACGGUGUCGUCAAAAAGGUAGUUCCAAGCCCUUCCGAUGCAUCCAACACUCAGGUAAAAAACUCAACUGAAGAAAUUGCUCAUCUAAUUGAUAUGUCAGUAGCUAGUAAAUAUGGUUCUGAUAUGGGAAAUAGGGCGCGUACAAUUACUCAAGCAGUAGCUAAUAGAUUUGAAAAAUUUAAGGAGCAGUUUAAUAAAGAUCUUGAAAAAUGUCUGCCUGGUCAUGUACGUUCAUUAGUGAUGCAAGUCAAUGAUGAGUAUUAUGGAAAAAGACCGAUGCCACCAGACAGUAGCAGAUUUAACAAUUUACCAAGUAAUAUACAUACGCCUAGUGCAUCAGCUAAUGCUGUGCAGCCUCACGUUCCUUUAAAAAUAAUCUGGAUGGCCGGAACUAUGUUGGUAGUUCGGCUAAUAAUUUUGUUACCAGUACUACUGCUCCUAUUGUUUCGACUCCGGUUCCAGAAAAUCACAAUAGCAAUAACCAAAGUUUUGUGUUUAAUUCUAAUAUGCAGCCUAGUUAUCGGACAGUGGCAUAUAGUACGCCACCACUGCCAGCUGUCGAUACCGGGGUUCCGUAUGGGCCGGUACCCGAUUAAUAUUUUAGUGGGUCUUCGUUGCAAACUUCGCAUGCUCCAAUUUUUUUGCCGGAAUUUCCGCCACGUGCUUGUGUUUCAUCUGCUCCACAAGCCAGUUCUAAAUAGCCCAAUGAUUUUAAAGAUCAACUUGCUAGUAUACUUAGAGAAUUUGGUUUAGAACUAAGGGUAGAGCACGCGCAUAUCAAAAACCAUACCCUGAUUACUUUGGCUCGACGCUAUAUCCUCGUGGUUUUAGAAUUUCAGAUUUUGUUAAAUUUACGGGGGAAGAUGGUAGAUCUACUUUUGAGCAUGUAGAACAAUUUUUAGCACAAUGCAACGAGGUCGGCACGUCGGAUGUUUUUAGAUUAAAAUUGUUUCCAUUAUCAUUAUCCGGUACUGCAUUUACUUGGUUUACAUCGCUUGCUCCUAAUUUCUAUUACAACAUGGCCACAAUUGGAGCAAAAAAUUUAUGAGUAUUUUUAUAGUGGUGAAACAGAACUUCGAUUUUCAGACUUAACUAUGGUUAGGCAGAAAUAUAAUGAACAUGUUCAUGAUUAUAUUAGGAGGUUUAGGGAUGUCAAAAACCGAUGUUUCAGCCUGACCAUAGCCGAAAAGGAUUAAGCCGAUCUUGCCUUUUCGGGUCUGCUCGCUCAUAUUAAGGAUAAACUAGAAGGGCAAAUUUUUUUAGAUAUUAAUCAAGUUUUACACAAGGCUUUGGCGCAGGAAAAGCGGGCUAAGGAAAUUAAACAAUAUAGCCGGUUUAAAGAUAAUAAAAAUAAAGAGAAAGAUAACCAUGCGGUUAAUGCCUUAGAUUAUGAUAGUGAUUCGACUAGUGAAGAUGAUGUUAAUAUAUGUGUAGCCGAUUGGGUUCAAGCGCCAAAGUCAAAACCUUUUGGAUGUUCUGCUUUGAAACCUACACCCGCUAGAAGAGACGAAAUUAAAUAUACUUUUGAUGUAAGCAAGUGUGAUAGAAUUUUUGAUAUGUUACUGCAAAAUAAAUUAAUUAGAGUGAGGGAGGGUCAUGUAAUUCCACCUCUAGAAGAAUUGGGUAGAAGAGCUUAUUGUAAGUGGAACAGAGUUACAAAAAAAGGGUGAAAAGAGGAGUCGAGGAGAUGCGUACCUCUACGGCGAGGUACUCGAGGAUGGCGCCGCCGGCGCCGACGCGCAACGCGUACUUGCUGACCUUGAGGAACCUGGCGACACGGCCGACGAGGAACUGCAGGCCAGCCUUGGACGACCGGGACACGGACUUGGCGCUGGCGGCGGGCUUCGCCUUGCCCCUCCCGCUGCCGGCAAUGGCCAUCUUCUAGUUCGUGGUGGAGCGCAGACGCGCUGGUGUUGUGGUGGCCGGAGCAGAGAGACUGCCGGAGGUUGGUGAGAUUGUGGAGAGCGCGGAUUGUUUGAGAUGGUAGAGCGGCCGGGGGCACGUUAUAAAGAGAAGGGGAGCCGCGCGUGAUUGGCUGGGAGGGUGAGGCCGUGGAUCGCUGACGUGGAUGGGGAGGCGAAGUUUUUUUUUUUUUUGCUUUCCCCGCGGAUCCGUGACGUGGAGGGCGGGGCGAGAACUUUUGUUUGGGUGUGGUGCGGGCUGGCGAUUUGGGAUGACGGAAGUUUCCGGAGGAGUGGUUAAUGGAGGGAAAUCGCCCAUCCGACGCUAGCCGUUCGUCGGACAGGUCUCCUGCCGUCCGUUUCACUUUCAGAGCCGAUGCAUUCAGAUCCGUCGACAUGGGCUUUGGCAUGCUUUUUUUAUGCAACCAUCUACUUCACCUGAUUUUUCCCUCAUAAGAAAAAAGUUCUACUUCACCUGAUUCGGUUCCAAGUUGCUUAUUUGUUUUCAAACUUGGUUAUCUCAGCUCCCUAGAUCAGUCGAGUUGCAUUGAGCGAGGGGCGGAUCUCUUGCUACGGCAAGAUCAGGAUUUUCUUCGUGGGUAUGGAGUUUUUCUUCGUUUUCUCGCACUAGGGCCUCUGAAGCCAAGACCGACCAUGUAGCCAAGGCGCCUCUUGUUACUUCUAAGUCUGCAUUCUCUUGUAGUUUGCAUUGGCAAAGUGCGUCACAACAGUGUAGAGUAAUGAUGUGGGGUAGAUGCACCACUGGAGCGACUGCUCCUACAAGCUAAUCGUUUCCUAAUGCCUUCCAAAUCUAAUUAACAUAUAUGUGGUAGUGUGCGUGGAUGGCCUAAUAUUUUUUUUAUUUCCUUAAAAUGUGGCUUUAGCAAAACAAAAUUAGAGCAAUUGUCUUGAGUACUAUCCACCAUGACCAGCUAACUUGGAGAUAAAACAUGUUGGCACACCGGGUGGAUAUAUUUCUUUACCAGCUCCUGGCUAUGUGAUCACUAUGAACCACGGGCGAUGGGAACCAUAUAUAUGCAUGAAUGGUUGAUGGGGAGACCGGAAAAAUAAUUGUGUUAGCAACUCAUCUAUGAGGUGGAUGGCGACGAGUAAUUGUGUUGUUGUACCUUUUUUUUUUAAGUGUGCCCGAGCUUGUACGUCCACUUUUCCAACCAAGUGAGCUCCUUGUACUAGGUUAGAUACUAAGAGGGUGCUUGGAUACGUUUUAGUCCCAUGACUAAAAGUAGUGGACUAAAACCUGCUAGCCUCACUCAUGCUUGGAUCGAAAUACUAAAAAGACUAAAAUCAAGUUAAUGAGUAUUUAUUAUCCUUCAAACCCUUCAAUCCAGAACUCGCCUGUGUUAAAGGAGAGGAGUUAAAUGAGGAGAGAGAGGACUAAUCCACAUUUUAGUAGGGGUACACCUGACUAAUUUUUUUUGUCUUAAGACUAGUUUUAGCCCCUCUUUAGUCAGACUAGCCACAAUGGAGAGUAACAUACACUACUAACAUACACAUAUCCCUAGACUAUGUUACUACCUCAAUAGUGGGUAGUAACAUAAGUGUGGUAACAUGCAAAGCUUCAUUUAUUAGGUUAUAGACUCAUAUUGCAUUGGGACUUGUGAUGUUACAGUAACUAGCUAAGUUACUAGUACUACAUCUCUCCUCAUUAACUCACUACCACAUAAGCAAAUUUGUUGAGUUGGACUCGAUGUUACUAUCGAAGUUACUCCCACUGUGGCUAGUCUCAGGGGUGCUUGGAACUUUAGCCUCUUAAAGAGACUAUUUUUAGUCAAACUAAAAUAAGUCCCUUGGAUCCAAGCACCCUCUAACACUAGUGUAGAUAAAGUCAUAGCACAUGGUUCGGAAAAACACGCAACUGCAAAAUUUCGCCUCGUAAUGGUGUGUUAUACGGGGUGCGUCGCACACGCUACAGAUAACCGUGUGCGGUAGGGUGCUAGGAUGCUUGCCGGUGGAUGUCAUCCUUGGCCUUGCCGGCCUUCUUGGGGAGGAGCACGGUGUGGAUUCCGGGCAUCAGCCCGUUGUCGACGAUGGUGAACGCGCACAACAAUCGACUCAACUCCUCGUCGUUGCACACUGUUGGCUGGAUGUGGCGCGGCAUGAUCUGGUUCUUCUUGUUGUCAUGCGCCGCGUUGCUGGCAAGCUACAAGGUCUGAAUCAAAGAGAAAGAAAUGAAACGAUAAGAUCGAGGACCGCGACAUGGGCUUGGGCAUGCUUUUAUGCAACUCUCCGCUUCACUUGAUUUUUCCCUCAAAAAAGAAAAAUUAACUACUUCACCUGAUUUGUAUAUUCUCAAACAUGGUUAUGUCAAAGCUCUAGAUCAGUCGAGUUGCAUUGAGCGAGGGGCAGUUCUCUUGCUACGACGAUCGUGAGUUUUUCUUCAUGCGCAUGGAGUUUUUCCUCGUUUUCUCGCACCAAGGCCUCUAAAGCCGAGACCGACCGCAUAGCCAAAGCGACUCUUGUCACUCCUGAUUCUACAUUCUCUUGUGGUUAACAUCGACAAAGUGCGUCACAACAGUGUAGAGUAAUGGUGUAGAGUAGAUGCACCGCUGGAGAGAUGGCUUCUACAAGCUAAUAAUCGUUUCCUAAUGCCUCCCAGAUCUAAUUAACAUAUUUAUGGUAGUGUACGUGGGUGGCCUGAUAUAUUUUUUUAUUUUCCUAAAACGUGGCUUUAGCAAAACAAAACCAGAGGAAUUGUCUUGAGUACUUUCCACUAUGAUCAGCUAACUCGGAGAUAAAAUAUGAUGGCACACCGGGUGGAUAUCUUUCUUUAUCUACAGCUUCUGGCUAUGUGAUCAUUAUGAACCAUGGUUGAUGGAAGCAUAUAUAUGCACGGAUGCUUGAUGGUCGGAAAAAAUAAAUGCGAUAGCAACUCAUUGACGAGGUGGAUGGACGAGUAAUUUGGUUGUUGUACUUUUUCUUUACGUGUGCCGGAGUUUGUACAUCAACUUUUCCAAACAAGUGAGCUCCUUGUACUUGGUUUGAAUACUUCCUUCGUUUUUAUUUAGUCCACGUAUUAGCUUUGGUCGAAGUCAAGUUUUAUAAACUUUGACAAUGUUUAUAAACAAAAAUAUUAACAUAUACAAUAACAAAUCAAUACCAUUAGAUUCAUUAUUAAAUGUACUUUCACAUUAUAUAGAUUUGUUAUGGUAAAUAUUUAUAUAGUUUUCUAUAAAUUUGGUCAAUGUUUAGAAAAUUUGACUUCAGUCAAAUCUAAUAUGCAAAAUAAAGAAAAGCAGAGGCAGUACUAACACUAGUGCAGGUAAAUCAUAGCACAUGGUUAGAAAAGCUAUCGCACAUGCAACUGCAAAUUUUCGCCUCGUGAUGGUGUGUGAUACAGGGUGCAUGGCACACGCUACAGAUAACCGUGUGCGGUAGGGUGCUAGGAUGCUUGCCGAUGGAUGUUGUCCUUGCCUUGCAGGGCCUUUUGGGGAUGAGCGUGGUGUGAAUGCCGGGCAGCACCCCGCCAUCAGCGAUGGUGAACGCGCACAACAGCCGACUCAGCUCCUCAUCGUUGCACACCUGCUUGGAUGUGCAACGGCACGAUCCAGUUCUUAUUGUUGUCCCGCGCCGCGUUGCCGACAUGCUCCAGGGUUUGAAUCAGAGAGAAAGAAAUGAACCGAUGAGAUCGAGGACUUCGAGGAACCGUGCGCGCGGCGAGAAACGAGGAGAGAAGGAGCAGGGGGAAUGUGUACCUCAAUGACGAGGUGGACGGGGGCGCCGGUGCUGACGUGAUGUGCGUAAUUGCCGACCUUGAGAUACCUGGUUACGCGGCCGACGGGGAACUGGAGGCCGGUGGACGACCGAGACAUGGACUUUGUGCUGGCGGCGGGCUUCGACUUGCCCCUCCCGCUACCGGCAAUGGCAUCUCCGGGUCACGGUGGAGGGUGGACGCGCUAGUGAUGUGGUUGCCGGAGAGAUUGUCGGAGGUUGGCAAGAUUGUUGAGAUAGCGGGGUGUUUGUGCUGGUGGAAAGGUCGGGGAAGUGGCGUGUUAUAAAGAGAAGGGACGGCCGCGCGCAAUUGGCUCAAAAUUUUUGUUUUGGUUUGACGCGGGAAUUUGGGAUCACGGAGAUUUCUGGAAUAAGUGGUUGAAGGAGGGAAUUGUCCAUCCAAUCCUAGCCGUUCAUCGGACCAGUCUCCUACCGUUCGAUUCAGAGCCAAUGCAUCCAGGAUCCAGCGGACAUGGUUUUGGGUUGUUCUAGUACAAUAUCCAAAGGAGAAAUUUGGAUCGGCACCUCCUACCCUUUUUAUACAACCAUUUGUUCGGUUGAUUUGGUUCUGAGUUGUUUUUGGACUUAAACAUGGCUUUGUGCAAUCUCUAAAUCGGUUCGACUUUCAUCGAGUGAGAAGCGGUUCACUCGCGUGAGAUUUGCUACAACGAGGGCCUCGGAGCAGUUCUUCGUGCGUGUGGAAUCCCUUUUUGUUUUCUCGCGCUAGGGCCUCUCGUGCCAAGACCGACCACGUAGCCAACACAACUCUCUGGUUACUUCUGAUUCUAGAUUCUCUUGUUCACUCCAUAGCGAUGUACAGUGUGACCGUGCAAGACCGACCACGUAGCCAACACAACUCUCUGGUUACUUCUGAUUCUAGAUUCUCUUGCUCACUCCAUAGCGAUGUACAGUGUGACGGUUUGGAACAAUGAUGCAGAGCAGAUGCACCGCAUGAUCGGUGAAUCCUACAAGCUAAUCAUUUCCUAAUGCCUCCCAGGUCUAAUUAAAAUAUUUGUGCUACAUGUGGCCCAAUGUAUAUUUCAUAAUUUUUUAAACAUAACUUUAACGAAAUCAGAGGAAUUGUCUUGAGUGUUAUGCACCCAUGACUAGCAUACUCGGAGAUAAAAUAUGUGGGCACAACAGAUGAGUAUCCUAUCUUUCUCUACUUUGGCUAUGUGAUCACCGUCAACCACAGUUGAUGGAAACUAUAUAUAUGCACAAACAUUUGAAGGGGAGGUCGCAACAAAUAAAUGUCAUAACAAUUCCUCAUCGAUGAGGUGGAUGGCCACGAGUAAUUGGUUUGUCAUACUUUUUAUUUUAGGUUUGCUUGAGUUUGUACAAUCAUUUUUUCAACCAAGUGAGCUUCUUGUACUUGGUGUUGAUACUAACACCAUUGCAGUUAAGGUCAUCACAUCAUUUUUUUUCAAUCACCGAGGAUGGCGAGGAAGCGCGAGCGGUGAGGGGAACGAGACAGGGAGAUGCAUACCUUGCCGGCGAGGUACUCGAGGACGACGGCGGGUAGAUGGGGGCGUCGGCACCGACGCGUUGUGCGUACUUGCCAACCUUGAGGUACCUGGUGACGCGGCUGACGGGCAUCUGGAGGUCGCCUUGGAUGACCGGGACAAGACCUUCGCGCUGCCAGCGGGCUUCGCCUUGCCCCACGCGCUGUCGGCAUUGGCGAUCUUCUGGUUCGUGGUGGAGGGUGGACGCAUUGGGGUUGUGGUCGCUAGAGAGAUCGCCUAGAUGUGUGAGAAGGUGGAGGGCGAAGGGUGUAUGAGAUGGUGUAGUGGCGGUAGGGGGGUGGGGGCAUUUUAUAAAGAGACGAAGAGGCGGCGCGUGAUUGAUUGGGAGGGCAAGGUCGCGGAUCGGUGACAUGGAUAGCAGAGGUCAAUUUUUUGUUUGGGUUUGGCGAUUUGUGGCGGUAAAAGUUACAAAAAAAGCGAUUAAAGGAGGGAAAUCGUCCAUCCGAGCCGUUCGUGGGAGUAGAAUCCUAUCGUUCUUUUCAGAGACGAUGCAUCCAGCGACGUGGGUUUGUGUUGUUCUAGUACAAUCUGCAAAGAGGAUAUUUGGAUCAGCAUCCCUGACCUUUUAUGCCACCAUCUAAUUCACUUGAUUUGGUUCCAAAUUGUUUAUUCUCACACAUGGUUUUCUCCAAACUCUUCAGGUCGAGUUUCAUUAAGUGAGAAGCGGUUUAUGGUCAGCUACGACAAAUCCGGGGUUUUCUUCGCGCGCGGGUGUGUGUGUAUGGAGUCCCUCUUUGUAUUGUUGCACUAGGGCCUCUGAUGUUGAGAUGCACUACUGGAGCGAGGGCACCUACAAUCUAAUCGUUUCCUAAUACCAGCCUUUUGGGGGGAGGAACGUAGUGUGGAUGCUUGGCAGCACC